UUUAUUCAAUCCAUUAUCAUAACAUUUGGCAAUACAAAAAUCUCUAGUUAAAGAGAACAGGAAAGUUUUGCCUGCAAUGGAAACCAAUGCUGCUGGAAUAAUUAGCAAUAGUUUGUGUGGGUAUCUUGAACCGUAGAGUAAAUGGCUUACGAAGGAGAGACCACAGACACUAGAGGAGUUUGCUGACUUUGCUCAUCAUUUGCUGUCUCAUAUCCACUAUCUAAUUCUUCAAAGUUAUAAUCAUCAUCAGAUAAUCCCUUCUUAACUGCAUAUCUUCUUUAUCAAUGAGGUUGUGUUUAUUGAAUUUUAGCGAGUCACAUUCUGAUUUUUCACUUGUGUGCAUGGCAUCAGCCACUGGAUUAGGUACCUUCUUCGGUUGUCUACCUGUUUUCUGCUUGGUCUCAUGGUAUCCUUGGCUUCCUCAUUUUCUCCUCUGCAUUUUAUUCAAAAACUAGGUAUCGAUCCCGCGUGAUGCAUGGGUAAAUAAGUAAAUUAUUCAAAUUAGUGCUGAUUAAAAAGUAUAUUGAAAUAUAAUUUUUUUCAGUAAAUGUGUUGGUUUUAAACGUGAUUUCUUUGAACUGUACAAUGUAAGCUUGUCAUCCAAUUUUUUGGUGUUUACAUUGACAUAAUUAUUACAACAGAAUAGCCUAACAUUUAAUCUCUAAAAAAUCCAUUAUAAAUAUUUUUUAGAGCGUGUUUGGAUGAGUGAAUUUUAAAUUCUGAGAAAUUUUAAAUUUUAAGAAUUUCAAAUACUUCAAUUUUCAAAAUUGUGUUUGGAUACAAAAAAAUAAAAAUUGUGAGAGUGAAAAAAAAUGAGUGCAAAGAGAAGACAAAAUAUGAUUGGUAUGCUAGUUAUACGUGUCCCUUUACACCCACAUCCGAUCGAUAUUCUACGACGGUAUUUCUUGAAGAAGAGCAUCAUCAACGUGAGGGACCAGUCCCGAGUUCGAGAACGAGAUUUCGGAUAGAAGAGAGGAUGAAGAUUAUUAAGGAAAUACCCGAAUGUUUUAGAAACUUCUUUUAUAGGAAGAAAAUUUCAAUUUCUCACCCUUUAAAAGAAAAUUGAAAUUUCACGUUUUUAGUUAUUUAAAAUUUCUAUUUUAAAAUUUCAAAAAUUUAAAUUCUUCAUAAAGAAACAUCGAAACAGUGAAUUCUAAAUUACAGAAAUUUAAAUUAUAUGAUAAAUUACUUCUCUCAGCUAAAAUUCUCUAUCCAAACGCACUCUUAUGAAAUUUAAUUUUAUAUAUUUAGAUAAAAUAUUACUUAAUCAUAUCUUUCUUAUUAGAAGUCUAAGCACAUGCAUUAGUGAACAAUUAAGUUCACAAUGUAUGAUUAAAUUAUAUUCUCAAGUACUCUUGUAUAACACUAUUUGUUUCAAUAUCUAUAUUUUAUAAACCCGUCUUUAAAAUGUUUUAUUCUUUAUUAAUGCCAACACCUACUAAAAGAAAUUUUAAAUACAACAUUAAGAAAAUAAAUAAAUUGAAAUGAACCAAAAUGGUUAAAAUUGUCUAAUUUGUCUUCUUUAUAGUUAUAGUAGCUGUCAUUAUUAAGCUUCCCAUACGGCGAAUCACAUGUUUAGGUUAAACUUCUUAUUUAUGUAGUAAACUCUCUAUGAAGAAAUUAAUAUUUUACAAUUAAACACAACAAAUAAGAAAAAUAAUUCAAGAGAAAAGAUGAAAUAAUCUUGGAAUAAGGUUUUUUAUAUCUAUCAAUAGCUUUCUUUGAAGAAAGAUGUAAAUAAUUUUAACAAAAAAAGAUAAUAUAUAUAUAUUAUAAGACAGAAAAUCCAACUUCUCUCAUUUGUUUUAAUUAAUUCAUUUUAGGGGUAUAGCAGUAUUUUAUUAUUUUUUGAAAAAAUAAAAAUAAGUGUUUUUCUCUGCUAGUCAUCUCUUCUAUCCCCACGUUUCCAAAUCCAUUCAUCUUCUUAUUCAGCAAUUACCAAUUUUAGUUGCAACAUUUUCACGAACACGUUUUCUUCUCUCCUUUUUUUUUUCACCACCAUGGACAAUGUCACCGACAGCCACUUCCAUUAAUACCCACUGGAUUAAAAUGUAUGAUUUGGAGUUUAUAUUAGAACGGAACAAAUAUUAAUAUACAUGAUUAAACCAAUUUUGUCCACAAUAUUUCUUUGUCGUUGAACCAGUUCUGAGAUCGAGAAACAUGCCUGAUAAAAUCAGGGAAAAUGCAGAAUCCUAUGACGGAUCGACCUUCUUUGAACAAUUAUUAUACUCGAUUAAAAAAACUCAUUUUUCUUAUUGAUCAAUUAAUUAUUUGAGAAAACCAUGUGGUAAAAAAAUGCAAAGAUAUCAAAAGUUAAGCUAAGCAUUAUCUUAGUCUUGUAUGCGAGGAAAAGGAACAAGAGAACAUCAGUGAAUUGAAGUAGACGAAAGGAACAAGAUGUAUCAACCAAUUGAGUUAGAUUUCUUGGGUAGACAUUAAAUUACUAAAACAAGCCUAAAAUGAAUUAAUUAGAACAAAUAAGAAAAUUUUCUAUAUAUUCACAAUUUAAACUUGCACAUGUAACCUCCACAUAGUUCCAUUCAUUUUCAAAAAGCACCUCAUACACACUAUUUUUUGCUCUUUCAGUUCUGUUUUUGUUUAAAAAAACCUAUUUUUUAAUUCUAUUUGGUAGAUUAAAAGAUAUGUAUGAUCCCAUCCCAUCAAGAACAUGACACAAUGAAGGGAACAUUUAUUGCCAUUGAUGAACAAGGGAUGAAAAAAAUCCAGAUCCAUUAUCCAUAGGUGCAAUAAGAAGAAAAAGAACUAUGUCAGGGGACUUAGUACCAAACCAAAAAGAACUUGAAGGUCCCUUUGCUUUGGUGAUUGAACCACUAUAUAUUACUCCUGGAAAAUGAUAGUGUUUUCGGCCUCAUGCAGAUCCUGCAAUUAGUUAUAAAGGAAUUCAUAAGCUUGCCAACGUUAAGUACACUACAUAUUAUUAAAUCAAAUGCAUUAAGAACAGGACAUAAGCUGAUUUAGGAACAUGCUUAUUCAUAAUACAUGAGGAAGUCAAGGAUAUCCAGUCUCUUGCCAAGAAAUGUUCAGUAUGAUUGACUCCCUCUAAUUUCCAAAAGAUGCUCGCUACAAGUCGCAUCUUUAAAAAUUGAAAUUCUUUGAUACAUUCAUGAAGAAUUCUGAUAUUAUUAUCAAUCAGUCUAAAUCUUUCACAUGAACAAACUGCAUGAAACCUUUUGAAAAAAUAAUAAAUGGUUGCAUCCUUAGGCACAAAGCCGUUCUACCUUUGAAGAUACUAUUGAACCCGCUUUUUCUUCACCAUCUUCCUGAUUUAGCCAUUGCUACCCUUUCCAUCCAAAAGCUAUAAUAUCAGUCAGUUCUGGUAACAUGACAGUGCUACUUGGUAACUGAACAACUCCACAAAUAGACAGAUAUACUUAUGGCAGUGUACUGCAAAUGAAGUUCCCUUACAUUUUCCAUCUUUUCUGAUAUUUUUGGAAAACUCUCAAGUAUAACAUGAAGGAUGGAGGUCUUCAAGCAAGGUCAACUUGAUGGUUGGAAAACUCCUAAGCUUGAUGCAACCAAAAGCACUCAAUAUUUUAAGCUUACCUAGCAAUUAAACAAAUCGAAUCAUGAGCUGUAAUUAAAUUCUGACAAUAUUCAAAUGAAGGUUUCUCAAAAUUUGGUUAACCAGAUAUGUGUGGUAUCUUUGUUAAACCUUUUCGCUUGAAAAUUUCAAAAGUUUCACAUUCACGAACUUCUGCAAAGAAAAUUAAAAUAAAACAGAAGAAAGAAACAAGUGAAUGAAUAACCGUAAAGUGAAUUUAUUAAUUUACAAGAUGAGGAAAAUUUACUCAUUAAACUUACCGUCAAUAAGUUGGUCAACUCAGUUGUAGAAAUAUGACUGCAGGGUAACUUGCAUAUGGCAAGUUCCUUUGGAUGAAAAUCAGAUGGUAAACAAUGUGACGGAUAUCCCCACCAUUCAAAUACUCUCAAACUAUUUGGAAGAUAUUCCGGACCUUUGGAAAAAUUACCAUUUCUAAUAAUAAGUGUUUUGAGGUUUUGCAUAUUUUGGAAAGCUGUUCCAUCCCAUUGUACUAUUUCUUCUUCAUCAAAUAUGGGGUAAUCCAGACAUAUGAUUUCAAUUUUGCUAGUUGCCUGUCAAUGCAAAAGGCAUGAAUCAACCAUAAUACAAGUAUAUGUAACUAUGUAAGACCUCAAUACAAAUAUUCAUGGAAAAAUCAUAAAAGAAAAAUACAAUUUACGAUGUGAAAAAUAAUAGAAAUAAAUAAAUCAAAAUACUAAAUCAAACCAUUCAUGAGUUUCACUCACCGUGUUGUAUCCUAAAACUUCCCUUACAUCUUCCAAUGACCAUAAUCUCCUGCGCUCACCUGGCUUUGUCAUUGAUUCCUGUCGGACAAUCUCUUCAGCAAUCAAGUCAUGCAUUGUAAUUGUAUCAUUACAAGGCUCUGUACCAUGACUAAUGUAUACUAGAGAUUUGUCAACCAAAACGUCAAUAUAAUACUUUAUGCAUUGACCAUAAUGAGCAUGAAGUAUAUCUUGAACCUCUGUCAAUUCAUAUCCUUUGAAGCAACAAGCAAUGUCAAGAAGAACACUCUUUUCUUUUUCCUUCAAAGAAUAAAAAAUUACUUUAAGUAUCAUUUCGAUUGGAUUAUUCGGACUUCUUUCAAAUUGGUGGAAAGUAGAUUUCCAUUCUUUUACACUUUUUCCAAAUAGGUUGGAAGCUAAUAUUUCCAAAGUCAAUGGAAGACUAGAAGCAUAAGUUACUGCAUGAUUUAAGAGCUCCUCAUACCUUGGAUCGAAGUAAUGCAUCUUAAAAGCUUUCCAUUUAAGUAAUUGAAGAGCAUCAUCCUUAUUCAAUUUCUUCACCUCAUAUGUUCUAUUAAUGUCAUAAGAUGUUAACAGUUGUUUGUCUUGUGUUGUAAUUAUGACUUUGCUGCCAGGACCAAACCAAGCAGGUUUUCCAGUAACUGCUUGCAAUUGCUCAGGCCUGUCAACAUCAUCUAGAACCAUGAGAACCUUCUUUUGCUGGAGCCUAUGCCGUUGCAUCAUUGAAAUCACUUGUUGGGCACUUGUGAGGUUGAUGUCCUUCUCUCCAAGUAUUUUCGAAAGAAGGAUGUUUUGGAGGUGAUGUAACCCAUGUUUUUUAGAUUUUUCUCUCACGUUUUCAAUAAAACAGGAAGCAUCAAAAUGGUCAGAAAUCAGUUUAUUAUAAACUUCUCGUGCAAGUGUUGAUUUCCCUACACCAUCAAUUCCAUGGAUCCCUAACAUGUGGACACCAUCAUCACGUCCAACAUCCAAAAGUUUCCUAACUUCCAGCACUUUUGACCGUAAUCCAACCGGGUAAUGAGCAGGAUUAAUCUUACUGGAGACCCACUCAACUAUCUCCCCAAUAAAGUCGUAUUCAUAUCGAGCUCUGCUUAAAACAAAAGUUUUAAGUGAAGUUAAACCAAGCCUUGUAUCCAUGUCUUGAUACAUAUGUUGUCAAGAUUAACAUUUUUUUUCUUUAAAUUUUAACACCAAAUCAUUUAACAAAGCGAAACUUAAUCCAAGAAAAAUUAUAAAGUAAAAAAGAUUGGUAAGGUGGGGUACCCAUGUUUGAUUUUAAUGUCAGACAAGUUAGCUACUUGAUGCAGAGCCAUCUUCCAUUUCUCCAACUUCUCCAUGCUAUGCUUUAAACUCUCCUCAUGUUUCACCAAGGCUUCUCCAUAACUACCUUCCUGCAGUCGCACCUGAGAAUGAUCCACAUUAUAAAAGACUGGUAAAACCAACAGUCUUUUUCUCUUAAGGCAGUCAAGGAUGGUUGCAAGUUCGUCUAAACAAGAGGAGGAAGAAGCAUAGUUUAUAGAGAGCACAAUGAUGGCAAUCCUGGACUCUUCAAUUGCCUUCACAAUUGCCGGUGUUAUUUCUUCUCCUCUCUUAAGAUCUUCAUCAAUGAAAGUGUGGAUUCCACUGUCAUGAAGAGCUUCGUAGAGAUAGCCAGUAAAACCAUGGAGUGUGUCUGAGCCUCUGAAGCUGAGGAACACAUCAUAGUUGAAUGCGUCUGAAUAUGACUCUAGUCCAACUGGAUAAUCCCCAACAUGGAAAGGAUCCUGUUCAAUCUUGCUAGAGACCAAUUUAACUAUCCUGGUAAUAAACUCGUAUUCGUAUCCAUCCCUAUUCAAACAGAGAAAUUUGUGUGAAGUCAAACUAAAUGUCUCAUAUCCAUUUCUUGAUAUGUAUGUUUUUCAAGGUUAACGAAUAUCUUGAACUCUUAAAUUUUAACAUUAAAAUAGCAUUAGACAAGUGAAAAUUAAUUAAUGGAAUUAAAGCAAAAUAAGUUAAAAGAUUGGCGAUGAAGACCCUUGUUUAAAAUGAUAGCCUGAGAAGUUAGCUGUUUCAUGCAGAGCCAUCUUCCAUUUCUCCAGUUUCUCCAUGUUAUGCUCUAACCCAUCCAUUUUAGCUUUGAACUUCAUUUCAUGAUUAGCCAAUGCUUCUCCAAAACUACCUCUAUGGUAUCCAAUAUUAGAAGGAUCCACCUUGUAAAAAAUUGGCAAAACCAACAAACGUUUUCUCUUAACGCACUCAAGGAUGUAAGCAAGUACGUUUAAGCAAAAUGAGGAAGAUGCAUAGUUCUGAGAGAGAACAAUGAUGAAAAAUCUGGAGUCUUCAAUUUCCUUCUCAAGUUCUGACGUUAUUUCGUCCCCUCUCUGGAGCUCCUCGUCAUCAACGAAGGUGUGAAUUCCACUGUCAUGAAGGGCUCUGCAGAGAUUGCCAGUGAAACUGUAACGAGUAUCUUCUCCUCUGAAGCUGAGGAACACAUCAUUGGUGAAGGAAGAUGAUGAUGGCACAUCUAUGAAACAUGAGAAGAAAAAGAUUAGUAUGAUUGUGGAUGGAGUGUUGGAGUUCAAAAUUUCUAAUCUUACGUUUCAAAGCAUUCUUUUGUUCUUCCCCCAAAGCAUCAAAGCUUACUUUUAGAAUCUCUAGGAUGAUUUCAUUACCGGGACUUCUCUUAUAAUGUUCAAGAGCAGAUUCCACGUCCUCAUAACUUGGAUCAAUUUUUUCUCUUUUAAAAGCAUUCCAAGUAAGCAAUUGAAGAGCGGUAUUGUGAUUCAAAACCUCCACCUCAUAAGUUCUUUCAACGCCAUGAUAUUUUAGUAGAUGUUUGUCCCGAGUGGUAAUGAUGACUCUGCUACCGGCACCAAACCAACCAGAUCUUCCAACCAUAGCCCUUAAUUGUUUGUGCUUGUCAACAUCGUCUAAAAUCAAGAGAACCUUCUUUUGUCGGAGCCUAUGUCGUAUCAUUGAAGCUCCUUCUCUCCAACUUGUUAAGGUGAUGUUCUUCUCACCAAGUAAUUCUAAAAGAAGGAUGCUUUGAAGGUGUCUUAACCCGUGUUUAUUUGAUUCUUCUCUAACGUUUUGAAGAAAACAGGAUUCAUCAAAAUGGAGAGCAAUCAAAUUAUAAACUUCCCGAGCAAGUGUUGUUUUUCCUGACCCGCCCAUUCCAUGGAUCCCUAUGAUGUGGACAACAUCAUGGGAUCCAACAUCCAAAAGCUUCAUUACCUCUGUCACUUGUGACUCUAGACCAACUAAAGAAGGACGACUAAUCUUCCUAGAGACCUCCUCAACAAUACUCCCAAUAAACUUGUAUUCAUAUGAAUCUCUGUUUCAAACAAACAAAAAAAAGUUCUAAUGAAGUCAACCCAAAAAGCCUUGCAUCCAAGUCUUGAUAGGUACAUUAAUUGUCAAGGUUAACAAGAACAUUUCUUUUCUACUUAAAUUAUGCUAGUUAAAUCAAAGACAAGUAAAACCUAAUCCUAUAAAAACCAUAAAGUAAAAUAUAUUAGUAUGAUUUAUACCCAUCUUUGAAAUGAUAGCCAGACAAGUCAGCUACUUGAUGCAAAGCCAUCCUCCAUUUCUGCAGCUUCUCCUUGUUAGCUUUGAACCUCUUCUGAUGGUAAGUCAUUGCUUCUCCAUAACUACCUUUCUGGUGUCUGACAUCAGAAGGAUCUACGUUGUAAAAGACCGGUAUAACCAACAGCCCUUCACUCUUGCAGUCAAGGAUGGUUACAAGUUCAUUUAAACGAAAUGAGGAAAAAGCAUAGUUUUCAGAAAGCACAGUAAUAGCAAUCCUGGACUCUUGAAUUGCCUUGGAAAGUGCAGGUGCUAUUUCGUCUCCUCUCGAACGCUCCUGAUCAUCAAUGAAAGUGUAGAUUCCCCUGUCAUAAAGAGCAUUGUAGAGGUUGCCAGUGAAACCAUAGAGUGUGUCUAAACCACUGAAGCUGAGGAACACAUCGUAGGAUGCAAGGGAACGUGUUGUCGCAGCCAUUAUUAGAAGAAAAAAGUUUAGUAUGAUAAUGGUUGAUAUGGUGGGAGUGUAGAAUCAAACUUGAACAAAUAUGAAAAAGAUAGUAUAGAAAAUGUUUAUUAUUACGCAGAGUAACACCGACAUCGUACCAAAGUAGAUAGCCUUGUGGAAAAUAUCUCUGCUUUUUUUUUUGUUCUUUUCUCUCUCUGUCAAAUAAGUCAAAAUCGUACUAAAUAUUAAUUUCUCCCCGUCCCCCAUUAAAAUGGUCAGACAUUAAAAAAUUAGUAAAAUUCACAAAUUCUGUGAGCUGAGAUUAAUGUGCAAGAACACAUUCUUUCAACUCCAAGUUCAAGGCUAUUUUCGGAACUUUAGCCCUCAAAAAGGGAACCCGGAUUCAAAAUUAUGAUUCAUUUAACUUUCCAUAGGAUGAGAAUUAGACGUUUGUUCCAAAGGACGUUUAGAUAAAUAAAACUAAGCUGGAGAAAAAUAAUUUAAAACUGAAUUACAAUUUUAGUUUUCAAACAAUAUUUUCAAGAAUUCAAUUUUUACAUACUAUUAACAUAAAAAAAUAUAUCCUCCAAUUCAUCAAAAAUAAAGGUAGACGAGACUUCUGAAGUAGUUAUUAUUUCAAUAAUUAUUUAUAUACAUAGUUAAUUAUUAUUAUAAUUAAUUAUAGAAAUUAUUUUUAUAUUUAAAUAUGUUGAAAAAAUACUACUUCAAUCUAUUUUAUUUAAAUAGUUUAAAAAAUACUUUUGUAUUGAAAAUUUUACUAUAAGUAUAAAGUUAUUGAUUCCUAAUAACAAAAAAGGUUAUUAAUUCCAUAAAAAAGCAUAAAGUUAUUAAUCAACUGCUGGUACAUCCUUCCCAAGAAAAAUUAUAAAUUUUUAAUCAUAAGUAUGAUUUUUUUUAAUUAAUUUGAUUUUUUUAAUUAUAUAAGCUUCAAAGGUUUUCUUGCAUUAGAAGUGUGUUUGACUCAUUUUUGUAUUUAGAAAUAAGAGGUUUAAAUAUGUUAACUCGUUGGCAAGUGUACCAAAUUUAUCACAAGUAGUAAAGUACUCGGAAGUCCGAGUAUAGAAUUCAUAGGGAUUUUGUGUCAUACUUAUCUUGGAUACUUUUCAAUUUAUAAGAGAAUAAAAGAAAGACUAGAAGACAGAAUAGAAGGCAAUAAUAUUAAAUUAUGAAUAAAAAGCAAAAGAAUUAAAAGUAGAAUAAAAGAGAGAAUUCAAUGGAAUGCGAAUGUUAGGACCUAACAUGUCUUGUUUGCCUAGGAUGUAUGAGUUUAUGAUUUUUCUUUAUCAAGUUAGGUGAUUCUAUUCUACCCAUAUCUGUUCAUUUACUUGAACUUGAUUCCUCACGAUGACAAGCCUAUUUUAUUUAUCUAUCCCCCAAAUUCCUUUGCAAAGACUUAACAAAUAAAAUGCAUAAAGUAUGAAUUCUAGAUGUUUGCAAGAAUGCAUGGGCAUAAAAUUAUCAUUUUAUUCCUAGCAAUCACUUUCUUAUGAAAUCCUUUCUUUUUUAUUCUAUUAGAAGUUACCCUCUUCCGAGUGUCUAACCCCUAAAACUAAUGCAUGCAUAUUUUCUCAUUUUCUCUAAAUCUUAUUUAGAAGUUACCCUCUCCUGAGCGUCUAACCCCUAAAAGAAUAUAAAGAUGAAUAAUGCAAGAUAAAAGCAGAAAAGAUAAUAGAAUAGAAAAACCUGGAAAAGAAUCUUGUUGCAUUGAUAAAUAUGAAAUACAUCAUACAUCUCUUUAGCUUUUUAGGCCUGCCAGACCCUAACUAGGGGUUUAGCCACUCAUGGCCAUUGAGGGUUUUACAAUGAGAGGAGUGAAAGAAAGACGAUAAAAAGAGAGAAGAGAGUAAGAAUUCUCAGGCUUUAGGUAGUAAUGAGAGUGCUCUUAGACUUGGUGUGUUUUCUCCUUGGCCUGACUUCCAUUUAUAGCUGAUGAAAUGGACUUGGACUUGAUUCAAAAAAUCUUCCUUAUUUAUCUUUUUGAUAUCUUUUGGAUCUUGUAAAUCUUAUCUUUCCUAUAUCUGCAAGUUAUAGAUAAGAAAAAUAUAAAUUCAUAUCUUUUAAGCCAAACUAAAUAAAUAUCUUUAAAGAUAUUUUCAAAAUAGCUCAUAUUUAGUAGUUAUCAAUAUCUUUUGGAUCUUGUAAUCUUAUCUUUUCAUAUCUACAAGCCAUAAAUAAUAAAAGUAUCAAUUCUUAUCAUUUAAGCCAAAAAUAACUGCUAAAUAAAUAUUUUUAAAGAUAUUUUCAAUAUAGUUUCAUUAUAAAAUAACUCAUAUUUAACAGUUAUCAAAAUCCCCAAAUUAAAACUUUGCUUGUCCUCAAGCAAAUCAGAAUAAAAGCAAGCUCUAAAUGUUUCAACACUUUCAAUGGCUGCAAUUUUUCUCAAAUUCCCUUAGCUGGACCUUCUUGCAUUUGUCAUGAUCUUGCAAUGGAAGCAUAAACAAACACUGAGAUAGAAUUGGUUAGUGGCAGAAAUCAAUCAAGUCAGCUUGCCUCACUUUUCCUCACAAGGCUUUAGUGUUUCUCUUUGCACACAAGUGUCUUGGAUGAGUGUUUAAAUUUAUACGACCUGCCAUUAAUGUUCCCAAUUUUGCAUUUCAUCUUAGUUAAAGUUAUCUUGCUUACACUUGGUGGAUCACUAAGGACUUUUAUUGGCUUGUAAUGUGGCCUGGCUAAUCAAAGAAAUUAUGAUUUUUAUGGGAUUUCAAAAAUUAGGGUUAUAAGAGAGCAUUUAUCCUAGAAAAACUUUCACUUAUUCAGCCUAGCAUUUUUUUUAGUUCAUUGUUCUAAAAGCACUUAUGACGCCUAUUUAUUUACUGCCCUUGUUAUUCUUCUUUCCCUCUUUUUUUUAAAAAGAAACUUUUGGGCCUACAAUUUUUUUUAGGAAAGAAACUUUGGGCAUACAUUUUUUUUAGGGUGCCUUAAUUUGUGCUGUUUUACCUUCCUGAGAUAAUUUUUACCUUAACCCUCCCCUAAAUUAGGAGCAUAUCAUAACAAAGAUCCUUAUGCUCUCUUAAACCCUAAAACAAGGUAGGAAAUAAUUAAAGUAAGCUUAAGGGUAAAAUUAAGAAGAAACAUGACCUUGAUCAUUUCCACCUCAUGUAAUUAAUCAAACAGUCUAAGAAUGAUGCAAAAGCGGGAAAUUAAAAACAGACGUUCUCUCACAAGUAAGUUUCACACAACUCACUGGUACAAAACAAAGUUGUUGGCUUACCACACAUGAUUUCUUCCCAACAGACUAACCUUUUCCUCUCUUUGUUGUGAUUCAGACUCCACUACUUGAACAGACAUUUGCCUUCAUGGAACCAGCAUUUUCAUAAAAAUUGGUAUGCAACAUUUCAAGUGUCUAAGUCCUUCAGAAAAAGCUUAAAAAGUGACCUCAUAAUUAUCAUGCAAUUUUUAUUCAAUGACAUAAAAUGACUGAAUUUAAACUACUGAAAUUAAAUUGUUGAAAUUAAAGUAAGAUAAAGAAAAACAAAAACUAAAGACAAGAAAAAUAAAGAAACAAAAGAAAAGAAGAAAUCUUGAUAAGAAGAUUUAGGUCUCAAUCUUGUGUGGGCCUUGGAUCCCAAUCAGCUACUAGAUAUGCAAUAUGGUCUCAUCCUUAGUUCCAACUUCAGUGAUAUCUUUGACCUUAGAGGGCUCACCCCCCCUCCCCCAUCGGUAGAGGGUUGGACUCCUGGCCAAGCAACCUGUUGGAUGAAUGCCUCUGAGUCAUCAAUUAUGGAUACAUCCCAAGUGAACUGAUGUGCUGGGUUGUCUCCCAGCCAACGCUUAGUUUAUCGUCUUUAGCUAGACUUUGUGCCUUCCUUCAGGUAGUCAACGCUUGUCAACCUCUCCAAUUGUCCGCCAUUAUAGAUCUUUAAAUGUUGUCCAUUGACGAUCCAUCCCCUCUCACGGUUGUCUCCUGUAGGGUCCAUCAAUUCUACUGCUCCAUGAGGUCUCACUUCUUUAAUCACAAAUGGCCUUGACCACUUUGAUUUUAGCUUUCCUGGGAAUAAUCUAAGCCUGGAGUUAAAGAGUAAAACUUGUUGGCCUAGCUGGAAGUCUUAUCUCUGCAAUUUCUUGUCAUGAUAUGCCUUCAUCUUUUGCUUAUAAAUUCUAGAGGACUCAUAGGUGUUCAGUCUUAUUUCUUCUAACUCCAACAACUAUAAUUUCCUCCUUUCUCCAGAUGCGGCUUCAUCGAAGUUGAGCAAUUUGAGAGCCCAAUAGGCCUUAUGCUCCAACUCUAAUGGUAAGUGGCAUGCCUUCCCAUAUACUAGCUGGAAUGGAGACAAUCCGAUGGGGGUCUUGAAUGCUGUCCUAUAGGCCCAGAGAGUAUCGUCUAGCUUCAAAGCCCAAUCCUUUCUUGAUGAGGCCACAGUCUUUUCAAGGAUUUGCUUAAGCUCUCUAUUAGAAAUUUCUGCUUGGCCAUUUGUCUGUGGAUGAUAAGGUGUAGCCACCUUAUGUCUAACAUUGUAAUGCUCCAGGACUUUCUUCAAUUGGUUGUUGCAGAAGUGUGUUCCCCAUCGCUGAUUAGGGCUCAUGGGACUCCAAAACGGGAGAAAAUAUUUUUCUUUAAGAACUUUAUUACUACCCUAGCAUCAUCUUUCAGAGUGGCUAUGGCUUCCACCCACUUUGACACAUAGUCUAUAGCUACCAAGAUAUAAAUAUUCCUGUAUAAAGAAGGAAGGGGUCCCAUAAAGUCAAUGCCCCAACAGUAAAAUAUCUCUACCUCCAUGAUAUUUUGCAGCGGCAUCUCAUUUCUUUUAGAAAUUCCUCCUGUUCUCUGACAUUUAUCACAACAACGCACAAAAUUGUGAGCAUCUUCUAAGACAGAGAGCCAGAAAAAACCUAAUUGUAGCACUUUUGUCGCUGUCUUGUCUACACUGUGGUGACCACCAUAAGGCGAACUGUGGCAAUGCCAAAGAAUGCUUUGUGCUUCAUCCAUUGUAACACAUCUCCUCAGCAGAUUAUCAGCUCCUGUCUUGAACAGAUACGGGUCAUCCCACACAUAGAAGCGGGCAUCGUGCAAGAAUUUUUUCCGCUGACUCCAAUUGAAUUCUUCCAGAAUGAUCCCCGUGGCUUUGUAAUUAGCCAUAUCAGCAAACCAGGGUCUUGUGGCAACCUUUGAACCUACCAGAUAGGACCUGAAUUUCUCCAAGACAAAGACAAUGGCUAGCAUCUCUUUCUCUGUAGUGGCAUACUUAACUUGUGCUUCAUUGAGGACUUUGCUAGCAUAAUAAAUGGCGUGAAAUACCUUGUCUUCCUUUUGUCCUAGAACUGCACCCACUGCAUAGUCAUUGGCAUCACACAUCAACUCAAAUUCUUUACUCCAGUCUAGUGUAAUCAUUAUUGGUGCUGUCGUGAGCUUGGUCUUUAGGGUCUAGAAUGUUGCUGAACAAUCAUCCUCAAAAUUAAAAAUCACAUCCUUAUUCAACAAAUUACUUAAUGGCCUUGCAAUCUUUGAGAAGUCCUUGAUGAACCUCCUGUAAAAACCUGCGUGCCCUAGAAAGCUUCUAAUUCCUUUUACAUUUGAUGGUGGUGGCAACUUUUCAAUUACUUCUAUUUUUGCCCUAUCUACCUCAAUCCUUCGGGCUGAAAUCUUGUGGUCCAGAACUAUACCUUCUCGAACCAUGAAGUGGCAUUUUUCCCAAUUCAGCACUAGGUUAGUUUCUAAACACCUUUGUAGUACCAUCUCCAAGUUCUUCAAGAAGCUUUCAAAUAAGGGCCCAAACACUGAAAAGUCGUCCAUGAAUACCUUAAUACAUUUCUCCACCAUGUCUGAAAAAAUGGCCAGCAUGCACCUCUGAAAUGUGGCUGGUGCAUUACAUAACCCAAAUGGCAUCUGUCUAUAGGCAAAGACACCAAAAGGGCAUGUAAAGGCCAUCUUCUCCCGAUCCUUGGGGUCCACCGCGAUCUGGUUAUAACCUAAGUAUCCAUCCAAGAAGCAGUAGUAUGCUUGUCCCGCAAGCCUCUCCAGCAUCUGAUCCAUGAAGGGCAAGGGAAAGUGGUCCUUCCUUGUGUCUUCAUUCAGCUUGCGAUAGUCGAUGCACAUUCGCUAGCCAGUGACGGUCUGUGUUGGUAUCAGAUCGUUCUUCUCGUUCUGAAUGACUGUCAUGCCCCCUUUCAUUGGUACCACCUGUACUAGGCUUACCCAAGCGUUGUCAGAGAUGGGGUAGAUAAGCCCAGCCUCUAGAAGCUUGAGCACCUCUUUCCUUACCUCUUCCUUCAUUGUUGGGUUCAGCCUUCUCUGGGGUUGUCGAACUGGCCUGUAGUCUUCUUCUAUCACUAUCUUGUGCAUGCAAUAGGCAGGGCUAAUACCUUUGAGAUCUGAUAUAUGCCACCCAAUUGCUUCCUUGUGUUUCUUCAGAAUUUCUACUAACAUGUUUUCUUCUUCGGAUGUGAGUGCAUUGUUGAUCAUCACAGGCUUAGUCUCAUUUUCUUCCAAGAACACAUACUUUAGAUGGUUGGGCAAUAUCUUUAAUUUUACCUUCUUUUUCUCAGAUCUCAAAAUUGGCUUCCUCCUCAGGGAUGUUAUCUUGUUGAUCCAAGUCUUCUAAGCAAGCCUUGAGAUCUUCUUCUUCUUCACUGGUUAGGCAAUCUACCGCAUUCACCAUGGCUCUUUCCAGAGAAGUCUGUGGUGUUUCAAGAGUGCUAACAUCUUCCUUGUCAAUUUCCUCCACCUUGAAGCACUUCCAGCUCUCCCUUGGGUACUUCAUUGCUUUAAACAUGUCGAAUGUUACUUUCUGAUUGUCAACGCUCAAAUCUAGAUUUCCAUUCCCCAUAUCCACCACACAAUUGGCAGUCAGCAUGAAGGGUCUGCCUAAGAUAAGAGGAAUCUCCGUGUCUUCUUCGAUAUCCAUAAUGACAAAGUCCACCGGAAAAGUGAAGUGGCAGACUUUGACUAGGACAUCUUCUACCACCCCGUAUGGUCUUAUGAUUGAAUGGUCUGCUAGCUGAAGCGUCAUCCUGGUAGGGUCUAUCUUCAAAUCACCAAUUAUUUUGCACAUUGAUAGGGGCAUCAGAUUGAUACUUGCUCCUAAGUCAAUGAGGGCCUUGUCUACUGCCUCUUUCCCUAUGGUGCAAGGGAUAGUUACACUUCUGGGGUCUUUGAACUUCUUGUGUAGUUUCGUCUGUAUCACUGCACUACAGUUGCCUCCCACCACAAUCUUUUCAUUGUCAAUAUACUUCCUCUUCUUGGUGAGGAUGUCUUUCAUGAACUUGGAAUAAAGCAGCAUCUGCUGUAAGGCUUCCUCGAAUGGCAUUGUUAUCUCCAGCCCCUUGAAUAUUUCCAAGAAACGCUUGAAGUAACGCUCCUUGUUCUUCCUGGACGACACUAAAGGAUAUGAGGGCUCCUUUAGAGGGAAUGAUGGCUCUUCUUUCUUAGCCUCUUGGGCUAGCUGGCUUUUGGUCUUAGGAGUUAAGACCGUUUCUUCUUCUCUCUCUCCUUCUUUGUCUGUCCUUCGUUCCCCAGACUGGUCUUCCUUUGCUUCUUCCUCCUCUUGUGCCUUCUUGUAUCUUCUGGUCAACACAGCCUUGCACUCUUCCUUGGCGUUCUUUUCUGUGUUGGCUCCAAAGCUACUGGAGGGUCUUUCAGCCAUCUGUUUGGCCAAUUGUCCUACCUGUAUUUCCAAGUUUUUGAUCGAGGCUUCUAUGCUUUAGUAAUUCGACAUUGAAAUCUGUAUGAAUUGGUUUAACGUCUCCUCAAGCUUGUUGGUUUUCUUAUGAAUAUCUACCCAUUGGUUGAGAUUUUGGACAGACUGACUUUGUUGCUCCUUGUUGUAUUGAUUCCCUGGGUGAUUCCUCCAGCUUGAGCCUUGUGUAAAGUUCCUUCCUUGGUUGAAUCCUAGUGGGCCACUAUUAAAUCCGGUUGAUCCUUGAUUGAAUCCGGACGGACCUCCUUGGUUGUAACCUUGGAAUCCGUGGAGAUUUGGUAUGCCCAUGUACUUGACUUCCCUGGAAGGGUCUUCUUGGAUUGUGCAUUGUCCAGGCUCGUGUAUUCCUCUAUGUGUAUGACAUCCUCCUACCUACAAAAUAGAAGAGUGAGAAGGACUUACUGCUUAUAGUUAUUGUGGUAGCUUGUUGAAAGUCUCUAUUAGGGCUUCUAUUUGUCGGGACAACAACUUGUUCUACGCCAAGGUUGCAUCUUGAGUGGUGAGUUCUAGAAGGCUUUUCUUUGUUGGUGCAUAUGUGCGAUCACGAAGAAUGGCGUGAUCACUAGCCGCCAUGUUUUCUAUGAGUUCCAUUGCCUCCUCCGGUGUCUUUAGCUUGAUCUUCCCUCCUGCGGAUGCAUCCAGUAAUUGCUUUGAUUGUGGUUGCAGGCCAUCUAUGAAGAUGUUCAAUUUCACCGGUUCAUUGUACCCAUGUGUAGGCGUCUUCCUGAGUAGUCUAUGGAAACGGUCGAGUGCCUCGUUGAGGGAUUCCUCAGGAAAUUGAUGGAAUGAAGAGAUUUCCAUCUUCCCUUCAGCGGUCUUUGACUCUGGGAAGUAUUUCUUCAAGAACUUCUCUACAACUUCUUCCCAUGUCUGCACCCUUGAAUGAGUGUAACCACCUUUUUGCUUCCCUUGCUAGUGAAAAGGAAAAGAGAUUGAGGAAUAUUGGAUUUUCAGGAACUCCAGCUCUCUUGACCAUAUUGCAAAUAUCUAUAUAGGAGGCGAGGUGAGCAUAAGGAUCCUCGUUUGGAAGACCAUGGAAGAGGUUUCCUUGGAUUAAUUGGAUGAGAGAGUGAGGAUAAGAGAUGUUGGCCGCUUGAACCUCUGGCCUUGCGAUGCUUGUGAAGAAUUGUGGAGUAGCGGUACUAGAGUAGUCCUUUAGUGUGACUCGUUGUGCAUGUGCCUCCUCCAUUUGAAUAUGGAUUUAUGGAGAAGGGGGAGGUGAGGUGUAACCACUUUCUUGUGCUUCUGGCUUCCUUCUUCUUGCAGCAUUGUUACGCCUACAAGUGGCUUCAAUUUCCAAGUUGAUACGGACUAUAUGUCCAGUUGCAGUUCUACCUCGUAUACACAAAAACAAGUACUACCCGUGCAAAUUAUGGAAGAAAGAGUAGAAAAGAGAAUGAGAAAGAAAAAGUGCGAAAUAAAGAAUUGCUUACACAUUGAAAAGGUAUGGCAACCAAGUAUGAAGACAAAAUCCCCGGCAACGACGCCAAAAACUUGUUAACUCGUUGGCAAGUGUACCAAAUUUGUCACAAGUAGUAAAGUACUAAGAAGUCCAAGUGUCGAAUCCACAAGGAUUUUGUGUUUUACUUAUCUUGGAUACUUUUUAAUUUAUAAGGGAAUAAAAGAAAGAGUAGAAGACAGAAUAGAAGGCAAUAAUAGUAAACUAUGAAUAAAAAGCAAAAGAAUUAAAAACAAAAUAAUUAAAGAGAGAAUUCAAUGGAAUGCGAAUGUUAAGACCUAGAAUGUCUUGUUUGCCUAGGAUGUAUGAGUUUAUGAUUUUUCUUUAUCAAUUUAGGUGAUUCUAUUCUACCCACAUCUGUUUAUUUACUUGCCCCUGAUUCCUCAUGAUGACAAGCCUAUUUUAUUUAUUUAUCCCCCAAAUUUCUUUGCAAAGACUCAACAAAUAAAAUGCAUGAAGAAUUCUAGAUGUUUGCAAGAAUGCAUGGGCAUAAAAUUAUCAUUGUAUUCCUAGCAAUGACUUAUGAAAUCCUUUCUUUUUGUUUUAUUAGAAGUUACUUUCUUUCGAGUGUCUAACCCCUAAAACUAAUGCAUGCAUAUUUUCUCUAAAUCUUAUUUAGAAGUUAUCCUCUCCCGAGCGUCUAACCCCUAAAAGAAUAUAAAGAUGAAUAAUGUAAGAUAAAAACAUAAAAGAUAAUAGAAUAGAAAGACCUGGAAAAGAAUCAUGUUGUAUUGAUAAAUAUGAAGUACAUCAUACAUCUCUUUGGCUUUUUAGGCCUGUCAGACCCUAAUUAGGGGUUUAGCCACUCAUGGCCGACUUUACAAUGAGAGGGGUGAAAGAAAGACGAUAAAAAGAGAGAAGAGAGUAAGAAUUCUCAGGCUUUAGAUAGUAGUGAGAGUGCUCUCAGACUUGGUGUGUUUUCUCCUUGACUUAUCAUUUUAGUAAAAGAAUAACUGCUAAAUAAAUAUUUUUAAAGAUAUUUUUAAUAUAUUUUUAUUAUAAAAUAACUCAUAUUUAAUCGGUAUCAAAAUAUAAUUAAAAAAUUUAAUAUAUAUUUUUUUUUAAUUUUCAUUAGCGUAAAUUAAGGAAGUUUGGUGGAUAUUGCCCAUAGAACCUUGGUGGAUGUUACACGGACAUAUGUAUAUCGUACGAAGCAGGAUAUUAUUACGCGGACAUACGGUUCAAACUUGUGGACAUAUAUAUAUCGUACGAAGCAGGAUAUUGCCAUUCUUGGAAAACCAAUGAUGUGUCAGGUAAGAUUUAGGACCCGUCAUUGGAGAUGUUAUUUUAUUUUUCUUUUGGUUUAUAACUAACAGAAAUUAAGGAAAAAUACAUGGAACAAGGUUACCACCAAAUGUCUUUUUUCUUAUCAAUGUGAUUAUAGUGUAAUUUGAAGUUACUCUGAUAUAAAACCAAAUCAAGAUAUGGGGAAAAAAUCAAAGCACGGUGUUCCUUUAUUGGAAGCCUAACUCUCACCUUGCAAUGCUAGAAUUGGAACAAGCAACUCCCCAGAAGACCCAUUUAAACCGAAAAGGAAUUAUUCUCAACCAAGAGGAAAAUUAAACCAUGAAAAUCCCGUUAUGCGCGGUUUCUCACCAGAAUCUCAUGUGCAUGCAGUACGAUAUUUGUAUGAAAAAUGUUUAGUCACAGUUCUUUCAUUCAUUCAAUCCAUUAUCAUAACUUUUUGCAAUACAAAAAUUUCUAGUUUAGGCGUUUAAGAGGGCAUUCACCAAUUUCCUGCAAUGGAAAAUGAUGCUGGAGCAACUAGCAAUAGUUUGUAUGGGGAUUUUGAACCUUACUGAAAAUGGGUUACAAAGGAAGGACAACAGACUCUUGAAGAGUUUUCUGACUUUGCCUUCUCUGUUUCUUAGCAUUUUCACCUCAACAUUUAUUUUUAGACAGUGGUGUCUGUUGGACUUUGGCUUGUUUAUUUCUUAGGCUACUUCCUAUCCUUAUUAGUGCCACGUUUUUAAUUUCCAUUCAUAAAUUUAAAACCAACAAGCUAUCAGCCAUCCUAAGACAAUCCUUAUCAAGAAAAUGAAGAAGACAUUAUCUAGCUUAAAGAUAUUUGAUUGAGUAAAUUACACUAGUUAUUUCUUAGAUUUAGUGAAAUUUUCACAAUCUUUUCAUACUUUUUUUACCCCUACACUAACCCCUCAAUUAUUUCAAAAAUAUUAUUCCAAUACCUCUUAUACAUUAUACUAAUCUUCCUUAAUUGUUUGAAAAACAUUACAUUGUGUUCACUUAAAAAGAAGGUAGUUGUAAAUGUUAAAAAAAAUAAGACUUAAUUUAGAGAGGCAUAUAGAAGUAGAAGUAAACACAAAUCUAUUUAUAUACCCAACUCCAACUCAAUAAGGAUCCUAAGUAGGCAUUCUUCUUACAGGUAUACAAAAUUUAACUUUCUCAACUGCUAUGAACAGUUGAUAUAGAUCAUAUAGUAGUAUGCUAGCUAAAUCCUAAGAAGUACACUUUCAAAAUUUAACUAAUUUAAGCUUUUCUCCUUCCUGAUCAAAUUAUUUAGCAUAACCAACAGAACCUGAUCAUCGUAGCAAUUAGAAGGGAAAAAGUUAAACAUGCAAAAGCAAAAAAAUUAAAGAUCUAAAUUUGUAUUGAUGGAAAUAUUUAAAAUGGAUAAAUAACCAAUUUUCUAUCGGAAAGUGUGAGACAGUAUCAAUUUAAUUCUUAAAAGUAAUAAAAUGAAAGGGGAAAAAUCUCCUUACAAUAUCACUUUAGUUCCUAAACUUAAUACUUAUUGUCAUUUAGUCCACGAAGCUAUACUUAUAUUUAUAUUUAAGUCACACAACAUUUAGAAUUUUGGACUAAAAUAAGUGACAUCUUGCAUUUUCAAAGAAUUUUUUUUUCUAACCUAAAAAUGAUCAUUUACUUAUCUAUUUGACAUGUUUUUAUAUCUAACUAAUAUGAUAUUAAUAGUCAUUUUUAAACUUCGAUGUUUUUAUGUGAAUACUAGUUUAGUUGACUUCUUUCACUUAAAUUUACAAACUUUUAGUUAUUUAGUUAAAAAAAUAUUAUUCCAUUAUGAUGUCUAAAAUUAAACUAAAUUAGAAAUAUAUUUAAAACACCAUAUAUUUACAAUAAGUUUUAUGUUCUGUUUAUAAGAUUGAAAUAUAUUGUCAAUAAACAUACAAAAAUAAAUAAAUUAAUUAAUUAGCAUUCAAAUUUUUUAUUAAAAUUAAAAUUUGCAAAUGUAUAUACUUUUAGAUCACAUAUACUAAUAUUAGUAGUAUAAACAAAAUUGUAAUAUAUUAUUAAAUAAAUAUACAAAUAAAUUACAAAUAUAUUAUUAUAUUGUUUUAUAGUAGAACUUGUAAGGAAAAAUCUAAAAGUAAACAAAAAGUAUAUUAAAGAAUUUUUUUCUUUCUUUUAAUUACAAUGUAUAUAUAAGGUAAAUAUCUGUUGGUUUAUGUAAUUUUGAAAUAUAAAAAUAUAUAGAAAGAUAAAACUUGAAAGGUUAUAUAUAGAAAAUGCAUGAAGUCGUGAAAGAUGAAUAUAAAUGAGUCAAAAGUACAUGAUGAAGAUAGGGUGUACAGCAGUUGGGUUAAGUCAAUUUUUUACAACUGAAACCAAAAUAAUAAAAUAAAAAACAUGAAAAAAAUAAGAAAAAAGCUAUGGAAAACUUGCCUGUCCCCAAAGCUAUGGUUUGUAGCAAGGAGGGGCUUUCUGAUGCAGAGCUGCUGAGAUAAGGAUCAUCAAAUCGAAUAUCUUCCUCCAUACUGCCUUCUUCUCUGAAUAUAUGGAUUCCAAUUGCUUUAAUGAGUGAGCUCUCUAAGUCUAACACACCUUCUUCUUUCUUUUCUUUUUCAUAGUCUAACACACUUUGAUAUCUAACCUCCACAUGGUUCCAUUCCUUUUCCCUAGCCACUUCUUCAAACCAAUUAUUAUCAUUGAAACAAAAAUCUUGGAGAUCAAAGAUAUAUGUAUGAUCCAAUUUCAACAUACUUUUUAUCUCCUCACUUCCAAAAUAUUUUAGAAAUUUUCCAUUGAUUGACACCUUGGGUUUAACGAAAAAAUACCCGCGGUCACCCAAGACAGGUGCAAUAAGAAGACAAAGAAGUUUGGCAGGGAAUUUAUUACGAAACCAGAAAGAACUUGAAUGUCCACUGCUUUGCUGAUCGAACCACUCUGGUAUUCUUGUUCCUGGAAACAUAAACUGGGUCCCUCCAGCCUCAUGCAGUUCCUGUUAGUCAUAAUUCAUACAGAAUUCAUAAGUUUAAGAGCAUUAAGUGCACUAUAUGUAUGCAUUUUUUUUUAUCAUAUUAUUCAAUUUAUCACUUUUUUUUUAUCAUAUUAUUCUAUGGGACACUCCAUGAUAUGAUUUAAAACUAGAACAACAUAGGACAUGAGAUUAAAACAUAGUACAUCUUGGUUCUACUAAUAAGGGUGAAAUUAGGGAAAAUUGAAUAGAAUUUUUCUUUGGGAUUUCAUCUUGUUCCUUUUUGUGUACACGUAAAAUUCUACCUAAGGAUGAAAGUAGAUUAUUUAGUGCUUCAAGUCCUGCUAGAAUGCCUUCAUUGUCAUCAAAUGCCAACUACUCGUGGAAGACAAGAAUCAUACUCAACAUUGAUAGUUAUUCCCAUAACAUAAGCAAGCACUAGGUAACUUCUUUUGUCUAAUGACAACAUGUUUAUUAUAUAUAUAUACACACACACUACCUGGAUACUGCUUGUAUUGGUUUGGUUCUGUUUUUAAUUUGUAGGUUUAGGUUAAUUUACAAAAAAUAGAAUAUUAAAUAAAAUGCACAAAACAACAUUGGUUCUGGAUGGAACUGAUGUUGUAAGGACACUUUUCACAUCGGUUUUGGAAAAGACCAUGUCCUGGUCACAUUCAACGUUGUAAUGAUAUUUUCUACAUCGGGUUUUCACAACUGAUGUCGUAAAAAUACUUUCUACAUCAGUUUUUUUUUCAUAACUGAUGUUGUUAUGCAUCUAACAACAUCUGUUAUGAAAAAAACUGAUAUUUUUGUAAUUUUUGUUUUUUCUUUUUGUAUAUUUCUCACUAUAGGACAUCAGUUUUCGUACAAAUAGAUGUUGUAUAAUGUAUGUUAACAUUGAUUUUUUUUUAAAAUUGAUGUUAACAUUGAUAAUGUUAAUGUCGGUGGUUUCAAUAUUGGUUAAAAACCGAUGUUGAAAGUAAAAAAUAAUCGACGUGAAAAGUCUAUUUUCUAGUAUUGUCUUAUACUUUGAUUAUCUAUCUAUUUAUUCGUCUAUCAAAUUAUUAAUUAGUUUUUUUAAUUAAUCAAUAUAACUGCUUAUUUUCCAAAAUAAAACAAAUUUCUUUAUUUUUAUGAUAUAAAAAAAUCAAGUUACCAUUUAAAAAAAAAUAAAAGUCUUUUAUUUCUUGAAAUUUUUUGUUUCUUCAAUUAAUUAUUAAUCUUUAUUACGUACUCUACCAAAUGGAAUGCAAGGUCACUGCAACCCCUAAAUCAGCGAGAAAUACAACUCUACGCCCCAAAGGCAAAGAAUAAACCUUUGUAUUAGUUUUUUUUUGUUUUAAAAUUAACCUUUGUAUUAGUUUGAACAUUAUCGUAUUUUUUAUUUAAAUUUAUUUUGGUUUUUUAUUUUUUUUAGUAACUGUUUUCAUUUCAUUCAUAUUAUAUAUAAUAAGUCUUGUCUCGAGUGAAAGCACAUAAGGUUUAUCCAAGAGAUUCUUUCAUAUUUGAGGUAUAUUAUUGAUUAAGGAAAAAGACUUAUAAUUCUAUUUUACCUUUAUCUAGUUUAAAUUUUGAGAGACUUCUUUUUAAAAAAAAUUCCUUUUUUAAAUAAAUAAAUAAAUAAAUUUGGUCUCGUGACCGAUUGUAUUUUUUUUUACUCAAAACUAUCAACAUAUUAUUUUCAAUCUAAAUAUGAGGACACUUAAGUAGGAAUUGUGAUAUGGAAUAAUUUUAAAAAUUAAAAGUGAGAAAUUUAGUAGAAAUUUGAUAAAAUUAUUAGAUAUAAGAUAAAGUUUUUUAACAACAACGAUUAAGAUUUGACAAGGAAAUCAAAAUAAUAAAAAUAUAUAUAUUAAAAAGAAAUUUAAAAAAUAUGUUGGAUAGGUACUAAACAAAUAGGAGCAUAAAAUUACAAACACAUAAUAAUAGUAACAAUAAUAAUAAUAAGAAUAAUAAUAAUAAUAAUAAUAAUAAUAAUAAUAAUAAUAAUAAUAAUUACUCACAAUCUAUUAUUAACGUUUGGAUAUAUCUGUUCUACUUUUUAUAAUUUCGGGAACUAAAUUUUGCAUUUUCAUCUCUCACGGACGCAUUUGUCAGUGAAGUGAGAAGACAAAAAGUCAAACAAAUAUUAUGACAAAUAUGUCGCUCUGCUAGCUAUCCACACGGUAACUACAAAAGUUAACCGCCGGAUAUAUUUGUUGCACUUCUUCUUACACUUUCUUCAUCUUUUAGGGACAUGUUUACCCGCGAAUUACGUAUUGAGGGCCAAAAAGUAUUAUUUACCCAAAUAAUUAUUUCCAAAAAUAUCACAAAAACAACCAUGAAAGAAAAAUAUAAUUAUUUUUGUGGAAUAAAUUAACAUACACUUAUUUUAAAAUUAUUGAAAAUGUAUGAAGUAUUAAUUAAUGAAAUUUUAAGAUAUUACUAGUAUUUAAUUUAAUUAGGUGUUUAUUUUUAUUUUUAUUUUUCACAAAUUAGGAUCAUUCUAAUUCUAACUAUAAUUAUAUUGUAUCAUUUUAAUUCUAUAAUUUAGAAUGGAACAGAGACAAACGAAUAUGUAUCUAAAAAAAAAAACAAAAGUAGAGACUGAGAAAGAGUUGUGGAAAUGGAGGGUGGUGGCGUGGUCUUCAUCGACUUGAAUUCAAUGGUUGUUGGAGGUAGUCACUCUUCUCCUCUUUCAAUUUGCAUCUCUUUCUCUCUCUACCUCAAGUUUUAUCAUUCCUAUCUUCUACAAAUUUGAUUUUGAUUUAUAGGUUAUUUCAUUUGUUUCUUCUAUUUCUAUGGAUGAAUUUGUUCUUCGGAAUAAAUUUUAGAAAGUGAUGAGAUCUUGAGAAAAGUCAAGCUUGUCUUUGAAAUGAUCUUUGGUAUUAUUUGUCAUUAUAGUUCUUUAAUUCUCACAUAUUUGUUGCAGCUUACAAGAUAGUAUAGGUAGUUUCCAAGUAUGACAAUAUACUAAUACAUAAAAAGAUGUUCAAGUCUAUGGGUAGAUUAUUAGAAAUAUGUGGCCCUGAAACUCAGGUGUGGAGUACACAUGAAUUGCUUUGAUAGUUUUCACUGCAAGUAUAUUUCUUCUUGUUGACUUGUUCCUUCCAUGUACUUAGUGUUUAAACAUUUAGCUACCUAUGCUACUAUAGAAAAGCUUUUUUAAGACGGUGGAAAAGAGGAUACAACGACGGUCGCUGACCGCCGUUGUAUCCAACGUCGUGGAAAGUAAAAUCUUUCAACGUUGGGGUCAAAGUCAAACAUCUUAGAAAGUGAUGAACUUUCAAAGAUAGGGUCUACGUCACCAACGUCUUUGAAUGUACAGAAACAAAGACAGUGCUUACGUAAGCACCGUCUUUGUUUCCGUACUUUCAAAGACGUUGGUGACGUAAGCACCAUCUUUGAAUUUAAGGUUAUUUUUAACUAUUUAAUUUUUUUCUGAAUGAUAUCCCAUAAAAAAAUUAAAAAAAUAUUUAAAUGACAAAUUAAAUCAAAAUAAGAGGUUCACAAAUUAUUUAUAUUUGAUCUAUCAUUUAAAUAUUAAUUUUAUAAAUGAAUUUUAAUAUUAAUUACAAGAGUGUAACAUACCUUGUUUUGUAUGUCAAAUAGGUUGAGAAACAGGCCGCCUUUGAGUUGCUUGAAUGUUUGCUAGACUUUUCAAGUGGUUCCAUAUCAUCCCACCCAUCCCUGUCAAUUCCUCAUCAAUUCCAUUCUCAAGUUCCCCCAGCCAAAUUUGGGAUAGAGUUUACCGCCAAACGAUAAAUGAAAUCAUCUAUCCUUGCUUAAAUUUGUUGAUUAUGCUCUAAAAAAAAUAGUGAAUCUCAAUGCUCUAUAACACUUUUUGUAUAGCCAAAGGACAAAAGAAACUCAUCACAGUCACUAAAACUAUAAACUAAAUUACCACAAGCAGUAUUUAUCCCUUCAACAGGCCUAAACGUAGAAAAACCUGAACAAGUGAAAGAACCCCUUACCAGGAAAAAAACCCCUAAAGACUGGACUGUGACCUAAAUUAAAGUACGCCAUUUCCAUAAUUAUAGUCAAAGAAUUUGAUUUCUAACAAUUUGAUUCAGGAAUUUCAUUUCCUCAAAAUUUACUAUCAGUCAUGGACUUAAAGCUUCCAAAAUGAUCCAUUUUAUUUGACUAUACAAGCAAAGGCAAAUAAACAUAUAAUCCAAAAUUUUGAUUUCAUGUAAUUUCCUUUACCACGGUUCCAUUUAACAACAUAUACUAGCAAAAUUAACUAUAAGAAAACAGAUUACAUUGAUAAUUAAAAGAAAACCAUAGACACAAUUAAAAAAAUUGAACAAGGCCAGUGGCCAAUGUCCAAGUGACUUAAUGAGUUAUUGCAAAAUUUGAAAUACAAUCAACUAAUGUUGAUAGCAAAUCAAAUACUCACCUUAGCAGACUCAAAUUACCAUUGUUGGCUUCCUAUGCUCGACUGAAUUGGAAGGGAGUAAGUUUAGCAGCUGUUCUUACAAUUGUGCUCUCUGGAGAUGGGUUUUCUUAGGAAGCUUCCUGCAAAACAGGUAUUCAACUAGUGACUUUCUGGAGAUGGGUCUCUCUAGAUGGGUUUUCUUUUAUGGGUGAGUUUGUUUAAACUUAAAAAAAAAACUUUAAAAUAAAUGCUUUUUAUAUAAGCGCUUUUUAAGUAGAUAAGAUUUUGCUUCUUAGAAUAAGCAUAACAAAACUAUUUUUUUUAAGCAAAAACAUUUUAGACAAACACAUUAAAAAAACAAAAAAAUUGCUUAUUAUAUUAAGCCAAUAAUGACUCAAAUUAAAUGUCUCCACUAUAUAUCAUUGAAUAUAUGGGAUAUAUACGGUGAGAAAACUUGAUGCAAAAGACAAAGUGAGGAGUCAUAAAAAGCCAAUGACUCAAAUUAAAAGUCUCCACUAUAUAUCAAAACAAAUGGUUGAAGCACAAAAACAUUAUACCUGCAAUAAAGCCACAAAAGAUGAUACCAGACCAUUAAUGCUACAGCACAGAUCUGUACACAACUUUACAGUCUUUAUACUGCCCUCCAGAAAGAGACGAGACACUUUCAUUCAGCAAGAUUUAUAUAAUUCAGUCUGAUAAACAUAGAAGACAAUUUUUAUUCUCUGAAAUUUACAAAACAUGAAAUAGAACAAACAAAAAUGCCAAUUUUUAUUCUCUUAAAUGUUGAUGACAUAUCUAGAGGACUACAAACCCAUCAAGGUGGCAUAGCAUGUUGAUCUCUUUGGCAAAACAAUCACGCAGUGGAAGCACAACAGGAACUUCCCAUCUAGCAUCAAGAUAUUGUAUAUCUGCAGGUAAUGAGUAUCGUUGACCCUGUUGAAACAAUGACCAUUCCCAAGAUUCAUAGAUAAGGUCUUAAGGAAUACUACACAGUAUAAGCAACACAUGUUAGAUUUCAUCGAGAGACAAGAGCAAUGUGGACACAAAUCCUAAAAUCCACAACAACUUAAAAUGCUAACAAUAAAAGUCGUAACCCUUAUCAUGUUAAAUUAUUUUUCAUAUAUUUGUUUGCGAGAAAUUUUCAAACAUGCAAAACUUUUGGAGGGCCAUUCAACAAUACCACAAACAAUUAUAAUAACAUCCUAAAGUUAAGUCAACCGUUAACAAACUACUUCUUCAACACCAAAUAACCAAAGAAAAAGACAUGAAAGCUUACCUUAGCAAGCACUUGCAGGCCGCGACAACUACAGGGCACGAGCCGUUCACGGUGGUUCAAAACUCAGAACCAUGCCACAAGGAUCUCAGGGAUGUGCGAAAACCUAGGGCAUGAGCCGUUCACGGUGAUUCGUUUGCGUGUACUAAGGUUCCUCUGCGGAAGUCAUAGUGGUGCACGAGUUCCUUUACAGGGCAGCUAAAAAGAAGAGAGAGAGGGUUUUCGAGUAAUGAGCGUGUGUUUGAAUUAUUUAUUCCUUAAUGUUAACAACGGUGUAUAGGUAAACCCGUCUUUGUAAAUAUUUCACUUGCCCAACCUACUAAGACGGUGUAGCAAUGAAACGUCAUUGUAGCAGUUAAAUAUUUACAUAAAUGCCACCGUGCAGCCUACUACAACGUUUAUAAUGCCCCCGACUUUGAAGGUGCGUCGUAAAAUAUGCUUUUUUUAGUAGUGUUAUAUCCAACCUCAAGUGCAUUAUGUUUUCUUUAUUAACUUACACGGUUAUUUCACCUCUAGUUUAUUUCUAUUUCUUUUUGUUACAUUGUCUAUAACUAUUUUUCCCCCUUUUUGAAUUUAACCUAUACAGGAACAUAAGUUUUUUAUUGAUCCCAUUUAAAUGGCAUAUUUAUACAAUGGAAUCAUUUUGGAGGUAAUUUUAUGUUUGAAAUAGCUUUAUGUUUGAAAGUCUUGUGGAUAGGUUUACAUUAUCAUGGUUGUAACCUCUUUUAGUUGUAUAGAAAGUAAGGAGAAAGAAAAUAAUAGAAAUUAGCUUAUGUAGGGAAAUAAGAGAAAAUAAUAUACCUUCCUCUUUAUUUCAUAGACAUUUAAUUUUCUUUUUUGUAGUCUCAUAAAUCACUUGCUUUUUUUUCUUUCUUAAUUGUAGAUAAUCUUGAGGGUCUAUUCUUUUAAAUUGAAAGGGUAGUUGAUGUAGUGAAUACGUGGUGAACUGUUCCAACUAGCAAAAAGAACUAUUUGAUUUUUUAAUCAAUUUAUAAUUUAUGUAAUCUAUUGUAGGAAGAACUUGAAAGAGAAAUAACAAGGGACUUUGAUUGCCUGAGUCACCCAUAUAUUAGGCGGAAACUAGUAUAGGUUAGUAUUAUACCUUUUUAAGCUACCUCAACUGAAUUUUCAUAGUAUGUAAAACAUUUAUUCCAAGUUAUUAUAUGAAUUUGGGAGAAAUAUUCUUACUGUUUUUAACUAUCUCUAGUCUCCACUAGGAAGUUUUGGAUCUCUUCUUCAUGGUUUGUACUUAUAUAGUUUACAAUUUUCUCACAUCUAAAAACUUUCCGGUCAUAAAGAACUCAUAUUUGGUGGUUGGGCAUCACAUAAAUGUGUACUCCUAUUGUGGUUGCUAUUCUGAAUUUCAAUUGCUUGGACAGGAAAGAUGGACAUGACAAACAAGAAAUUGUCUCUUGACAAUUCUCAACAAGGAAAAAAAGAAUUUUUGACAAAAGUAAGAAUGAUCAAGAGCAUUUAACAUAAUUCAUGUUUUGUUUAAGGGUGAAGAUUUAACAUUCAACAUGAGUCUAGUGGUUGCAUUGGAGUAGUAUAUCAACUUCUUUCGGAUAAUAUUCCCAGAUGGAUGAAAGAUACUUUUAUUGUGAGUUUGUGUAGUUAAGGCAUAGUGUUUUGUUAUCUUUUGAAGAUCAAUUCUCAUUGUAGUUUGACCAACAAGUUCUUUCAUUUCUUUUAGCCUAUUCUUAUUUUUUUUUGUUAAAAAUCAUAGCAAUGUUAUAUGGUGUAAUUUAUGGCUUUAGGACUCUACAAAUAGUUGUUGGGGGUAACAACAAGAAUUUCAAUUUUUAUUAUUUUUAUAAUGUGUUUAUCAUUGAGAUUAUUACAAUGUGUUUUUUUGUUCUCAUAUCUUCUCUUUGGUGGGGGUUGGGAGGGAGACAAGGGGAGAGGAUCUUGUUGGCUUGGUUUGAUUCUAAAUCUAAAACAAGUUCUAUGUUGCACUGGUUGUUACUAUAUUAAAAACACACCGUGACGGUUUUUAGCCGUCACUAAAUUAAAUUAAUUAUUUAAAAAUUUAAAAUUUAACAUAACACUAACAUUUCUAACAGAAAAUUGAAAAAUAGACCACAUUAAUAUAUUUAGAAAUUUUUAAAUUGAAUGUAGCAAAGCAAAAUAACUGUGGAACAUAAUGGACCAAAAGUAACAUUAAAUCUUUAUAAAGUGACAACCAUAGUUUAGAAAACCAUAGCAAAAUGAGAAACGAUUACUUAGUUAUGUUGGAUAUCCCAACCAUCAUAUGCACCCACUUCUGCCAGUACUUCUUUUCAUGUAUGCCCUUCCUUCGUCUUCUCUUUGUCUUCUAUGAAUCUUUCUAAGUAAUUCCCCCUAUUCUAGAAGGUCUUGAGUCUAUGUACAAAAAAUAGGUAAAUGUUAUUUUGGUCAUUCAAUGUGUAUAUUGGUGACAGUUUAAUCCUUGAAAACAAAUAUUUUGAUUUAAUCCAUAAAUGUGUAGACAACAAUUUAGACUAUGUUUGGUAAAACUAUCUUAUAAGAUAGAUAAAAGCUCACAAACUAACUGAAAGAUUACAAGCUACAAGCUAAGAGUUGAAAGACUGGAGGCUAGCUGAAAGAGUUUGGUAAGACUAACCAAAAAACUAGUCGAUAAAUGUCAAAUUACAUGAAAUAACAUAUUUAAUAUUUUUAUCAUUUGAAUUUAUUUCUAAUAACUUAUCAUCUAAAAAAGUCAGAUAAUAAUUUCUUAAAAUUUUGUAUUAUAAGGAAAUUGUAAAGAUUUAGAGAUUUUACUUACAUCAUUUAAAAUCAAAAUUUUCAUAUUAUUUUUUUGGAAAAAGUAGAAUUAAAUUAAAUAAACCUUAUUAGAUUUAUAGCAUUGUUUAAAAUCAUUUUUAACAUUUAAAUACUUUAUUAAUACUACUAUUUUGAAACAAAAUAAAAAGUUGUAACCUUAAAGUAGUGGUGUAGAGAUGACAAUUGAUGAGUUGACCAUUGAAUAAGUACAAGGGUGGAUUUAGAAUGAAUAAAUACAAGGGUGGAUUUAGAAAACUAUCAAAGGUGGUUGAUUUUCUUUUUGUACUUUAAUUAUUUAAAUAUCUAACUUUUGAAAAAUAAAUGUUAACAUUUAAUAAAUAAUAAAUAAUAAAUUUUGUAAAUUAUUUAUUAAUUUAAUGUAAAAUUAAAAAUGAUUGUAUUUCAAUUGAUACAAGAAGAAAAUACAUGCUUUUAAAAAAAUUAUAUUACAAUGAAGAUUAUAUAUGGGAAGAGUCAACUUACAACAAGAAUUAAUCUAUUACAACUACUUUUCAUUCUUAUCAUUUUUUAAAAAUUUAACCAAUAAGAUUAAUGAUCUAUUAUAAUAUUAGAUUUCAAAAAAUAAAUCAUAAAAAUAGAAAAUAUAACUCUAAAAUAAUUAUUAUAAAUGUAAGUUGAUUAUUAUUAUUAUUAAGUUUCCCUUCUUCAUAUCUAACAAGAAGAAAUUGCAAUUUUUCAUAAGAGGAUGAUGAGAAUCAUGUUUAUUAGUAUUACUGCUAAGGUGUAAUUAAAUCAAGGACAAGUGUUUCGGGAUAUACAAAGUGUGGGUAGUGACAUUGGUGCUGGGUGAUGAAAUACAUACCCCAUUUUUUUCCACUUUCAAGUUUCAAACGGAUAAUAAUUAAAUAAAAGCCAGUAAUCAUGGUUUAAGCAUUUUUUCUUGGGAGCUUCUCCCAAUAAGGUUUUUCAUAAUUUCCUCUAACUAGCGAAGAAUCUUCAGUCCUCCUUCGGAUGAAAUUGGGUUCGUGUUGCUUCUAGUAAUGUGUGUUAGGAAUUUUAUAAUUCCUAAUUAAUUAAUAUGGGCUACAUAUUAUAUUAUAAUAUUUAUAUUAAUUAUUUACAUUUAUAUGGGUUUAAUAUAAAGUGAUCUAAUUCAGUGAGCCCAUUAGGCUGUCAACAGAAAAUUGAUAUGAGUUUAAUGAGCGGAAACCAAUUUGACCCAUUAGGGGAUAAUGAGAACCCUAAUAGGUUAAAACCUAAGGCAUGGUUAUGGUCUCCAAUACACCAAAUCAAUAAACAGUUUUCCUCUCCCCAUCUGAAGAGAAAACGAAGGUCCCAUAAGGAAGAAGGUGAUUUGAUUGAGGAAGGUCAUUAUACCAAUUGUUCGUGACCGCUGUAAGAUUCCGCUGCGUGUUAAUCAAACUCUAUGGAUCCAGGUAUUCCUCAUAACCUCUCUCUUGAUAAUCUAAUGUAAUGUGUUAUGGUGCUCAUUUGAUAUUUGAUAAGGUUUAUUGAAAAUUCCCAACAAGUGGUAUUAGAGUCACCAUUAUUGUUAGAUUAUUGAGAUUUAAAGUUGUUUGAUAUGUAUUAUAUCUGGAUUGUCUUAGUUUUAUGAACCUUUUUUUAAUUUGGGGGAGAAACUAUUUCAAUCAGUAAAAUUGUAAAACCCCUAAAUUUAUGUGUUAUGGCCAUAAAGUUUUUCUCUUCUUUAGAAUUAAUAAAAGGUCUUUGCAUUUGAUUUACGGAAUUGUACAAUUUUUUUGUUUGUGUCACGUUUGUUGGCAUAUUAUUCUAUUAGGGAUAAAGGUUCUAUGUAUCUGGUGUUGGCAUCUAGUACGUGGCACAAUUUCAUAUGUAGAUAUUUUUUUUGUUUAUAUGAAUCAGUAAUAAGGCAAUGAUCUUUUGUCUUAUAUGAAUAAUUUAUUAUUUUUUGGCCAACUAUUUUUUCUUCAUGAAUAAGUGAUAAGCUAAUAGUUUAUGAUAUUCAUGUGAUUAGUAUAAAUUUGUGAUAGUACCAUGGUAUGUUCGUUUUGUAUGCAUAAUUAGUUUACCAUGAUAUUGUUUUCAAAUAUUAAUUGCUAUCAUAAUUGGGUGCAAAUUUAACCAUUAUAGAUUCUUUCCAUUUAAUUGCAUGUCCGGUAAUUUUAAUUAAAUUGAUUGAAUCAUUAUGUUGCCAAAGUAACUUCUAUUGUGUAAAUUGAUUUAAUUAAAUUGCAUGGAUGUUAGUAUGAAAUUAUUUAUGCGAAUUGUGCUCGGCCCAAAGGAAGACACAAUUUGGCCAAAUAAUAACAUACCUGCGAUGAUAAAUAUGUGAUAAUUAUAAAGUUUUUUUUUCAUGUGAAUAAUAGUCGGUCCAAAGAAAGACUAUUAUUUGACAGAACUAAUUGUCAAUAUUUGAUCAUUGCGUUGAGAGUACCAAUUAAAAAUUAAUUUCUUUGUCCAAAGACUAGAAUUAAUGUUGUGUUGGGUAUCUUGUGAUAGAUCUAUUAUGGGAAAUAUUUGCAUGUCUUGUUAUUUAUACUUUAUAUGACUUGCUUGAUUAUUUGUGAACAUGUUAUUUUUGUUCUCUAUUUAGUUAAUAUUACUAGUGCUGCAAAUGUUACUGCCCAAGUGAAUUCUAUCCCAAUGCUGAAUGGGACGAAUUUUAAGGUCUGAAAGGAAGUUGUAGAAAUUGUUCUUGGUUGUAUGGAUUUGAAGUUGGCAUUGAGGAUGGAACGAACCAUUUCCACUCCGGAAACCUCUAAUGAGGUAAAAAUUGAGAAGUGGGAUCAGUCCAACCGAAUGUGCCUUAUGAUCAUGAAGUGCUCUAUUCUAAUGGCGUUUCGGGGCUCUAUUUCUGAGGGUCAAAGUGCAAAGGAAUUUCUUGAGGAAAUUGAGCAAUACUUUGCCAAAAAUGAAAAAGGGGAGACGAGUAACCUUUUGGCUAAACUCAUCUCCAUGAAGUAUAAAGACAAAGGGAACAUAAGGGAGUACAUUAUGGAGAUGUCCAAUCUCGCAUGAAAACUCAAGUCACUUAAGUUAGAGCUUGGUGAAGACCUGCUCGUGCACUUGGUUUUGAUCUCGCUUCUUGCACAUUUUGGGCAAUUCAAAGUGAGCUAUAACGCUCAGAAGGACAAAUGGUCCCUUAAUGAGCUUAUAUCUCAUUGUGUGCAAGAGGAGGAAAGACUACAAAGAGAUAGGAUUAAAAGUGCUCACUUGACUUCGACCUGUUAGAAUAAGAAAAGGAAGAAGACUAAGGGUGUUGCAGAAGGGACUUCUCAGCAAAAGAAACAAAAGAAGGAUGAAGAAUUUACUUGUUACUUCUAUAAGAAGUCUGGACACAUGAAGAAAGAGUGUCCCAAGUAUGUCGUAUGGUGUGUGAAGAAAGGUAAAUUUCUUACUCUAGUUUGUUCUGAAGUUAAUUUGACUUUUGUACCUAAAGAUACUGUGUGGAUAGAUUCCGGUGCUAUUACUCACAUAAGUAUAACUAUGCAGGGUUGCCUAUGGAGUCAACUGCCAAAUGAUGAUGAAAGAUUCAUCUUUGUGGGUGAUAGCAAGAAGGUUGUAGUGGAAGUUGUUGGAACUUUUACAUUACAGUUAAAAAAAACUGGAUUUUAUUUGGAUUUAUUUGAGACUUUUGGUGUACCGUCUUUUAGACAGAAUUUGAUUUCUAUUUCUAGUUUGGACAAAAUUGGAUUUUCUUGUUCAUUUGGAAAUAAUAAAGUUAGUCUCUAUCAAAAUUCAAAUAUGGUUGAUUCUGGUUCUUUAAUUGAUAAUCUUUACAUGCUUGGUGUUGUUAGUUCCUAUAAUGAAAUACUGCAAAUAAGUUCAAAUGGUACAAAAGGAAAAUUGAAUGAGAAUUCAGCCACCUUAUGGCAAAAGCGUUUAGGCCAUAUCUCUAGACAAAGAAUUCAGAGACUUGCGUUGGAUGAAAUUCUUGACCCUUUGGAUUUAUCAGACUUUGAGGUCUGUGUUGAAUGCAUAAAGGGAAAAUGAACAAACAUAAGGAAAUUAGGUGCCGAAAAAGCUAAAGACGUCUUAGAACUUGUGCAUACAGUUACCUAUAUUUGGAAUUGACAACUUCUUGGAAUUGACAACAAUAUUUAUUACGUUCAUAGAUGACUACUCUAGAUACGGUUACCUAUAUUUGAUUCAUGAGAAAUCCCAAUCCCUAGACGUUUUUAAGACUUUCAAGGUUGAGGUUGAACUUCAACUUGGAAAGAAAAUCAAGGCUGUCAAAUCUGACCGUGGUGGUGAGUACUAUGGUAGAUAUGAUGGAUCAGGAGAACAACGUCCAAGACCUUUUGCGCUAUUCCUCAAAGAGUGCGAAAUUGUUCCGCAAUACACUAUGUCAGGCAAACCUAGCAUGAAUUGUGUAGCAGAACGAAGAAAUCGAACUCUUAAGGAUAUGGUGAGAAGUAUGAUUAGUAAUUCCUUUUUGCCAAAGUCACUUUGGGGAGAAGCCUUAAAGACCACAGUUUACAUCCUUAAUGGGGUGCCAAGUAAAGCAGUUAACAANNNNNNNNNNNNNNNNNNNNNNNNNNNNNNNNNNNNNNNNNNNNNNNNNNNNNNNNNNNNNNNNNNNNNNNNNNNNNNNNNNNNNNNNNNNNNNNNNNNNGCUGAGGCACAACCUUAUAGGCCACAUGAAAGAAAGUUGGACUCAAGAACAAUUAGUUGCUAUUUUGUUGACUAUGUUGAACACUCUCGAGACUAUAAAUUUUACAAUCCUACCUUAAGAUCCUUUUUCGAGAUUUCUUGAGGAAGUUGAGUUUGGGAAGGAAGAGAAUAUAAGGAAUGUUGUCUUUGAGGAAGAACCUGUUAUUUACAGGGAUCAAGUCCUCGUACCUAUUACUGUUCAAUACACAACUCUAGUAAUAGAAGACAAUGUUCAAAAUAUUGACAUUAUUCCAUAACAAGACAACAAUGAGGUUCUCCCUCAAAUACCUUUAGAGCAACCUCAACAACCUCAAGAAGUGCCAUUAAGGAGAUCCAUUAGAGAGAGGAGAAGUGCAAUCUCAAAUGAUUAUAUUAAAUUUCUCCAAGAACAUGAGGAUGGCAUUGGUUUAACAGAGGAUGAUCCAAUCAACUUCUGUCAAGCUAUGCGCAGUUCUAACUCUCAAAAAUGGAUUGACGCCAUAAAGGAUGAGAUGAAGUCUAUGAAUGACAAUGAAAUUUGAGAUCUAGUCGAAUUGCUUGAAGGUGUGAAACCUAUUGGUUGUAAAUGGAUAUUUAAAACCAAGAAGGAUUCAAAGGGUAAUAUUGAGAGAUAUAAGGCUCGUCUAGUUGCUAAAGGCUUUACUCAGAAGAAAGACAUUGACUAUAAAGAAACCUUUUCUCCAGUAUCUUUAAAGGAUUCUUUUGGUUAAAUUGUGUAAUUUUAAGAAAAUUUGUGUAAUUUUAAGACGUCCCAUUUAUUGUAUUAAAUUGUCUUGUAUUUUUAGUUAAAUUGAUAGAAACAACAUGUUGCCAAAGUAACCUCUGUUGCAUAAGUUGAUUUGAUUGAAUUUACAUGGAUGUUGCAUGAAAUUAUUCAUGUGAAUUGUGCUCGGCCCAAAGGAAGACACAAUUUGACAGAAUAAUUACAUGCUUUUAAUGGUAAACAUGUGGUGAUUAUAAAUAGUGUGAUUUUCCAUGUGAAUAAUGAAAUAUUCAAAGACAAUCAUUAUUAGAUCGGAAUAAUCAUCAUAUAAGUUUUUCAUGUGAGCAAUGAAGUUUCCAAAGACAACCUUUGUUUGAUAGGACUUAUCACCAAUGUUUGAUCAAUGCAUUGAGAGUAUCACUUGCAUUUAGUCUUUUUCAAUCCAAAGAUUGAGGAUUAAUGAUGCGCUAGGUAUCUUGUUUGGGUCUUGAAAUUUACCAUAAAGAUUAUUUGUGCAUUGCAUGUUUGUUGUUAUCUUCUUUAAUUAUUGUUGUUGUUACUACUAUGGUUUAAAUUACUCAUAUUAUGUGAAUCCCAAAUCUGCAUGUGUAAAAUUUAGAGUUUGAAAAGGGAGUCUUAAGGUGAUAUAUGAGUAAUCUUGGUAUGCAACACUAGAAGUAGUAAAACGCAUUAUGUGUUAAUUGAAGAGAACAAGAAACUACAUGUUUUCAUAUCGAAAGUCUAAAAGUUUAGAGAUCAUUGGGUAUUCCGACUUCGAUUUUUUCAUAAUGUCUUAAUAGCAAUCACUUCACAUAAGGAUCCACAUUUAACCAUGUUGGUGGAGUUAAUAUUUUGCUAUGAGACAUCAUACUAGAAUUUAUGAUUGCUAAAUUAUUGUAACCGAUUUUCCUAUUGUCUCCAACAUUAAGUAGCCAUCGGGCGUUUAUCGGGACAAUAUCUUAGCGGUAUUAUUAAGGAUUCAACCAAGUAAAAGUUUGUUGACAUAAAGUAUUAGGUUGUUAAAUAAAGAAUCCAGAAAAUAUAAAUUUGUAUAGAACAUAUAGGAACUCAUUCCAUGCUAGCUGAUCCACUUACUAAAGGUAUGACACUAAAGUUUUUCACGAGCACACUGCUCAUAUGGGUGUAAUUCCUGAUAGUACCUUAGUUGGGUGGGAGUCUUACUCAUGUUCUAUAUCUUACGAUUUACAAACAUUUUGUUGUUUGGAUUUUCUGCAGAAAUAAAGUUGAUGUUUAUCAUUCUAUUAUGAGUUUGUUUUGUGUGCAAUAUUUGUAUCGCAUUUUGGAUUGAUCUAUAUAAAGAAUAAAGUUUGGACUAGUUGGAAAUAGACAUGAUUAAGAUCACAUUGUAUGUAAUUUCCAUGUCGCUUAUCCAUAUUUGAUCUAUGUCAUCGAGUAUGAGUAACAAUGGUGAUCAUUGUGGCUUAGUCACGUUAAAUUGAAUUAAUUAAUAUGGGCUACAUAUUAUAUUAUAACAUUUGUAUUAGUUAUUUACAUUUAGAUGUGUUCAAUAUAAAGUGAUCUAAUUCAGUGAGCCCAUUAGACUGCCAACAAAAAAUUGAUAUGGGCUUAAUGAACGAAAACCAGUUUGACCCAUUAGGGGAUAAUGAGAACCUUAAUAGGUUAAAACCUAAGGCAUGGUUAUGGUCCCCAAUACACCAAAUCAAUAAUGUGUUAUGGUGCUCAUUUGAUAUUUUAUAAGGUUUAUUGAAAAUUCCCAACAAUGUGAAGUUGGGUUGAGUAUUUCAUUUUAUUAUAAAGCUAUAUAAGGUUUAUUGAAAAUUCCCAACAAUGUGAAGUUGGGUUCAAUAAUGUGUUAUGGUGCUCAUUUGAUAUUUUGUUUUUGCAUUGCCUUGUUUUUUCACUAAAGAGAAUAAAUUCAUCCUAGCAGAGCCACCACACACCAUACUCUAACCCAAAACUUUAAGGCUCAGGUUUAUGGGUCUUCUCCUCACUUAUAUGGUGCUCAACCUUUCCACUUCUACCCAAUGUAGGACUUUACCUCACACUUGUAACUCAAGUGUACAUACUUGAACAAGAUAUGGUUUAACUUUUUCCAUACAUUUUGUUUACAACAUUUCAUGGUACUUAACAAACAACACCCACAAAGAGUUUUAAACUCAUGCAUACUAACUUAGUUAAAAACCCACCAUAAUUACUCUUAUAAUAUUUAAAAGUUAUAAAAUGUUCUGAUUUUGUUCCAAUAAAAUUUUCAGUAUGUUUUUUAUUUUAAAAUUGAAAUGUCAUUUUUUUUUGCUUAGAGCAAGAUUUGGACAUCCAAAUCUACUUGAAUUAUUUGCUUAUAUUAAUUAUAUAUACAACUAAUAUAAACAAAACAUCAUAUUUUAUAUUAGUAAUAAGUACAACUGAUUAUGGUUAUCAAACUCUCAAGUUAACUCGCUAAUGUUUGAGUUUACGAGUCCACUUAUACUCUGUGAGUUGACUUGUAAGUAAACUCUUUUUUUAACUGACUCUGGAUAGAUUCUAUAAACUUUAAGUAAAAUCCGUAGAAUCUCGAGUUUAUCAUCAAGUCAAUGAGUCAGCAAGUUAAAAAAAAUCAAAAUAUAAGUCAUGUUGGGUUUUUUUAUUUGUUUAGUAUUCAACAUAUUUCAUUUAGUGUUAUUCUCAAAUAAAAUAAACCACAUUUAAUAACAUCAAACCCUUGAUGAGAAUUAUCUAUCACUACUAUAACAUUUGCAAGUUAUUAUCUAAUAGUGAUGCAUUGACUUGUUUAUUUAAGUAUUGUGAAAUUUAUGAUUUACUAUUUUGUUUUAUUAUAUUAUUGAAAUAUUUAAUUGAUAUGUUAUUUAUAAAUAGUUUGUUAUUAUUUUUAUUUAAAGUAGACUCUUAGGAGCCUACGAGUCAAGUUCACUAGUCGAGUUUAUGAAACUCUCAAGAGUCCGUGUAAACUCUUGAGAUUGAUAACCUUGCAACUAGUAUAAAAAAUUAUAUAUUUGCAUCGAUUAAAAAGUCAUUAUCGUAAGUUUAAAUAUCUAAGACCAAAAACAAUAUAUUACAACUUUGUGAGAAUAAAAACAUACUAAAAAUUUUACAUAAUAAAUUUUGUACAUUUUUAUAUUUAUGAAAGAAAAAAAUAUUUUAGCUUAAAAAUUAUUCAUGCAUUAGGGAAAUAGUGCACACCACAUCUAAGAGUUUCCAUCACAUACAAUGCAAGAGCUGAGAGAAAGUAACGUUAAGCGUGUUUUGGUGAGAUGAAGUGAACGGAUUACUAUAUAACAUCUUAAUUUCUUCCUUUUGUGAUAUAUAAAUGGAAUUGCUAUAAAGUUGUACUACGAUUAUUUUAGACAUGUCAAAUGAAAUUGUGAAGACUUUGUACCUCGGUGAUAUAGUGAAUGACUUUGACCGCUGACCAAAAGAAAGCCAGAUAUUUCCCCUUUUGCAUAAUAAGGCUGAUGAAGUUAGUAUUUUUUUUAUUAUGCAAGUUGGUUUGUUAUGUCCACGUAAUCACUGUUUGGAUGAUAUGUAUUUAAUAAUUGGUCUAUAUAUGUCCCACGUAAAAUUAAUGUCAUGAAAAGAGUGUUGGGAUUAAGUGAUACUAAUUUUUAUUCAACAACAUAAUUCGAAUUUGAUUUCCAUCAUAUAUAAAAUUUUAUUGGCACAUUGAUGAUUAUGAAUCACGAAUGAGAUUGAUGUCUAACCCAUUAACUUAAGAGACACUCCUUGACCUUGACAUCUGACUUAGGAAAAAAUUAUCAUGGUACUAUACUUACCACUUUAAUUAGUUUGUGUAUGAAGUUUGAUUCUAUAUUCCAACUUACCAACCUACAUUCCAGCAUAAUAAUACUAAACUUUUUUCUUCUAAUGGCUAAACACUACUAGAAAAUAGGCCUUCUACAUCAGUUUUGAGGGCCUUUCUACAUCGGUUUUGACGCGUGGUGAUAGCGGGAGUCUUUGAAAACCCUAGGCCCUACAACAUCGAUUCAAUGACCGUCUUAGAAGGGCAUGGGUAUGAAGAUGGGCAUCGUCCCAGACUCAUCUUAGAAUCAGGAGGGUUGUACAUUGGUUCUGACGGUGCAACCGAUGUAGAAGGGUGAGGAUCUAUAUCGGUUCUGACUGUACAACCGAUGUAGAAUGGUGAGGAUCUACAUCGGUUCGGAAGGCCCAACCGAUGUAGAAUGGUCAGGUUUCUACAUCGGUUAUCAGUCAACCAAUGUAGAAUGGUGAGGGUUCUACAUCAUUUGUUAGUCAACCGAUGUAGAAUGAGGUUUUUUUCUUUUAUUUUGGCGAAAUUUAGCCAGUAACAGAAUGGGAUAUGAUGGACAUAUUUGAAAUGGACUGUAAUAUUAAUAUAUGAACAACAUAGUUACAAUCCAAAUAUAAGUUGGAUUAGGUGACAUACCUAGAUAGAUGCUUUUAACAAUAUAGAUGAUUGUUGAAAUGGAAUAGAAUGGAAAACAAAUCCAAUAGUGUUCUCCUGCUAACCCAAGAGUACUCCUCUAGGGCUGAGUGCUUCUUGAACCCAAUUUCAGAUACACUCUACAUAUGGAAACAUCAAAUAUCAUUCAAUAACCAAAGCUGGUAGAGGUUUAUGAUACAUAGAUCAACAAAUCAAAUAAUAUCCAAAAAAAUCAAAUCUAAACUAAUAAAAUGAAAAGGCAAGUCUAUUUUAUUCCCCCUGCCCUCUCUCUUCAUAUGUAGUUGCUGAAAAUCAUAAAGUUUUAAUUGAAUGAAGACAUUGGAGCGAGGUUAAUUAAAUGAAUGCUUCUUUUCAUAUGCAUGACCUGCAAUCCUCAAUUUCUUGACAGUUGUUCAUCUCCCUUGAUUUUGGCCUUGCUUGUUUGCUAACAAAUAUCCACUUAGGUUUAUAAAUUAAAUGCUCACAAUCUUGCUUUUAUUAUCAGAAUUUGAAGGUAUAGGCCCUUUUUUUUGUCCAAUUUCUACUCUAUUAGUAUUUAUUAAAAUAGGUCUUGAAUGAGAUAAUCAUUAUCAUAUACAAGGAAUGCUAACCCCAAUUGUAUAUCAGGAUAUGGUCAGUGGCUGAAUAUAAAGAAAUUUGAAGGGCUUCUAUUGAGAUUGAAAGAAUUAAAUUAAACUCUGAGGGUUGUAAUCUAAAUCUAGUAAGUAUGUUUGUUACACUUUUGCUUAUGUUGUAUGUUUGCUAUGAUUCUGUCUUGGACAAUAGUCUGUCAUUGACUGCUAGUAGCAUUAACAACCUUAAAAGUCCCCUCCCCAUGGAAUGAUCAGGAACUACUACUGGUUAGUUCAUUAUUUGUAUACACUUGCAUAAUGGAAUGGGGGUAAUGUCACUAAUAGACCCUUGUUUUUGGUAACUGUAUUCAUUGGGGGUGAAUGUGCCUUCAGAAUUAAGCUGCCAAGUGCCAAACAUAAACCUAAGAUAGUGUUUGUAUAGGAAGAAACUACUCUAAUUAGUUUCUAUAGAAGUUUUCUCUUAUGGGUCUUGUUCAUUAAAAAAAUGAUACAUUUAUUUUUAAGAGCUUUACAAGGAUUGUAUUUGGCCCAACUUCUCCUUUUAAGGAGAAGACGACAACAACAACAACAAAAAAGCCUCAUCCCCCUAGGUGAGGUUGGCUACAUAGAUAUUAUAUGAUGCCGUUCGGCACGGUUAAAAACCAAAGUUUGUUGGGCCAAACGUUACCUUAAAGUAUUCUUGUCUCUGAUAUGCCAUCUCAUUUGGACUUGAAUUCUGGACAACUGGCACAUGCCACCAAUACAUUGUAUUGACUUAAAUUUAAUUUAAUUAAAAAAUUAACAAGGGGAGAAAGGGUUGAACUCUUGCUAGGUUGAGAAGGUUCUGGACCAACUAUUUCAAAGGAUUAGGUGUUAGGCGCAAAGCUAGAGUGCUUUUUAUCUGACACAUAUUUUACUCUUGUGGCUUUUGAAAUUUGGUAUAGAUAAAGUUUAAAUCUCAGGCAUAUAUGAUAUAACUACUAGCUGCAUCUUUUGUUACUUUUGAAAAAAAGAUAUGUUAUCAUGACAUGUACUACUUGGUGUUUUGCCUUUGUCCGAAGGUUGUAAGGCCUAACUCCAAUACACAGAAUGUUAUCAAGUAAGCCAAGCCACUGAGGUUGUUUGCACUAGAUUUACUUAUGUGCUUAUCAAAUAACUAUAAUGCUAAAUUCAUUUAUAUACAUGAAUUGUAGGAAAUCGAGUAAGACAAUAUCUACUUUGUAGUGAUCCUGUUGCUGUCACAGGAGACACUGAACCAAUCAGAAUGGAAAGUAUAUCAACAGUCAUUAUUGAAUGAUAAUUAAAACUAUCCAAUGAACAGUUAUAAGCCGAGUGCCAUGCAUUUUUUUAAGACUCGUGGAAAGCCUGGCUUUAUUUAACAGUGUUGGAAGUUAUUGUUUUUGCAGGAUAAAAUGAAAAAUAACUAUCAUAUGGCUGCUGCUGUCAACCAAACAAAAGCUGAAAGAAAUGUUAUCAAGAGUUGGCCAUCAAAGGAGAAGAGGAAGGAAUUGAAAAGCUUAUUGUUGCAUCCCUCUGUUUGGGAGAGUGAGUCCCUGCCGGAGGAAGUUUGUUUUUUAUUGGCAAAUGUCCCUGCCGAAAUCUUUGAGCUUGAAAAGAGUGAGAAGGCAAGAAUGGUCCACUCGCAUGGAAAAACUGAAAAAAAAAGUACCUAAGGCUGACCAAUCAGGAAGCUUGAAAGAAGUGUCUGAGAAACAAUGCAAGGAGCAUAAACGAGUAGAGAGCCAGAAAUCAAAAGAGAUUGAUGAUAGACAAAAGCUAAGUGAAGUUCAGUGGAUGAACAGAAGCAUAUGGAACAUGAGAAAAAACUAAAAGAGGAUGAACAGAAACAACUGAGUAUGAAAAGGCUCAAGCAGUCUCAGAAAAUGGAAGAGAAUGGAAAAUUUCACAUAGAAGCUUUUGCUGUUGGAGCUGCACAGAGUGAGGAAGGGAUGAAAGGUUCUUUGAAGCCAGAAAUAUUUGAAAGAUAAGAUGAGACCUUUAAUCUGGAUAGGUAUAAGGACAAUUUGACUUGCAAAAGUGAAAAUUAGAUUGUCCUUGAAGCUAAACAGAUUCAGAACAAGAAGGAAUUGAAAGAAGCGUGUAAAAAUGAAGUUGAGAUUUUAAAUUGGAAGAAAAUGAAGGCUUAAACAAUGCUCUUGAGCAUGAAGAUAAUGGAAAGGGACUUAAACAACACUUUGAACUGGAAAUGAAUGACAAAAUAACUAAAGUGACUUUUGAGAAGGGGGAAAAUGAAGCAUGUGAAAGAGAUCAAGGUAAAGAGAAACUUAGUGAGAUUUGUGGUGGGUAUAGAAAAGGAAACAGACUAAAAGAUGUGGGUGAUGGAAUGGGGGUUCAAAAAGUUCUGAAAUAAGCUCCAGAUCUACUAAAAAAUAGUGGAAAUAAGGCUCAAAGGAUGAAAGAAAUGAGAGCCCAUCAGGCCAAGCAUUUCACAGGGAAGCAGUUGUGUAUAUAUGAUGUGUGGAUGGUCUCUCCAACCAAUGUCAGAGGAUGCUGAAAGAUCAAGCUCAUGCAUGCCUAAUAGACCCUGCUAAUUACCAUAAACUGUUUAAUUAUGAUUACCAUAAAAUUUGGUAUGUUAUGUUACUGUUUUGUAUUCACUUUUUCAAAUAGCAUUUUUUUUUCUUGUGUCCUUCCCAAGCCUUUUAACGUGUCACAGGUAGGUAAUCGCAUUUAGGCAUCUUUUGGUUAUUGCCAGGACAUGAAAUUUGACUAACAAAGAACGCUCACUAACUUGAUGUCCCCAAUUCCUUUAUACAUGAUUCACAUAUCAUAGUCAUACGCCCUAUUUCAGGCUUCCUACAUACAAUCAAUCAAUUAAGGAAUAGGAGAGACAGAAAAUAGGGGAAAGAAAAUCUACCGUGAUAAGAAACCUAAAUACUAGAUUACUAGCUAGUGUAAAGUAUCACACAAGUUACUGAUACACAUUUUAAAAUCAGUGUUUCCAAAGUAGCUGCCGUUAACGUGGAUGAUUCAAGUGCUAGUGAAACUGAUGAUGAGGAUGUGUAAAUCUUUACCUUACAUUUUCUAAGACCAUCCAUCCCAUUUGUGGGGCUUGGUCAUGCUUGUAGGGAAUAUAUGGUAUUUGCUAAAUAGCUCAAAUCCUAAUAGACCCUGUGAAAACUAUUAGGACAGUAACGCAGUUCCAAUGUCAUGUUACGUGAACUUCAUGUCAUAGAGAUCAACUAAUAACCAAAUACGAGCGGGAAAACAUUGUGAUGUUUGUGAACUACUCAAAACAGGAUGUGCUUUUUUUGUUUCAUAUAUGUUCUAGAGAAAUGCUGUUAGAAUUUAUUACUACAUUAUUAUAAGGGCAUCCCACUAAAAAGAAGGUCACGGGGGCACUGAAAAAAACAGAACCAAAGAGGAAUCACAAUGGCAACAAAUUCAUAUUUAUCAUAAACACCACAGAGGAAUCAAUCAAACCUAUUUAUAUUCACAACUAAUGUUAAGAGAACCAAAGAAUCUCCACACAUUUAUAUCAAAAGCAUUGAGUUUAGGCCUGUGAAUCGAACUUAUAAAGUUCAUGGUUUCUUCAACACAAUUCCUAUUUACAUGCAAAUAGAAUAAAAGUACAAAAACAUAAAUUAGUAAAUGGCUGUCACUCAUCACCUGGUAUUUGUGAGAGUGAUAGAACUGCCGCUUCUCAAACCGGGACACGCUGAAAUGUUUUGAAAAGAACUAUGUCAAAGUUGUGUCCAUUAUGUUAUUUCUACUUUAUAGGAAGACUUAUAAUCACAAGUAGAAAAUUAUAAAUGAAAAAUUCAUUUUCAACUCUGCCUAUAUAAAUUCCAAUGAGAUCACGCUUAUAUAGGUAUGACAUAUGCGGAAAAAUUUCUAUACCUAUAUUUGACAUGCAUCCUGGACAAAAUAGAAAUUGUUAUGACAUCGACUACAUUUGACAUAAAACAUAACAAACUUUGAAUUCAGUGAUAAAGAGAAAAAUCAAGCUCAUGCAUGCCUAAUAGACCCUGCUAAUUAGCAUAAACUGAUAUUCAGAAGUUAACAAAACUCAAACAAAUCAACAGCCUGUCAGCCACAUACAAAGAAGAUGCCAGGUGUGAGAAGCUGCUACAAUCAAUUAGUUUAAUAUAUUAUUAAUUCAUUUCAAUUUUCACAAAUGACUAGCAAUUAUGGCAUCAUUGAUCUAUCAGGGGCACUGUUUUUUAACUCCAAAAUAGACUAAUCUAAUUAUAAAUAUAAUUCCCACCCGUACUGAUAGCAGCAGAGACCCUCGAGGAGAGGAUAGCAGCAGCGACUCACACGAGCCCAACCCACAGAUGAAUAGGGACGAACCUGAACCAGCAAGACCCGCAAGGAUAGCCCAUAAGCCUACAUACUUGAACGAUUACGUAACAUAGUUGUUGUACACUGCAUGCGUAAAUAAGUCAAUAAGGCACGUGCAUAAAAUAGUUAGUUCCAGAUUAGUUAGAACGGUUAAGACCGUUAGAGUUUGUUAAGCUAGGAACGUGUAUAUAAGAUACUGGAACCUAUGAUUAAAGCAUGUGUAGAAUCUUGAUUGAGAAUAAUAUUCAGGAGGUGCUUUCCUCGAACCAAGGCUUUCUCUCUCUUCCCUUCUCUUACACACCUAACACUGGUCCGACCUGCCGGCGCCGCCAUUGCCAUGGCGGAUCACACCACCCGCAAAACCACUACCGACAAAUUAGAAGAAGCCAUCACGCGUUUAUCCACCUGCCAAUCCACUCUCACCGACAAGUACGUGGAGCUUUCCGACAAGGUUGAUACAAUCCUUGAUCACCUUCGUCUGAAAGAGACUACCCAGAACCCACCUCCGCCCAACUCACAGUUCAACCAGCGUAACCCUGUCAAGCUAGAUAUCCCAAGAUACGACGGCCGCGACCCGUUAGGCUGGAUUUUCAAGAUAUCUCAGCUAUUCAAGUAUCAAAACACACCAGAAGAGGAGCGCAUAACGGUCGCCUCGUUCUACCUCGACGGCGUCGCUCUAAGCUGGUAUCAAUGGAUGUUUCGUAACGGAUUUAUCAUGUCAUGGUCUGGGUUCUUGCAAGCACUGGAAUCCAGGUUUGCACCAACGUUUUAUGAUGACCCGAAAGGAGCCUUAUUCAAGCUUACUCAGCGUGGCAAUGUCAAUGAGUAUCUAACCGAAUUUGAGCGCUUAGCUAACCAGGUAAUUGGACUUCCACCCCCCUUCUUGCUAAGUUGUUUCAUUUCAGGACUUAUGCCGGAGAUACGAUGGGAGGUACUCGCGCUUCAACCUAUCUCACUCCCACAAGCAAUUGCACUUGCCAAAUUACAAGAAGAUAAGCUUAGAGAUCGAAGCGUGGCCACACAUCCCAACCUUCCGCCAUCAUCUUCUACUUCUCGCUCCAACAGUCUCGCGCAGUCAUCGUCCUUCCCACCAUCAUCUUCACACCAGAGGUCCAAACCACCCUUUGUUCAAAGUACACCUGAAGAAAUGGCCUUCCGACGAGAGAAAGGCUUAUGCUACAAUUGUGAUGACAAAUGGAAUCCGGGUCAUCGCUGCAAGGGAGGAAUUUUGUUGCUUAUCACCGACAACCCCGUAACGGAGGAAGAAACUCAUGAAGCAAGCCUUGACUCCAUGACCACUAGCGAAGAGGUCCUACUAGACCAGUCACAGCUAAUAUCGGAUGAUCCUCACCCUCACAUCAGCCUCCAUGCCCUAUCGGGACUUCCUUCCUCAGACACCUUUCGCUUAUCCGGGAUCAUCAAACAUGCGCGUAUCACAGUCCUUAUUGACAGUGGAAGUACGCAUAACUUCCUACAACCCAGGAUAGCUCAGUUUCUCCACUUGCCUACCCAGAAAACAAGUCCUCUCCAAGUACACGUAGGAAAUGGCUCAGUGCUUGAUUGCAAUCAGGUUUGCCCUAACACCCAACUAUCCAUACAAGGCAACUCCUUCGACGUCACAUUUCACUUGCUUCUGAUAAGCGGUGCAGACGCGGUCUUGGGUAUUGCAUGGCUGAAACAACUUGGGCCUAUAAUUACUGACUACACCUCCUUCGUCAUGCGCUUCAACCAUUUGGGCCAAGCAGUAGAAUUACAUGCUGAUAUUGCUAUUGGGCCAGAAGCCGCAUCAACGACCCAAGUAAAACGCCUUAUCCGGACAGGCUCCACCUCGGCCCUACUCCACUUACGAAUAUUACCCACCCAUCAAACCAAACCUCCCACAACUCAUCUUCUUCACCCCAUUUCCGCCAUCAACACCUUGCUUAGCCGUUACCAGAAAUUAUUUCAGACCCCAAACCACCUUCCACCACCACGAGAUGUAGUCCACUGUAUCAACAUCCACCCAGCCACAGCUCCGGUGAACGUACGACCGUACCGGUACCCACACUUUCAGAAAACAGAAAUUGAAAAGCAAGUGUCAAACCUCCUCUCCGCAGGACUCAUACGCCCAAGUACAAGCCCAUACUCAUCACCAGUAUUGCUUGUUAAGAAGAAGGAUGGUACAUGGAGACUUUGUGUGGACUUUCGAUCCCUAAACGCAGUCACGGUACGUGACCGUUUUCCGAUACCCACCAUCGAUGAAUUACUAGAUGAGCUUGGUCAAGCUUCAUGGUUCUCUAAGUUAGACUUGCGUCAAGGAUUCCACCAGAUCCUUAUGCACGAGCUUGACAUAGAGAAGACUGUGUUCUGCGCUCAUCACGGGCACUACGAGUACCUCGUGAUGCCCUUCGGGUUGUGCAACGCCCCCUCGACGUUCCAAGCAGCCAUGAACAGCCUGCUCACACCUUUCCUUUGCCGAUUUGCCACCGUCUUCUUUGAUGACAUACUAGUCUAUAGUGACUCGUUGCCCUCUCACAUCCUACACCUCGAAGCCAUUCUUCAGACAUUACUUCAAGGGCAAUAUUACUUGAAGCAGGCCAAAUGUUUAUUCGCGUAGGAACAAUUGAAAUACUUAGGGCAUAUAGUUUCCGGCAAAGGGGUCGAACCUGAGCCUUCUAAGGUACGUGAUAUACUAGACUGGCCCAAACCAACAACUGUCAAGGAUCUUCAUGCAUUCUUAGGGCUUAUGGGUUUUUACCGGAAGUUCAUAAGAAAUUACGCUGCCAUCGCAGCACCCCUUACCACCUUGCUUUGCAAAGAUGCCUUUGAAUGGUCCCUCACAUCUCAAGCUGCUUUCGACGCACUCAAAUCAGCUGUGACCACAACACCAGUCCUAGCCUUACCUAACUUCGCGGAGCCCUUUGUCGUAGAGACAGAUGCUUCCGGCAUCGCCAUGGGAGCAGUCCUAACACAACGAGGCCACCCACUAGCUUUUUUCAGUAAGCUUUUUGGUCCACGCAUGACCCAUGCUUCCACAUAUAUCAGGGAGCUUCACGCCAUCGUUGCUGCAGUUAGAAAAUGGCGACAAUAUCUUCUAGGAAGAUCCUUCACCAUCUUAACGAACCACAAGAGUCUAAGAGAACUCAUGACUCAAAUAAUACAGACACCAGAACAGCAUUACUACCUUUCCAAGCUACUAGGCUUCGAUUAUAACAUCCAGUAUAAGGCAGGAGCUACCAAUAAAGUUGCUGAUGCCCUCUCACAGAUUCCAUCUACUACGGGCCAACUGAUGAUAUUAUCCAUUCCCCACCUCGACUUCAUUGAUGAGCUUCGACAAACACUUCAGCAAAGCCCAGAAUUCCAAGGUCUUCUCACCAAGGUCCGAGAAGAACCCACAACACACCCAGAUUAUUGAGUCCAUAACAACUUGCUUUUCUUCCAAGGCCGUAUCUGGUUGAACCGCGGCAACCCUUACAUUCCCGCUAUCCUACUCGAAAACCAUGCCACGCCCUUGGGUGGCCAUUUAGGGGUUGCCAAGACCACUCACCGUUUGGAAUCCAACUUCUUUUGGUCAGGACUCCGACAAGAUACCAAGCGCUUUGUUAAGGAAUGUAAGAUAUGCCAACAAACAAAAUCAACUACACGCCGUCUGGCAGGCCUCCUGCAACCUCUACCAAUUCCGGCAGGUAUAUGGGAGGACCUUUCGAUGGAUUUCAUCACCCACCUCCCAUCAUCUCACGGAUUCACGGUAAUCCUCGUCAUCGUGGACCGUUACUCGAAGGGGGUCCAUCUCGGCGCGUUACCAACAGGCUUCUCGGCGUUUAAAGUCACGUUUCUUUUCCUCGAGCUCGUCUGCAAACACCACAGGUUUCCUCGCAGCAUUGUCUCUGACCGAGACCCAGUGUUCUUGAGUUCCUUCUGGAAAGAACUCUUUCGUCUCCCCGGCACACGGUUGCGCAUGAGCACGGUGUACUAUCCGCAAACCGAUGGCCAAACCGAGGUCAUGAACUGUGUAUUAGAGCAAUACUUGCGGUCAUUCAUUCACUCCCAGCAAACCAGUUGGUAUCGUUACCUGGCACUUGCAGAAUGGUCAUACAAUACGUCUCUCCACUCCAACUCCGGCCUCACACCAUUCGAAGUGAUAUAUGGCAAAUCUCCUCCGGCCAUACCUCAUUACAUUCCAGGCAUGACGACGAACAAAGCAGUUGACUCCCUGGUUCAAACGAGACAACGCAUCCAUACUAAGCUACAACACAGACUACUAAAGGCACAAGAGGCAAUGAAGCGCUACGUCGAUACUAAACGCGAGGACAUCACAUUUACCCCAAGACAAUGGGUUUACGUUAAACUUAAACCCUUCCGGCAACAUUCCAUCACCGGCACGAACCACUCGAAGCUGUCCAAACGAUACUUCGGACCAUUCCAGGUCACAGCUCGCAUUGGUGAAGUAGCUUACAAACUACAGCUCUUGGAGGACUCUCGUAUCCAUCCGGUCUUCCACUACUCCCUAUUACGACCUCAUCACGGUCCACCACCGUCCGUUUCGACACCAUGGCCUCUUCAAGUUGUGAGCCAAUGCCCGGUCCCACGACCACUUUGCAUCCUGGACUCCAAACUUGAUACUUCCACGUCACCUCCAACUCAACUCGUUCUCACACAGUGGGUCGGCCAACCACCGGAGGAUACCACGUGGGAGCCAUGGCUGGACCUCCAGGAGACAUACCACCUUGAGGACAAGGUGGUUUCUGGAGGAGGGGGUAUUGAUAGUAGCAGAGACCCUCGAGGAGAGGAUAGCAACAGCGACUCACACGAGCCUAGCCCACAGAUGAAUAGGGACGAACCUGAACCAGCAAGACCCGCGAGGAUAGCCCAUAAGCCUACAUACUUGAACGAUUACGUAACAUAGUUGUUGUACAUUGCAUGCGUAAAUAAGUCAAUAAGGCACGUGCAUAAAAUAGUUAGUUCCAGAUUAGUUAGAACGGUUAAGACCGUUAGAGUUCGUUAAGCAAGGAACGUGUAUAUAAGAUACUGGAACCUAUGAAUAAAGCAUGUGUAGAAUCUUGAUUGAGAAUAAUAUUCAGGAGGUGCCUUCCUCGAACCAAGGCUUUCUCUCUCUUCCCUUCUCAUACACACCUAACACGUACACUGUGUGGUAAUUAUAUAUAUUGACACUAGUAUGCUAUCGUAACUCCCACGACUCUUAUAGUAUAUAAGUCAUAAGCUCCCAUCGUUUCUAAAAUAAAUACAUCGCUCAUUCUACCGCAUGCAUGUAAACUAGGUAUUAGUAAGAAUUUUAAAAAAAUCAUAUUAAGACUAGUGUUAAAAAAAAUUAACAUGACUUUUAUUGAAAGAAACAUCUCAGCCUAGUACACUUUUUCUCCAACUUCAUUAUCCUUUGUGCGUGGUUUGGUUGCAUCGCAUCACAUAUUCAGUUCUUCACUAUUAGCCUUUUAGUCAUUCAUUCUGGAGGAAGAAAAAAAAAUAAGUAAAACCAAAGCUACUUCCUAUAAAUCAGGAAUAAAAUAUAUCCAAAAUUUGACCAAAGAUUCUCACUUUUUGGAUUCCACUGUUAUCAGCAGUAUUGGGUUCCUAUAUAAAAAGAGAAGCAAAAAAGAAAAAGGAAAAAAAGAAAUAUUACAAAGGGAGAGAAUUCCUCAAAUAUUUUGUACUAAGAAAUUAAAGAUGAUUGGUGUAAUAAGAAAAAAUAGAGAAUGUUUUGUACCAAGGUGGGUAUUUUUAAGAGUGAUUAGAAUAAUUUCCUCAAAUAUUUUCUUCUAGUACUCAAAUUUAUAAUAUAGAAAUAAAUUUUCAUAAUUUUAAAAACUAAAUUAACAUAUUUUCAUAACUAGUUAACUUGUUACUUGUGCAUUGUAUGUAAUAAGAUGUUUUUUAUUUAAUUAACAAUUACAAAUGGUAAGUAGCAAUUCUAAUAAAGUUGCUUAAGGACCCAAGCCCAAAACCUUGUGAGGGUAAGUAGCAGUAACUGGAUCAGGAAACUUAUCAUUUGGUUUCAGAUUCCAUCAGGGAAUAGGACAAUUUCCCACUAAUAUCUACAAACUUGACCUAUAACAAUGAUAAAUGUCUUCAUAGCAGUACCUUCUUUACAUAAAAAUUGGAGUUAUAAAAAAUAUUUCAAUUGGAUUCUUAACAAUGAUAUAUAUAAAAGACUUAAUAUUCUUUCUAUUUUGUUCGAUCCCUAAUUAUAAUCCUCUCAAAUAUAUAAUGGUGUGUAUACUAAAAUUAUAUUUUAAUCAAAUAAUUUAUAUUUUAAUAUAUUUUAAAAAAUUUAUAGAUUAAACUGUAAUUUUGAUUCUCUCAUUUUAACAAAAUCAUGAUUUUAAUUUUCUGGUUUCUAACUGAGACAUUUAAUCCCUCUUGUUUGAAAAAUUUAGAAAUUUGAUGAUGGGUUAAAUAGCAUUAACCGUUAGGAAUAAUGUGUUAACUCACCAAUUGUUGAUGCGGCACGUUUAAUAAAAUGUUUUAUAAAACACCUUUCCCUGCCUGAUAAUGAACUUGAGCAUAUCAUAAUAAAAUGUUACUUAAAUUCUUGAACCAAUAAAAUCAACUAACCUCAUUAGCAUGUAAAUGGACUAAAGUCUUCAGCUCUGCUCAUCCUAAAAGUGCAGUAUGCCCCUUGCCAAAAAGCCAAUCCAACAACUACCAUAGCAGGAUUUUCCAACAUAUAAAUCAAAGAAAAAUAAAAUAUUAAAAGCUAACAUUUAGGCAAGGUGUCUCUGGUUUUUCUUGUUACCUAUAACUACCGGAAAGACAGACACUGAUGAGCCUAUCUGUCUGCAUUUUUUUAUUUUUUAAAGUUGGAUUUGUUGCAUAUGUAGGUAGUGCAAUUUUUUUGUAUCAGUGUAAUUCACAUGAGAGGUUGAAAUAAAAUAAUAACAAGAAGAAGGCUAGAGGGAUAACUUCACAAUGUUCACGCUGCACCUCAUCUUCCAAAAUGCUUCCGCAGCACCCGCAUGAUCUAUUAAGUGCUUCGCAAAUUCCUUGAAACCCAAGGACAAUAAAUAAUUCAUACAAAGAUUUGAUUUUUUUCAUAACAUAGGAAUGUGAUUUUUGUGUUUGAGGGAGUGGCAGAUUAUAAGCAAAGGCAAAUCUCACUUACACAUACGCAAGCUUUUCAUUUAUCAAGCAUUGCAUCAUAUAUGAAUAAACCAAGUAAUUUUCAACAAUACAAAGUUGAUAUUAAAUACACCUUAAGUUAAAUUGAACAAAACUUCAGGCAUAGUAGCAUAUAAUUUGGCUGACUAUCAACUCCCUACAAAAUUUACAUACAUAAUACCGAAGAGGUUUAAAGUGCACAGGUUGAUCAAUUAAUAACCAUGCCACCGAACCCCAUUCUUGGGACCAGGAGAGUCACAUUAUCCAAUCUAAAAUACUUGUGAUAUAUAAACUGGAUCGGAUCACACAGAAAAAAGGUAUGUACUGUAACAUCUCAUUAUAAUCCCUGGUGCCAGUGUCAUAUUAGCAGAAACACAGAUAGAUCUACAAUGGAUUACAAGACUAAACAGAAGGAAAAAAGAUACAGUAGCAUAGGGUGUUUGAGAUACACCUUCAUCUCUCCUAUGCACUCCUUGGUCACUACUUCCUUGCCUCCCCUCUCUACUCUGCCCUCGUUUUAUUUUACUGUAGCUUGCUACAAAAUUCACAAGUAUGCCAUUCAAGUUUUACUUUGACAAGAUUUCAUAUUUGCUAUUUUGCUUUCCAAAUUUCAAGCAUUCAACCCCGAUAACCUUUUGUCAUUUUUAUAACAAUAAAACAAGAAAAUAGCAGAACCAGAACUGAAUAGCUUUCCAUCUUAGAUAAUCAAUAUUUACCUUGAGCAUGGAAGUUUGAAUUAUAUCAAUCAGCAAUUUGAAAGGUUUCAUGUUGCCUCAAAGCAUUUGUAUAUCAAGAUGUAUAAAAUGUAAAGGAAAAAUAUGGGAGAGAAAUAUGGAUUGUUUCCUGAAAGUAAAGCCUCUUAUGAUUUAAAGCCACUAAAAACAGAUGAAUAUGGAGAGAUCACAAAAUUCAUUUUAUUAAAUCAAUGUACUUACCUGACUUGUCAAUUCGCUCUGAAUUUUCCUCUAGCCACCUGAGUCACUUUCAUAUUGUCUCAUGUAUGAAAGUACACUGGCCCUUGAAUGCAAAGCUGAAUGUUCACAUGCACCCAAGACAGAAUCAAAUGCCAAGAACAUGAAGAAUGCAAGAGCUAACCCAUUAUGUAAUGAUGGUGUCAACAAACCAAUUCAUUGUUGCGUAGUUAGUAAAUAGUCGCAUAUAAUACAUAAGCAAAAGCACAACUGUACUGAAUAAUCCAAUGAAGUAUUUAUGAGAAAACACAAACAACAAUGCUUGAUAAAAAAAAGCAACUUGACAAGCUGCAGAAAAAACCAUCUAUAGGGAUUUGAUUUUUACAUCAAAUUCACAAACCUCAAUCUAUGGACUCUGUUAUGUUAGAUUGUUGCUCCUCAAAUAAAGAUUGAAUUCUCUGCAGUAAACAACAUACCCUGGUAUUUAGCCAAAAGAAUAUAACCAACUCCAGAAACAUACAUCUAAAUAAUUUUCCUUUUCCCCUUUCCUCUCUUUUUAUUGCAUUUAAAUAACAAUACUAUAUCUCAGGGCAAUUAAAUAUCAUGUUUCUCCUAGCAAAUAACUAUACUAUAUCUCAUGUUUACUUCCUACCUUGAUAGAGCUUCCAACUUCCUCUAGUUUCUGCAUUAGUAGCAGCUCCCCAGAAGGAUUAGGAUCAUGUUUCAAUGACAUUGAUGGAAACAUCUAAAAAUCAAAGAAAACAACAAUGGGUGAGAGAGAGAAUGAGACAAUAAGUAAGCAGCAUGAACAAUGAGUUCUAAGUUCUAAGCGAUAUAAAGGUAUACUGGGUAAUGACAAAUUAUUGGUCAACCAUUCACCCAGAAGUUCAGAAGCAAAAUUUAAAAAGAUUUAUUCCCAAUGCAUGUGACAGCAUGGUAAAUGACUUAUCAUCAGAUGAUGUGGAACAUCUUCUAAUGUAGAGACCUGUCUUGACACAAUCUCAUUUUUCAUGUUUGAUAGACGCAUCGUAACAGCCAGAGAAGAAUGGAAGCAUUGCAAAAUGCAGUUCCACAAAACCCAUGUUAUCAACUUGAUGUGGAAGAAGAAAACAAGGAAAACAAGGAAAAGUGACUUAGGUGGCUAGAGGAAACUUUUUUUCUUAAUCACCUUCAGAAAGUACUUACCAGCAGUGUCCCAUAAUCCUAGAUUAACUGUGCUUCCAUCAAUCACCACAUUUGCAUUGAAGUUGUCAAAAACUGUAGGCACAUAGUCCUAUUUUUUUUCCAACAAGAGCAAGUUAAACACAAACUAAAACUUAACACAUUCAAACAACUAAAACAUCAUGUGUUUUCGUACCGUGGGAAAUGUGUUGCUAGUGUAAGAGAUGAGCAAAAUAGAAUCCCACCACUACACAUAGAGUUUGGUCCACGCUUCUUUUCGAAUCCCACCACUACAAUCAAACAAAAAUCAAAAUUAAAACCCAUAUCACAAAAUCCUCAAAUUCACAAUCUCUACUAUUCUAACACAACAAAAUCGGAUUUUUCCAGUAGAAAAUGGAAAAAAGAGAAAAACUAAGGAUGUUGAACAUUGUGGGUAUAGGCAUCUGAACUUAACCCUUACCUCUUGGAGUGGUAGCAAUAUUAGGGUUAGGUGUUUCCGUUCUCACAAAAACCCUACCCUUCGCCGGAGACAGGACGGAGCACAAGUUGGGGAAUGUUCACGAUGAGCUUGUGGAGGUCAGGGCAGGGUGAAGGGCGAGAGUGAGAUGUACGAAGGUCACAGCAGGGUGAAGGGCGAAAGGGAGAUGGAAAGGCAUGCGCGUUCCAAAGACUAAAGCAUAAAUAAUUAAUAAAAUAACUACAAAUGAGACAAAGGCAGUUUUUAUAAAAAACCGUAGUAAUAGGCUUACAAACAAAGGCGGUUUUAUAAAAACCGCCUUCAUAACAUUUUAUCAAAAACGGUUUAUACAACCCGUCAUUAAGCUUUAUAAAAAGUUGGUAUUAAUUUCAAAAAUGCCACCACAAGCUUUAUUACAACGGUUAUUUUAUAACUGACUUAGAUUCAACGAUGUUGAAUCACACUUUUGUAGUAGUGAAAACAUGUUCCGGUGCAUCCAGAUACGAUGUGUUCAUUAACUUCAGAGGGGAAGACACACGUUAUGAAUUUACUGGGCAUCUCCACAAAGCUCAUUGUAACAAGGGAAUCCGUGCUUUCAUUGAUGAAGAUGACCUUGAAAGAGGAGACGAAAUAACAACAACACUUGAGGAGGCAAUUAAAGGAUCGAGGAUUGCCAUCACUGUGUUCUCUAAAGACUAUGCUUCUUCCUCAUUUUGCUUAGAUGAACUUGUAACCAUCUUUGGCUGCUACCGCAAGAAAACUCAUUAUUCCUGUCUUUUAUAAUAUGGAUCCUUUUAAUGUAAGACACCUGCAAGGAAGUUAUGCAGAAGGAUUGGCUAGGCUUGAGGAAAGGUUCCAUCCUAACAUGGAGGAAUGGAAGAAGGCUCUGCAGAAAGUAGUAGAAUUGGCUGGGCAUCAUUUCAAAGAUGGGUAUCCCUCCUUACCAAGCUUUUGCUUUAUAAUUUUUGUUAAAAUUGAAAGAGAAAAUAAAUGUUUGUUAACCUUGACAAGAUAUGUAUACAAGGGUUUUAGUUUAACUUCACUACAACUAUAAUUUCUUGUUUGAAACAAAGCUGAAUAUGAAUACAAGUUUAUUGGGAAGAUUGUUGAUGAUGUCUUCGACAAGAUUUAUAAAGCUGAAGCAAGUUGAUAGGAAACCAGAAGCAGCAUCAAGUGCAAUAGCUACACAGCCAAAAAGGAGGGUGCAAAAAGAAGAAAAGCCCAAAAGGAAGACUUCGAAACCAUCUUACCUCAACCACUAUGUUUGAGGGGAAAUGGGGUAGAGCAAUCUUCCUAGAAUCAUAGAGCAAUCUUGCUUGAUGCUUGUCUGCUUAUAGGAGACAAGCCUAACAAAUUCAGUUAUUUUAAUAUUCCAAGAAUCAUAUCAACACAAUUCUGUUACUAGGAACUCUAUAAAUACACUGUGUAAAUAAAUAGCAAGAUCAAUGAAAAUUCACAAAUUACCUUUAUCUUUCUUCUUCUUCCUUGAAAUUCUGGAGGUUCUGGCCCUCGAAGCCAGUUUCACAUAAGAGGGUCUAUCAGUGAUGCUCUCGUUGUCCUCAUGACUGAUCCUAGCAAAAUUGCGGGAAUCCUCAAAUCGACUCAAGGAUGAUUUUAUCCAUCUUACCAACCAACAACUAUACCUCAGCAAAUCCAUGCAUUCCAUGACUUUGAAGAUUGAUGAGCUCCUUCAUCGUGUUUCUCUGUUGCUUUCGUCUUCUACGGCAACACCACCCCUGUUACCUCCCUCUCACCCUGUACCUGCAACCACACACAAAAUGAAAUUAGAUGUGCCUCAGUUUGAUGGCAUUGAACCACUUGGUUGGAUCUUCAAGAUCAACCAAUUUUUUGAGUACCAUGGCACUCCGAAGCAAGACCGUCUCACCAUUGCCUCGUUCUACAUGGAGGGUAGGGCCCUUGCUUGGUUUCAAAGGAUGACAAGCAAUUAUCAAUUUACCUCCUGACCUGUUUUCCUCCAAGCCCUGCAAACCCGCUUUGCCCCAUCCCAAUACGAAGAGCCUACCGGUACCCUAUUUAAGCUCACUCAUAGGGGAACAGUGGGACAAUACCUGUUGGAGUUCGAGGAUCUGGCUAAUCAAAUCAUCGACCUUUCAUCGCCUUUCCUCCUAAGCUGCUUCAUCUUGGGUCUUACGUCGGAGAUCCGUCGGGAAGUGCAGGCUCACUAGCCUUUGACUUUGGACCAUCGAUAGACGCCGCUAUCACGCACUUUGCAACCCCCUCCAACUCCACUUCGCACCACACCAUUAUCGACACUCUUAUCUUCGUCUCCUCGACCGCCACCACCAACAUUGAAGCGCCUGACACCAGACAAGAUAACCUCACGCUGUGAGCAUGGGUUAUGCUUCAAUUGCGAUGAGAAGUACCAUAAAGGUCACCGUUGUGCCUAUAGGGUUUUUCUCCUCAUCACGAAAGAGGAAGAUCCUUCGUAAUCUAAUAUAGACCCAAUUGACCCGCCUGGAAACCCUGACAUGUACCUAGCAACCCAAUUGACAUCGGGCACCAUCUGAUUCUUCUGGCCGACGGUGGGAGCACCCAUAAUUUCAUUAAACAACAACUCGUCCUCAAUUGGGCUUACCUUGUCGGGAAACGGCACCAUUACGAGUGAUGGUGGGUAAUGGCCAACACCUGGAGUGCAAUAGCAUAUGUGAAACAGUCCCCAUUCACAUUCAAAACACUACCUUCAUAGUGGAUCUUUAUGUCCUGCCGAUAUCGGGCGCCAAUGUUGUUUUGGGUGUCCAAUGGCUUAAAUCAUUAGGCCCAGUUCUAACCAAUUAUAAUACUUAGUUCAUGCAAUUCUUUAAUGAGGGGCAUUUAGUUGAAUUAAGGGGAGAAAACGAGGCCAACCUAGGACUCUUUACACCACAACAGUUUUGCCAUUUAUGUCACAAACAGAACGAUGCUUUAUACUUCCACAUUGCAGUGUUUUCAUACUCAAAUACCUCUUCAGCCACCAAAGACCCUCCCCUGGAAAUCCAAGCCUUAUUCACUAAGUUUGGCUCAUUGUUUCAAAAUCCAUAGGCUUUACCUUUGGCCAGGGACACCGUCCACCACAUUCACCUGGUUCCAAAUUCAGCUCCGUUCAACGUGCGCCCUUACCUUUAUCCUCACUAUCAGAAGCAUGAUAUUGAGCUUCAGGUUGAAUAUAUGCUAUAGAAAGGCCUUAUUCAACCCAGUACGAGUCCGUUCUCGUUGUCGGUAUUGCUCGUGAAGAAAUAAGAUGGUUCCUGGCAAUUCUAUAUGGACCAUCGAGCCUUGAAUGUUGUCAUAGUCCGGGAUAGGUUCCCCAUUCCCACGAUUGAUGAGCUUUUGGAUGAAUUAGGAGGCCCUUGAUGCUUUUCGAAGCUGAACCUGUUGUAGCGGUACCAUCAAAUUACAAUGCAUGUUGCCGAUAUUCCUAAAACAACCUUCCGAACACACCAUGGUCAUUAUGAGUUCAAAGUAAUGUCAUUUGGUUUGUGUAAUGCUCCAUCAUCAUUCCAGGCCACCAUGAAAAUGAUUUUCUGGCCAUACCUCCGUCACUUCAUCAUCGUCUUCUUCGAUGACAUCCUCAUAUAUAGCGGCUCCUUUGAGGCUCACUUACAUAAUCUAGAAACCACAUUCUAGGUGCUACUUGACAAUCACUUUGUUUUAAAAUUGUCUAAGUGUUUCAUUGCUCAGUCUCAGGUGGAGUACCUUGGGCAUCUUGUCUCUCAGAAGGAAGUGGAACUAGUAGCUUCGAAGGUGGCCGCCAUUCAUCAAUGGCCAGUCCCUCGUUCGACCAGAGCAGUGUGGAGCUUCUUGGGCCUCACUGGAUUCUAUCGCAGGUUCAUUAGAAGCUAUGCGACCACAGUAGCUCCCUUGGUCAAGGUCACCCCCGUUGAGCCAUUCUGGUGGACGACUCAAGCUUAGAUAGCUUUCAAAUAGCUUAAACAGGCCCUAUCGACAGCACCAGUUCUGGCCUUACCUAAUUUCCAACUGCCCUUCAUUAUCGAAAUGGAUGAUUUCAGGGUAGGAAUGGGCGCGGUCCUAUCUCAACAGGGACACCCCCUUUCCUUUUUCCGCAAACCCUUCAUCCCGAAGCUCCUUCGUGCCUUGAUGUAUGUAUGAGGACUGUUUGCGAUCACGACGAAGGUAAAUAAAUGGAGCCAGUACCUUCUUGGCCACCGCUUCGCCAUUAUUACCAACCACCUGAGCCUCAAGGAAUUACUAACCCAAGUAAUUCAAACAUCGGAACAACACACGUAUUUGGCACGAUUAAUGGGGUAUGACUGUCAAAUCCAGUAUCGUUCUGGCAUACAUAACCAAGCUGCUAAUGCUCUAUCAAGAUUUCCAAAACAAGACCCAUCCUUGUCCAUGAUCCUGUUUGUGCCAUCCUUAACCUUUUUGGAAGAACUUCGCCGCCAGCUUGACAAUCAUCCAGAAUACACUCGUCACUGUCAAGAUGUUCUCAAUAAUCCAGCCAAACACCCACAAUACCUUGGGGACUUCUGAUAAUCUCCACCUUGCUCACGGAGUAUCAUGCUACACCCACAGGUGGCCAUAUAUCAGAAAACUUCUACUGGCUCGGACUCCGAGAGGAUGUUAAGUAGCAGGAUUAUUAUGCCCCCUUCCGGUUCCAUACCGACCUUGGGAGGAUCUCUCGUUGGACCUUAUUGCCGGACUCCCAUCAUACCAUGGAAAUACAACCAUACUUGUGGUCGUUGAUCAUUUCUUGAAGGGUAUUCAUCUGGGAAUGUUACCCUCUGCUCACACUACUCAUAUGGUGGCUUCCUUAUUCAUGGAAAUCAUGGUCAAAAUCCAUGGGAUUCCCCAAAGUUUGGUCUCCAAUAGAGACCUAUUAUUCAUCAGUCGUUUCUGGCAAGAAUAUUUUUGGUCAAGUGGGACAAGCUGCGGAUAGUUCUGCAUACCAUUCAUAGAGUGAUGGACAAACUGAGGUCUUGAAUUGCAUCAUUGAACAAUACUUGCACACUUUUGUUCAUCGCUGGUCGAACACAUGGGGGAAGCUUCUUCCUUGGGUAGAAUGGUCCCACAACACCUCGUGGAAUGUGGGAACAGGAACCACUCCAUAUGAGAUAACCUUUGGUUGUAAACCCUUUAUUUUUCUAGAGUACAUCGUUGGGUCCUCUAAUAUCAAUGUUUUUGAAGAUAUGUUGAUCGAUAGAGAAGAGACCUUCCAAGCUAUUCGCAAGAAGCUUAUGAAAGCUCAAGAUACCAUGAAGAAACAUGCUGACAGUAAACGCUGAGAGUUAAAUUAUCAAGUAGGAGACUGGGUCUUGCUCAAGCUUCGCCCUCACCGGCAGACAUCUGCCAAAAAUCCUUAGGCAAGUUAGCCAAGAGGUUCUAUUGACCCUUCCAGAUCAUAGAACGUUUUAGCACAAUGCCCUAUAGGUUACAAUUACCAGAAGAAGCUAAGAUACACCCUAUUUUUCAUUGUUCCGUGCUCAAACCAUUUAAGGGAUCACUAGAGCACAAGGAAGGAAUUGCAUUGCCACCAAAAUUAAUCAGUGAUCAACCUCUCAUGUUUCCUUUGUGUGGAAGCAAUGCCUUCCAAGAUUAUUUUGAUGAUGCCAAAGAAUCAAGAGUUAAGAAAGUCCUAAAGAAUCAAGAGUUAAGCAAAUUCCAAAGAUUCAAGAAUCAAGAUUCAAGUUUCAAGAAUCAAGAUUCAAGAACAAUCAAGAUCAAGAUUCUAGACUCAAGAUUCAAGAAUCAAGAGAAGACCCAAUCAAGAUAAGUACUAAAAAAGUUUUUCAAAAAAUUGAGUAGCACAAGAAUUUUUCACAAAAUCUUUUACCAAAGAGUUUUACUCUCUGGUAAUCGAUUACCAGAAGGUAGUAAUCGAUUACCAGUAGCCAACAUUGUUUUCAAAACUGAUUUACAAAGCUGUAAUCGAUUACCAUGAGCAUGUAAUCGAUUACCAAUGAUUUAAAACGUUUGAUUUCAAAUUUCAAGAGUCACAACUAGUGAUAAAACAUUUUCAAAUCAUUUUAAACUUGUUUAAUCGAUUACACAAUACUUGUAUUCGAUUACCAGAGUUUAUAAAUGUUUUGAUUUUCAAAAUUUAAACUUGAAGAGUCACAUUUGUUGAUGUGUAAUCGAUUACACCUUGAUGGUAAUUGAUUACUAGUGACUGAUUUCGAAAAAUAAAUUUCCAAAAGUCAUAAUUCUUAAAGUGAUUUGUUUCUGAAGAUUUUUUCAACAGUCACAACUUUUUAAGUGACUAGUUUUCAAAAGAGUCACAAUUUUUAAAAGGUGACUAGUUUUAAAGAAAUUGCCAAGAGUCACAAACUUUAACUUGAGUCAUCAAAUGAUUAUAAAUAUGUGACCAUGGCAUGAAUUUCACAACAAGUUUUUAUAGAACUUUCUAACUCAUUUCUCUUCAUCUUUCAACAAGUUUUUUUUACAGAAAUCUCUGAUUCAUUUCUCAACUUCUUUCUAAGAGUUUUUGUUCAAAACUUUCUCUUCCAAGAAAAGUUCAUUGUUCAAAAACUUGUGUUAUUCUUCUUCUUCAUUCACUUCUCCCUUUGUCAAAAGAAUAGAAGGACUAACCGCCUUAAUUCUUUUGUGUCUAUCUUCUCUCUUUCCAAGAGAAUUCAAAGGACUAACCGCAUGAGAAUUCUUUUGAUUCUUCCCUUCCCCUUAAACAAAAGAUUUCAAAGGACUAACCGCCUGAGAUAUCUUUUGUUUCCCCUUACAAAGAUUCAAAGGACUAACCGCCUGAGAAUUAUUUGUCUUAACACAUUGGAGGGUACAUCCUUUGUGGCACAAGUAGAGGGUAGAUCUACUUAGGUUGUUAUACUGAGAACAAGAGAGGGUACAUCUGUUGUGGAUAAGUUCAAGUGGAGGGUACAUCCACUUGGUUGUUCAAAGAGAACAAGGGAAGGUACAUCCCUUGUGGAUCUUGGCUUGUAAAGGAUUUUACAAGGUUGAAAGAAAUCUCAGAACCGUUGGUUGCUUGGGGACUGGACGUAGGCACGGGUUGUGGCCGAACUAGUAUAAAUCUUGUGUAUGUCUUCUUUUUCCCUACACUUUUUAAUUUCUGCUGUGUACUUUUAAUUGUCGCUUUUACUUUUGGUUAAGUUAUUGUUUCUGUUCUUUACUUUCUUAACUUAGUAGUAAAAGCCUAGUUGAAUCUAGUAACAUUAAGAAGGAUUAAUUUUUAAUUAGUCAAUACACUUUAAUAAUUAAUUCAAUCCCCCCCUUCUUAAUUAUUCUGAGGCCACUUGAUUCAACAAGUGGUAUCAGAGCAGGUUUCUUGAGAAAAGUUUCACAACUUCAAGAUUCAUGGCCUCAUCAAAUUCUCUAUUUCCUGAAGGAAACUCUAUCCAUAGGCCACCUAUCUUUAAUGGUGAGGGUUACCACUAUUGGUAAACCCAAAUGCAAAUCUUUAUUGAAGCCAUAGAUUUAAACAUUUGGGAAGCAAUAGAAAUAGGACCUUACAUACCCACCAUAGUCGAUGAAAGCACUAGCACAACAACACAAAAACCUAGAGAUAAAUGGAGUGAAGAGGAUAGAAGAAGAAUCCAGUAUAAUCUAAAAGCCAAAAACAUCAUCGCUUCUGCCCUAGGAGUAGAUGAAUAUUUUAGAGUGUCUAAAUGUUCUAAUGCAAAGGAGAUGUGGGAUACUCUCCAACUUACACAUGAAGGCACCACUGAUGUGAAAAGAUCUAGAGUCAAUACCUUUACACAUGAAUAUGAAUUAUUUAGGAUGAAUCCUAAUGAGAACAUCCAAAGUGUGCAUAAAAUAUUCACACACAUAGUCAAUCAUCUUGCCACCUUAGGAAAAACCUUCCCUAAUGAAGAUUUAAUUAAUAAAGUUUUAAGAUGCUUAAGUAGGGAAUGGCAGCCCAAGGUAACUGCCAUUUCUAAAAGUAAAGAUCUUUCCUCUAUGUCUCUUGCCACUCUUUUUGGAAAAUUGCAGGAACAUGAAAUGGAACUUCAACAUCUCAACCAAAAUGAAGAGACUGACAAAAGGAAAAGAAGCAUAGCACUCAAAGCCUCCUCCUCAAUGCAAGAAGAAGAAGAAGAAGAAGAAGAAGAAUCUGAUGAUGAAGAGGAUUUCUCACUCUUUGUGAAGAAGUUUCAUAAAUUCGUCAAAAAUAGAAGAAUGGAAAGACGCCAUAACUUCAACAAUGGGAAGAGAUCCCAAGAAGUUUCUCCUACACUUAAAUGCUAUAAGUGUAAUCAACCCGGUCACAUAAAGGCAAAUUGCCCCUCAAAUGAGUCAUGGCCCGAGAAGAAUGAGAAGAAAAGCUAUAAAGAAAGAAGAUCCAAGAAGGCGUAUAUUGCUUGGGAUGACAAUGACUCAUCUGAUUGUUCGAAGAAGGAGAUUAACCUUCUAUCCAAGGACUAUGAAAGUGAUGAGAACAUCUCUCAAGAAGUUUAAGUAAGAAAAACAAAAUUUUGACUUCCAUCUUUAAAGAUCUAAGCACUUGAAUCAUGAAAAAGGUAACAUCAAAACCAUUAUCUUUUAAAAUUAAUUUGGUUGAAAUUUCUCUUUUAUUUAACUUGUUUAUAUGAUGACUAACAAAAUUUUAUUUGUUUGUCUUGUUUGAUUUCUAAAUGAGUUUGUGCUCAAAUGUUUAGUUGAAUUAUCUUCCUUUCUCAAAAUAUGAAACUUAUCAUUAAAAUAAAUCUAAAUGGUUGAUGAUGCCAUGGUCUAUAUCUUUCAAUUGUUGUAUGAUUACUUGUAUGAUAUGUUUAGAAGUACUUGAUUGAUUGCUCAUGUUUUUUCAAAACCAUUAUAUUAUAUAAAAUUAUUUCUUGAUAUAUAAAAACUUUCUAUGUUCAUCUUAGUAAGUGUUGAUUUUUUAUUGAUGUUUUAGAAGAAGUGUCUAGUAAUCGAUUACAUUCUCAUGUAAUCGAUUACAGGCAGUUAGACUAAGUGUAAUUGAUUACAACAUUCAUCUAAUUGAUUACAUAAUUGAUUACAACAUUCCUGUAAUCGAUUAUAGAGCGUCUGUGUCUAUAAAUUCGAAAUUUCGAACCCAAAAUCCCUAAAUCUUCAAAACUUGAUUUCUCCCUCAAUUCUCAACCAAAUCAUGUCCCACAAAGCCCAAAAUUCAUCUUUUUUCAUCCUCUUUCAUUUCAACCGAUUGAAAUUUCAAAUAAGUCUCUCAAAUGGCGGAACCAUCGAAGAAGAAAAAGGGGAUUGUGACUUCAUUCGCAGUUACUGGAACACGAAGCCACGGAACAUCCAAGGCGCAGACAUCUCAAAUUCUUCCCUCCAUAUCAUCUCCUACGUUGUUUUCCUCGGAAGAACAACGUAUCCGGUACAAUUCUCUUUUCUCUUCUCGUUCCAUUAUCGACCCUAAGUUCGUAGACUUAGCUUUCUCUAAUGAUGAAGUGUUUGAUUGCUUUCAAGCAUUUCAAAAUUCUGGUUUAAUUCAGUUUAUCUCCAUGAAACUUCCUUUUUACCCUAAAUUGGUUAAAGCUUUUUAUUCAAACCUAGAAAUUCAAGAAGAUUCCUUGAUUUCCGAAGUGUAUGGGAUUAAGAUGGUCAUAGACCAGUCCCUCUUCUUUGAUCUCACUCAAUUAUCAAGUGACAGUGUACCAUUUGAGGGUUCACUUGAUGAUGAGUUGAAGUUUGAUUUUUCUGUGUCUGAUGCCUGCCGGAUGGUUUGCACCAACCAAGCGGAUAUGACUGGAAGGCUUCUUGCUGAUUCAUUGGCAUUCGAAUGCCGCAUCAUGCACUACUUGAUUGUGCAUAUCCUACUCCCUAGAUCUUCCAACCUUGCACAGGUUUCUGAGGAAGAUUUGAUAAUCAUGUGGGUUUUCUUAACUGGUCGUCAAAUCAACUGGGCCCUUCUUGUGAGAUAUCGCAUGCAUAAGGCAUUGCGAUCAAAUGCUCCACUCCCAUAUCCCCAUCUGAUUACUUUGUUUCUACAACAUUUUAAUGUCCCUCUUGACUCUGAUCCCUUUGUCAAUGUCAAGAGAUCCUUCUCUAUAGGUGCAAAUGUAGUGUCUUCCUUCGGUUACCGCAAAGAGAAGGAUGGCUCUUGGGUAAAGAAGGAUGCUCCAGUACAGGCCGCUGAAGACCGCUGUCCAUCACCACAUUCUCAUAGAGAUGACUCUUCAUCUCUUAUGCACAACAUUCUUGAAAGGUUUGAUGAACUUCAAACCUAUGUUGGUGAGAGAUUUGAUGCUUUGGAACGACAAGUGGACACGCGAUUCGACAAAAUGGACUCAAGGAUCACAAAGGUUGAAGAAGAUGUCACCAUCAUUCGCGACUGCCUUGAUUUACCUCCACCACCAUCAGUUUAGACAUUAUUAUUAUUAUUAUUAUUAUUACUUUGAUUUCUAGCCGUGUAUUUGGCUAUAUUAUUAUGACAUUUGAACACUUGGUAUUUCUUUUAUUAUUUGCUUAGUAUGACUGAACAUGAUGAUUAUAUUUACUUGCUUUUGGUUGUUUAUGGUUUGUGUUAUAUGACUAAGUGGUUUGCAUUUAAAUUUUGUGUUAUUAAUAUUUUUCUUUAUGUAUGGUUUAGAAUCUUUAAUGCUUGUUUUACAAAUUAUGCCUUGUGUAUGUUUUAAAUUAUUUAUGUUUUAUGCACUUUGGCCUUUUUUGAUGUUGCCAAAGGGGGAGAGAAAAUGGGUAUUUUAGAAAUCAAGAAAAUGGGUAUUUUAGAAAUCAAGACAUUAUAUUUUUUUCAAAGCUUUAAAAUUAAGCAUAAAUUCAAAAAGAAAGGGGGAGAAAGGGAUGAGUGAACGGUAGAACAAAACUUGUAUGUACUCUCUUGAUUUCAGGAUUGUCAUCAUCAAAAAGGGGGAGAUUGUGGAAGCAAUGCCUUCCAAGAUUAUUUUGAUGAUGCCAAAGAAUCAAGAGUUAAGCAAGUCCCAAUGAAUCAAGAGUUAAGCAAAUUCCAAAGAUUCAAGAAUCAUGUUUCAAGAAUCAAGAUUCAAGAACAAUCAAGAUCAAGAUUCAAGAAUCAAGAGAAGACUCAAUCAAGAUAAGUACUAAAAAAGUUUUUCAAAAAAUUGAGUAGCACAAGAAUUUUUCACAAAAUAUUUUACCGAAGAGUUACUCUCUGGUAAUCGAUUACCAGUAGCCAACAUUGUUUUCAAAACUGAUUUACAAAGCUGUAAUCGAUUACCAUGAACAUGUAAUCGAUUACCAAUGUUUUAAAACGUUUGAUUUCAAAUUUCAAGAGUCACAACUAGUGAUAAAACAUUUUCAAAUCAUUUUAAACUUAUCGAUUACAAAAUACUUAUAAUCGAUUACCAGAGUUUCUAAAUGUUUUGAUUUUCAAAAUUUAAACUUGAAGAGUCACAUCUGUUAAUGUGUAAUCGAUUACACCUUGAUGAUAAUCAAUUACCAGUGACUGAUUUCGAAAAAUAAAUUUCCAAAAGUCAUAACUCUUAAAGUGAUUUGUUUCUGAAGAUUUUUUCAAAAGUCACAACUUUUUAAGUGACUAGUUUUCAAAAGAGUCACAAUUUUUAAAAGGUUACUAGUUUUAAAGAAAUUGCCAAGAGUCACAAACUUUAACUUGAGUCAUCAAAUGAUUAUAAAUAUGUGACCAUGGCAUGAAUUUCACAACAAGUUUUUAUAGAACUUUCUAACUCAUUUCUCUUCAUCUUUCAACAUGUUUUUUACAAAAAUCUCUGAUUCAUUUCUCAACUUCUUUCUAAGAGUUUUUGUUCAAAACUUUCUCUUCCAAGAAAAGUUCAUUGUUCAAAAACUUGUGUUAUUCUUCUUCUUCAUUCACUUCUCCCUUUGCCAAAAGAAUAGAAGGACUAACCGCCUGAAUUCUUUUGUGUCUCUCUUUUCUCUUUCCAAGAGAAUUCAAAGGACUAACCGCCUGAGAAUUCUUUUGAUUCUUCCCUUCCCCUUAAACAAAAGAUUUCAAAGGACUAACCGCCUGAGAUAUCUUUUGUUUCCCCUUACAAAGAUUCAAAGGACUAACCGCCUGAGAAUUCUUUGUCUUAACACAUUGGAGGGUACAUCCUUUGUGGCACAAGUAGAGGGUAGAUCUACUUGGGUUGUUAUACUGAGAACAAGAAAGGGUACAUCUGUUGUGGAUCAGUUCAAGUGGAGGGUACAUCCACUUGGUUGUUCAAAGAGAACAAGGGAGGGUACAUCCCUUGUGGAUCUUUGGCUUGUAAAGGAUUUUACAAGGUUGAAAGAAAUCUCAAGAACCGUUGGUUGCUUGGGGACUGGAUGUAGGCACGGGUUGUGGUCGAACCAGUAUAAAUCUUGUGUUUGUCUUCUUCUUCCCUACACUAUUUAAUUUCCGCUGUGUACUUUUAAUUGACGCUUUUACUUUUGGUUAAGUUAUUGUUUUUGUUCUUUACUUUCUUAACUUAGUAGUAAAAGCCUAGUUGAAUCUAGUAACAUUAAGAAGGAUUAAUUUUUAAUUAGUCAAGACACUUUAAUAGUUAAUUCGACCCCCCCCCCCUUCUUAAUUAUUCUAAGACCACUUGAUCCAACACUUUGGCCAUUCUGUAUUAUUACAGAACAUCGUCAGCUGAUGCUUCCAGGGAAGUGUUAGUGCAAUGGUAAGGCCUAUCUCCAGAUGAAAUUUCCUAGGAAGAUUGGUCCCAAUUAUGCCAGGAUUAUCACCUUGAGGACAAGGUGAUCUUACAAGGGCCGAAGGAUGAUGGGAAACCAGAAGCAGCAUUAGGUGUAAUAGCUACAGAGUCGAAAAGUAGGGUGCAAAAAGAAGAAAAACCCAAAAGGAAGACUUUGAAACCAUCUUACCUCAAUGACUAUGUUUGAGGGAAAAUGGAUAGCACUGGCAAGGCAAUCUUCCUAAAAUCAUAAUGCAAUCAUACUUGAUGCUACUCAUAGGAGACAAGCCUAAAAUUUUUGGUUAUUGUAAUAUGCCUAGAAUCAUAUAAGCACAAUUAUGUUACUAGGAACUCUAUAAAUACACUUUAUAAAUAACAAGCAAGAUCAAUGAAAAUUCACAAAUUACCUUUAUCCUUCUUCUUCUUCCUUGCAAUUCUGGAGGUUCUAACCCUCGAAGCCAGUUUCACACAAGAAGGUCUAUCACAAGUAUAUAUGUUGUGAAUCACCUAGUUGGAAUAGACUUACAAGUGGAAAAAAUAAGGAAACUUUUGGAGGCUGGAUCUAGUGAUGCUAUCUCCAUGAUAGGGAUCCACGGAAUGGGCGGAGUAGGAAAAUCAACACUUGCACGAGCAGUUUAUAAUUUGCAUACUGAUCAUUUUGAUGAUUCGUGUUUCCUACAAAACGUGAGAGAAGAAUCCAAUAGACACGGGUUAAAACUCCUAUAAAGCAUCCUUCUUUCACAAAUACUUAAGCAGGAAAUCAACUUAGGAAGUGAGCAACAUGGAACUUCGAUGAUAAAAAAAUAAGCUCAAGGGAAGGAAGGUUCUCUUAGUUCUAGAUGAUGUUGAUGAGCAUAAGCAAUUACAAGCAAUUGUUGGAAAAUUUGUUUGGUCUAAGUCUGAGUCUGAGUUUGGCACCAGAGUGAUUUUGAUCAUCACCAUUCGGGACAAACAACUCCUAACAUCUUAUGGGGUCAAAAGAACAAAUGAGGUGAAAGAAUUGAGUAAGAAUGAUGAUAUUCAAUUGCUUUAAUGGAAAGCUUUUAAAACAUAUGAUGAAGUUUAUCAAAGUUACAAUCAGGUCUUCAAUGAUGUAGUAACUUGAACUUCUUGCCUUCCAUUAGCUUUGGAAGUGAUAGGUUCGAACCUGUUUGGAAAAAGUAUUAAAGAAUGGGAAUCAACUAUCAAACAAUAUCAAAGAAUUCCUAAUAAGGAAAUCUUGAAAAUACUCAAAGUAAGCUUUGAUGCUUUGGAGAAAGAAGACAAAAGUGUUUUUCUUGACAUUAAUUGUUGCUUCAAAGGCUAUAAACGCAGAGAGAUUGAAGAUAUACUUCACAGUCUUUAUGAUAACUGCAUGAAAUACCAUAUUGGGGUGCUUGUUGACAAGUCUCAUACAGACUCUAUUAACAAAUAUGCUUUCUACAUCGGUUAUUUAUGACUUUCUAUAUUGAUUUUUAAUCGAUGUUGAAAGUACCGAUGUUGCAAGUAUUAUGGUUAACAUUGGGUUUUUAAAGCCGAUGUUAACGCAAAUUUACAACAUCGGUUAUCUAAAUAACCGAUGUUAUAUAAUAAGAAUUACACCAAAAAAAUGUAUGAAUAUUGACAGUUGACAUCGGUUAUCUAGCAAAACCGAUGUUAACUUAUAGAUUAACAUCGGUUUUCUAUAAAAACCGAUGUUAAAGUUAGAAACGUUAAUAUUGGUUUCAGUAAAAAACCAAUGUUAAAUGUUGUUAGGUUAACAUUGGUUUUUAAACAAAAACUGAUGUUAAUGUAUAAGUUAACAUCGGUUUUUUUUACAGAUACCUAUGUUAACAUUUUGGAUAUUAACAUCGGUUUUUUACGAAAACUGAUGUUAAUAUACACGAACAACAUCGGUUUUUUGAAGAAUCGAUGUUAAGUUGUAUGUUAACAUCGGUUUUUUUUAUUAACAUCGGUUUUCGUAAAAAAUCAAUGUUAAUAUCUAAAGCAUUAACAUUGGUUUGUCUAUAUUAACAUCAGUUCUCCUUGCUAAUGCCAUAUUUUUUACAGAUAGUGUCCUCCACACCGUCCUCGUCAGUUGCAAGUGCCCAUUUCCUAGUCAAAUCAGAUUUAAACUGCCUCCACCGCUAGCCGACAGUCUGAAGAACUUUCUUCUUUGUCCUACUAUCAGAAGCUUCAAGGAUUUCAAAUUCCGCCUGACAAACAAUAAAUUAGGUUUUAUUGGUAGUAAAUUAUAAAUUUUGGCUACUAAAGAAAAUCAAAGAAGAAAACUAAAAUACCUGAAUAUCCUCCCAUAUCAAAUCCUUCUAAGCAGCAGAGAUUUCCUUCCAGGUCUCGUAUGUCACGUCGACCUUAUCACGAGCGAUAAUCCCCAAAUAUGUUCUUAAUUUCUUCUUGUGGGGACCGUCGGCCUUGCCAGUCGCAGGAUCGACAUUGACCACUGGUCUCUCUGCUCCAGGUGGUCUAGUGGCCAAGGAUCGUAGCCAUGUCGCUUUACCUGUCCAUUGGAUUUGACUCUCUUAAGUGAAUGGAGUGUACUUUAUACUAAUACUGAUAAUCACAAUGGUUGAGAUUAUAUAUGAUGCAAAUCUCAAGGAUGAAGGGAACAUUGGUAAGAGUAAGACUACACUGAAUUGGUCUGAGUCAUUCAAUGAAGAUGAUGAUGAAGACCUUCAAGAGACAGAGGCCAAUUAAGCUCUUUUGGCAAAGCUUUUUGCUAGUAUUUCAACUGUUAAAGCUGUAUAUGCUGAGUUACAGUAUGCUUAGUUACCUUUUGACCCUGAUGGCAUUGAAGUCGCUGAUCAAUUGCUAGUGUCUGAUCCUUCACGCAAGACUGCAAUACUUGAGGCCAAAUCCAAGGAAUUUCAAGGUGUGAUCAAAACCUAAGAGAUCAUGGGGAUGAAGUUGGAGUCAUAGGUGAGGCUCAAGGAUUCCGAGAUAAUUUUUCUUAGGGAGAAGUUGGAGGAAGCUAAUAGGCAAAACAAGGCAAUCGAGAAUAGAUUGAAUCAAAUUGGCCAACUAUCUGUUCUUGAUAAUCUUCACAUAACAGGAUUAAGUCCUAGCCAUUUCAUCACGGUUCUUCGCCACACGGUCCGGUCCAUUAUCAACUUUGUGAGGCUCAUUGUUGAUGACAUGAGAUAUGCAGGUUGGGACAUUGAUGCCACGGUUGAUGCCAUCGAGCAGAAUGUAGUUUAUAUGGCAGAAGAUCACAAGUGUUUCACCAAGAUGGCGAAGAGGGUGUGGCUUCUACACUGCUUGGCCUUCUCCUAUGAGCCUCAGGCUUCAAUCUUCCAAGUAGGGAAAUGGUGCAUAUUCUCUGAUGUGUACAUGGAAGUGUGAAUGAUGAAAUCUUCCUCUAUUCAUACGUGGAACCAGAUCCACAAGUUGCUUUCACAGUAGUUCCAAGGUUUAGGAUUGGUAAAACGGUUUUACAGUGUCAAGUGUACCUCUCACAGCACCAAACCAAGGUUAAAAAUAAUCAAUUCAACAAAGCAAAGGUUUGAAUGUUUAGCCUUUCUAUAAAUGCUUGUUUUAGGCCUACAUCAUUGGGCUUAACCUUAUAGAAUAAUUAAAAUUUGACCAAGGGCAAACCCUCACUCUCAAAUCAUUGCUAGACAUGGUUACCCUCCUAGACAUAAGCUCUAUAAGCCUCAAGGCUCAAGCAUCAAGAACAUGAAUGUGUCGACAGAAGAAGGAGAUAGUGUUGUUCUAUAACAAAGUCAAGAUACACAUAAUGCUGAAAUGAGAUUGAGUUCUCAACAAUAUAAAGCUUUUAUGACAUUGUUGCAACAACAAAGCUCAGUUCACAAUAAUUCACAUGUAAACCAAAUCGGUACAAUCACUGGAUCUAGUAAUGAAUUAAACAUAUGACAAAAUGUUCCAAAUCUAAAAUGAAUUAAAAAUUCUAGAAAACAUAAUCAUUUUUCCAACAAAAAUGAAGUAGUUACAUAUGUAUCAUUCUAAAGGUUUUAAGUUCAACUUAGUGUAAAGCACUUCAAGCUUGUCAAUGUACCUAUGAAUUUUUUUUUUGGCUAUGUAAAUAAGCUAACCCUAAGAGAAUAUGGCAAGUGAAAUUCCGAAUGACAGAUUCUGUUAUGGCACCACAAUGAUCACAAAUAUAUUUAUUAAUUGAACCAAGAUGAACAUAUUCCAGAUAAAUAUAAAACCGGUCAUCAACCUACAAGCACAUAUGUUAAGGUUUUAAAGCUGUUACAGAAUAAUGAUUAUUAAUCUUGAGCAGUUAAUUAUGAAGUAGGAGAUUGCUUACUAUUUCACUGACAAAAUACUGUACAAUGUUUGAAUGUUUUAGAUUGCUAAGAACUUUAAUUUCCUGGAGAAAAAGAAUAAACCAAUAAGAAGGAUAAAUAGGAUAUAGAAAAUAGCAUAUCUUCAAAACUAUUACGGAACGAUAAAUAUAUAUAGCCAAGCAGCCUAAGCCAUUAAUAAUACAAACAACCUCAUCAAGUAUUCAACUACAGUGGACACUAAAACAAAAUGAGGAGCGUCACUGCAAAAUAUAUGAUAUCGGCCAAGGCAUACAAAAAUAAUAUAAAGGUAAAUUAAUAGACUAGUUAAUCCGAGCUGAGCAUCUUAAAUGUUCAACAGGUAGUAAAUUAUUUUCAUUACAAUUACAAUUAUAAAGUAGUUGCAUUAGUUAUUAGAAGUUUCAUGAUAAAACAUUUCAGAAGCAAAUUUGCUAAGCAGAAUUAUACAAUUUUCUUAAUCAUGCAGCUAUCAGUUCCCAGUUUUCACAUAUAAUAAGAAACUUCAAAGUGACUGAAAAUGUGUUGUCGAUUCUCAUUCAGGAUUGGAAAGAGACUUACUAUUCCAAAGAAAUUGAUUAUUUGACACACUGACUUCUAUAAAAGUCCUAUUAACAAAUAUGAUAUGUACUGUAAUAACAACACACAAAAAACAAGACACACAACACUCUACGCAGUGCCAAAUAGACAAUGGCAAAAGGCAAGUAGUGGCAAAAAGCCAGCUUACAUUGUAUCAUCUUUAGUACUGGAAAAUAAAAUUUUUCUUCUUUGUCUUUUCCUAGAAAAUAAAAUGCUAGAAGCUUAGGCCCUCCCCCCCCCCCCCCCCUUUCUUUAGUGAUCUACUUAUACUCAAGCAGAUCAUAACAUCUAGGUUGAGUAGAAGCAACACUGUUGAUUAUGCAAAUUGAAAGACAACAUCAGCUUCCUGUUAUGGAUAUUUUGGGUGAACACCAUGAUGCGUAAUGGAUUUUGAAUUUGAGGACAGAAUAGGCCUUCUAAAGAAGAAAGAGUGAUUAGAUAGAAAUGGACUUAAUUCUCAUAAAUUGAUAAAAUGCAUUUACAAGAAUAUACAACCAUCUGCCCAUGUUGUCUAUACAUAAUAGAUCCUUCCUAUUAGAAUUCUAGUCAAUUCUUUCUAGAACCAACUCAAUAAUAUAUCUACUUGUAAGACACAUAAUCAGUCCAUUUCUAUGGUGCUACCACAUUCCUUUUGGGCCUGCUAGAUUCUACCACAUAAUCAGUCCAUUUCUACUUGUAUGAAUCUUAUAGACAUGUACCUGUGGCUUUUUUCUAGAUUGGCUUCUAGUCCAUAAUAGUCAUUACCUCGAGUGGCCCAUUCUUUUUUUACUGCAAAAUCCAUGUGGUAUUGAACUUCAUAUUUUUUUUGUAGAUGAUAUAUAGAGAAAAUCUUAGUGGUUUGUGAAAUAUAAAGGAUAACAUAUUAACAUGGGAGCAGUUUUGGAAUUUUUUAAAUUGUAGUGUUUACUUUUUAACUUACACAUGUUGUUCUACCAAUUAUGCGGAGAAAAGAAUGAAAUGGAUAUUUGGAAGGAUAAAGAGCAAGAGAUUGCCUUCAAUUAAAGCUCCCCUGCCCUCAAAAGGAACAACACUAAGUGAGGCAGAGCAACAACAGAGCAAGCAUGCUUUAACAGUGGGCAUUGCCUCAAUAGCAGUUGUUGAAGCUGUUGUUACUGCUGCUCAUCGCCUCACUGGGCAAUGCAAGGAAACCUCAAAAGACUAUCAACAUGUUAAAACUAGCAAUGGUGCUCUAACUGUUAGUAAUAUGAUUGAGUAGGUCAAUCUAUUUUCUUUAUCUUGUUGUAUAAGUUGUAUUUGGUUUGGAGAAACUAGUGUCUAUUAUCUUUUUCUCUACAGGAUUGAAGAAUUGUAGUAGGUUAUUAGUAGCUAUUAAUAAAAGCAGGCUUUAGUUUCUCAGUUCUAAUGGCCAAUUUUUAUGUAUCUUGAGAGAUCAAGUUGACAUUCAUGUUAUGUGUUGGUAUGAGUAUUUUAGUGAAUAUAUGCUGUUGCAGUCUGGCUUGUGCUCUCUAUUAGCCUGCUGGUAUAAAUCAAACAAUUCUACAACUAUACAAGUAAUGCUUACAAAAACAAUUUCAAAGACAUUUAAGCCAUCCAUUCUACAACUACGCAAGCAAAAGCAAAAGAUAGGACCAAAUACGUAAAAUGUAACGUAAGGUUGCCCUUUUUCUGGGGCCACUAUAAAAAAACACAAAAUUUUGCCUAAAAAUAAAAUAGUGGCCGAGACUUAAGUGGGUCGUGCAAUAGAGACAAACAUGUUGAUCCCAUGUUGAUCACGUUAAGGAUUACAAGGCCACUGUCCAUACAUUUUGACAUGUGUUGGCUAUAGGAUUACAUUCACAAUUUCCUCUAAAUCUUUGGACAAGUUCUAAAGUUUGUGACAGCCUCAGAAACAAAAUUAGACCUCAUCAUAGUUUUGCUAACACAAGUUUAGUCAUUCUCAUAAGCUUUAAUUUUCAUCCUUUUUUUCCAUCUCUUUUCAUUGCUGUGCACUUUCACUUGUGGAGCUAGCUGCACCAACAACAGUGGAAAUUACCUUGUUCUUGAGAUGUCUGGUGUUCUUCGUUGGGUGACUUGUGAACCCAAAGAGAACAUCAACUCCUUGCUGAGUUUUUCAUGCAAGAGUGGUGGUGGUGGUGAAAGAACACAAAAGAGGUUUUCUAGAAUCAGUUUUGCAAGUGGUGCCUCUGCUUUUUCAUGAUCAAAAGUCAAAAUGUAACAUCCCAAUUUUCGUAAACUAGAUUAAAAAGGAUUGUUAUUUAUAAAUAAAUAGAGUUUAAAAAAAAUGAUGAGAUUUUAUAAAUAAAUAAAUAAGGAGAUAUAAUUAUUAAUUAAAAUAAUGAUUUGAGAGAAAAUAAAAAGGAUAUUUUAUUUAAUUGUUUGAUAGAGAAUAAAAUAAAGUUUGUUUUUAUAAAAUAAUAAAUAAAUAAAUAGAGUAAACAAUAGGUCGUAAAUGCCCCUAGCUAUAAAUAACAACAUGCUAGGUCAAUUUUCAGACUGACUCCUCAGCCUCCUCUGCCUCACAAUGUUGUUUCUUCUCUCUUCUCCCAAAACCCUCUCUCUUUCCCGCAGGCCAUCUAACCUGUCUCAGAAAAACAACGAUCUCGGACUCGUUCACCGUUGGAUCAUCGUGCAAUUUGAGCACCACAUUAGCAACCCAAUUACGAGCAUUCUCACCGUUGAGAAUUUCGAUAUUAUGUCUGAGCUAAGAGAAAUACCCCUCGCAUUGUAGCAUUUUCCUUUCCCGCAGAAACCCAGAGCUGUCUCAGUAAAACUAUGAUCCCGAUUUCGUUAACCGUUGGAUGUUUAUGAAAUUUGGAUACAUUGUUCGAAAUUCAAUUUCGCACGCUCUCACCGUUGGGAUUUACGAGAUAAUAUUUGUGGAGGGAGAAAAAUAAAUCGCAUGGUGACAGUAUAAGUGGAGGCUUCAAUCCCUUCUCUGUCUCUUUGACGUUUAGGAAUUCUAUCGGAGCAGUUAGAGGAAAAAAAUUGGAGGAAUCUCAGAGAACCGCUAGAGAUGCUGCUAUCGCUGGCUGGAGACACGUGAGUCUGCUUAGAGGUUGAUAUGAACCCUCAUGGCACAAGGGCUGACUUAGGAUCGUCUAGGAUUAAACCUUGAUGGAAAAUGCGGAAAUUGAUUAAGGAAAGGAUGGAAAAUAAGGUGGUUAAUUUCGUGGGUCUUAAUAAGGUGGUUUCUGGCAUAAAAUGGAUGAAUGAGAUGGUAAAACGUAGGUUAAGUGGUGGCUGGACAGAAAUAUAGAAAUGGCAAUAACGGAAGCUAUAGGGCUCCAACUGAGGUGAUUCCAAAACGAGGUGAAAUGUCUCGUUUUGAAAUUCAAUUUAGGCUCAAGAAUCACUUAAUUUGAGUGUGUAAAAUGGGAGUUAUGGUCACGAGAUAAUUUUGGGCAGAGGUGGAUUUUCUGGAAUUAUGGUUUGAAAGAACAAGGGUGGAGAUGAUAGGAAGGAAAUAAUCACUCUUUCAAGCGAGGGCAACACACAAAGGUUGUGAAAGUCCUUUGAUACAGCCAGGGUGUUCUUGAAUCACUCAAGAAUUUAGGAGAAUCACUCUCACUAAGAUAAAAGAGAUAAACUCUAAUUUUCUGAAUAAAACUCAACUUGUGUUUAUUGAUAAAAUGGUUCAGCUUAUAUAGAAGCUUUACAGCAGAUUUUAGUAAUGACCCACUAACCUAGAAUUAAAAUAACUUAUUUCCAUUAACCUAGGGAAUUAAAAAAAACUUAAUGGCUGAGUGUAAAUGAAAUUGUGGCAACCAAAAGUCACCCCCAACAGCCAACAAGUCAGCCACCAUUUGGUCUCCCAAAAGGCUGAUGCCUAGGUUGCCAAUUGGGCCCUUAUUACAACUUGAACUAAACCUAACUAAAGCCCUUUUAGUUGAUUAACCCAAAACAUAUUUUUGGUCAGCCAACUUUACAAGGAUUGGGCCAUUAUUUAGACAAACUAAACACUCUAAAAUUGAAACAAAGUGGUGUCAUUUAGUCCUCCUCCAUUUGGGCCAUGAUACAACUCACAACCUUGGACUGUUCUCCUUGAAACUUGGGCUUGUAUUCAAAUAGUAUGGACAACACUUGUUGAAGAGCUUCCUUGGCUUUCCUUGCUCUAGCCCUUGUCAUAGGUCCUCCAAGUCCUUCAAGUGGAUCCUUGCCCUUGCUCUUGGUCAUGUCCUCAUCAGAGGUAAGGGAUGAGUUAUUCACAAUUGGGAAUUAGUGAGAACAUGUGUAGGGAUCCUUAAAGAUAUCAAUUGGAAUGAGUUUUGGGGUGUUUUUGCAAUUUUCAUUUUAUCCUUAUAAUUAUUACAGUGAAUUAUAUAUGUUUGACAGACCAAUUGUUGUGGAAUUGAUAUGCUAUUGUGUUGAGCGUGAACCCUAUAAAUCGAGUACUUUUCUAAUUAAUAUGAAUUGAUGAAAUAAAGGAGAAAUUUAGAGAGAGAUAUUGAUUUUGUAUUUUCUCUUUUUCUUGUUGUUUAGGUUUCUAUAUAUAAUUUAAAAAGUUAAUAUCAUAAUUGAAAUUGACCAAAGUGUUCAUAUAAUUAUUUAGAAUUUGUGCAUUGAAAUCUUACUUUGUAAUUUGUGAUUCAAUAUGAUGUAUGCUAGCUUAUAUAUAUAGAGGUUGUUAUUUAUAUUAAUAAUUUAUGUAAAUAAUAUUGUAGAGUGUUAUAGUAUGAUUCCAAAAAUUAUUAAGUGUUGGAGUUUGAGAAUAUUAUGGUUAAAUUUGAUGAACAUGUGUAUGUUGUACCUUAUGAAUAUCAUUAGGAAUGUUAUGAGAUGGUUGAUGUGAUGUUAUGAGAUGUUAAAGUGUGGACAUGAUAUUUGAUUGUAAAUAAGUGAAUGUGUUUAACACUUGAUGUUACAUUAAUUAUAUCGUGAGCUAUGAAUUAUACAAUAACCCGACCAGUGUUUAUGCGCAGUGUUAAAGAGAAAGUGUAGGUUCCUAGUUAGGAACCAGUGUUAAAUUGUAGUGCAAUUGUGUUAAACAUGUUUGAAACAUGAGUGUGAGGUCGUGGUAUUAUAUAGUUCAUGAGCAGUGCUUAUAAAUGAAAUAUGUGAUGAAUUGUGGAAUAAUAUGUUGUCUUGAGAUUAUAAUAUUGUUAUUGAGAUUGAGUAAAAAUGUAAAGUAGAGCAGGUGUUGAAUUGUGAGAUACGUGAAAACAUGUGAUGGUGGAUUGUGACAUUAUGAGAUGUGAAAUUGUGAAUAAGUUUUGGUUGUGAAUAAAUGUGUGAUUAAUUCUUGAUGUGACAUUAUUUGUGUUGUAAGCUGUGAAUUGUACAAUAACCCGACCAGUGUUAUCUUGAGAAAAGUGUAAAUGCGCAGUGUUAAAGAGAAAGUGUAGGUUUCCUAUUUAGGAACCAGUGUUAAAGAGAAAGUGUAGGUUCCUAUUUAGGAACCAGUGUUAAAUUGUAGCGCAAUAUGUUGUACGUGUUUAAGACACGAGUGUGAGGUCGUGGAUAUUGUAUAAUUCACUAGCAGUGUCUGUGUGCUAAAAUGAUUUUAGGGGUUGGACCUGAAUCAGGAGGGAGAGGCCCUGACGGACUCUUCGGAGUGUAGGCCUUGGGGGUCAUCGGGUUUGAGUGCUCCUUUAAGCCUAUGCUGAUCCCAUAUGGUUGGAGCAUUCUCGCAAAACAUCGUGAUCCUGACUGGUCUCCCUAUGAUUUUACUUAGUGAGAGUGACCUGGCAAACCCAUUGUAUGGUGUGUCUUGUUAUGUACUCCUAAGCGCCCCAGGGUGGUUUUUCACUGACAUGGUACCACAUUGCAUGUAGGCUUGAGUCUUAGCAUAAUUGUCUCAUGUGUUUGCUAAUUGUUUAUUAUGAAAUUGAGGUGUUAUUAUGUCUUGAUCAGAGCGUGUGAUUCUUGUGUAAUGUGAUUGAUGAUUGAAAAGUGUAAUUGAUGGAUGAAAAGUGAACUUUGAAUGACAAAGUGGUGGAAUUACGUGAAUUACAUGUAAGUAAGUUUUAUUUGGUUUAUAUGAUAUGUAUAUCUAGUUGUAUUGUUUCUCUAUUAGUUAGGAAUGUGAUAACUCACUUCCAGUUUGUUGUUUGUGUUUGGAUCCUGUGAUGAUCUGGAACUUUGUGUUCGGGGGAGCAGAUGACUAGGUGAACUACUUUAAGGAAUAUUGUGCUGAAGGACGUCGGGACACAACGCUCUGAUAAGAUGUGACAUUGGGAUAUAAGUUUUUAUGUUAAUUUUAUGAUGUUAGUCUAUUUUAUUUCACCUCAUUGAUUUAACAAAAUAUUUUUGUAAAUUUGACGGCCUUAUUUUGAGCCGAAUAUAUUUUUAAUGAGUUUAUUUGGUAAUUGAAAUGAAUGUGAACCUUUUACCCAUUUGAUUUUUGUUUACCAAUAUAUUUUAUUUAUUUAUAUAUAUGUCGGGGUAGAGGGUGUCACACAAAAAGGUUCACUACCAUUUUCUCCCUAUGUAUCCAUAUUCCAAGGAAAAUUGUAGAUAGAAAACAACCAAAAAAAGGUGGAAAAAGAAAAGAACACCACAAUGAACAAAACAUGCAUCCAAAUCGAAAACGCACACUAACCUUUCGAGAAUGGUUACCUAGAGCGAGGCUGGUUGUGUGUGGGAGAGAGACUGGCCACGAGCACUCAGGUGAAAAGGGUUUGUGGAACACGAACAAUAGUCCCUAUCAUGGUGCCACCUGCGGACGGCAGAGUUGAGACAGAGCACUCAGGUGAAAAGGGUUUGCAAAAGCUCACAAAAAAGAGAAAAGAAACAAAACACGUACCUUGUGUUGAUGUCGAACUCCAACGAAGGAUGCUCCACUUCGCGGCAGUCACAAACCCCAACGGCAGUCGCAAACGGUGACGAUGGUAAGGAGGAGAUGGUGAUCACAAGUCAUAAAUGGCGGUCACAGGUCUUGUGGGUGAAAGGGAGAAGAGGAAGGUUGUGUUUGUGAUACUAAGUGCGCGAGGGGAAAAAGAGUUUUUGGUUUUAAUUUAUGUAUAUAAACAUCGGUUUUUUAAAACUGAUAUUAACUAGUUUCAUUAACAUUGAUUUUGAAAUAACCGAUGUUAAUCAGUUGACGUUAACAUCUGUUUUUUAAUAACCGAUGUUAAUGAUCUUAUGUUAACAUCGGUUUAUCCAAAAACCGAUGUUAACGUCAAUUGAUUAACAUUGAUUUUUUCAAAACCGAUGUUACUUAACUCAAAUUAUUUACGAAAAUACCACCGUGCUUUUGUUAACAUCGGUUUUUUCAAUAACCAAUGUUAACCGUGCGAUGUUAAAUGUAUAAAUUCUAGUAGUGAGAUUAGUGACGAUAGAGUUACAUUGCAUGACUUGAUUGAGAACAUGGGUAAAGAAAUUAAUAGAUAGAAAUCACCGAAAGAGACACGCAAGCGGAGGAGAUUAUGGUUACUAAAAGAUAUAAUUUAAGUCUUCAAAGAAAACUCGGGGGGUGAGACUCAUGAAUGAUUUAGCUUUUUUUCUUGAUUCAUCAUAGAUAUAUCUUACAAGCAUAUAACUUGUAUUGGGGUUGAUUUGUGUCUUUUGCAUUAACAGGGGACCGGUGAAGUUAAAAUCAUUUGUCUGGAUUUCCCCAUAUCUGACAAACAAGAAACAAUAGAAUGGAAUGGAAAUGCCUUCAAGGAGAUGAAAAACCUUGAAAUUCUGAUACCAGGGGACAGAUGUCGUACAGGAUGUCACGACAUCACGCUUCAGAACAUGCAGUAUAUGUGUGUCCGUAUGAACAGAUUAAACAAGUAAAUAACACAAGAGAAUUGUUUACCCAGUUCGGUGCAACCUCAGCUACAUCUGGGGGCUAACAAGCCAAGGAGGAAAUCCACUCUCAAUAGUGUUAGUUCAAGGUCUAACAACCCCUGUUUUACAACCUUCUCACCUAACCACUACCCGUGCGAUCUCUACCUAAGACCCAAUCUUAGAUAUGAGAACCUCUGCUCACUCCCUCUCACUCACACUCUCGUGUUUACAAUUAAUUCAAAGACACAUCAGAGAUCAACUCUGUACAAAAGGGAUCAACCCUACACAAUAGAGAUCAACUCUAGACACAAGGUCCAACACUUGAUGUUAGGAUAACACCAAGGUGGCUCACAAAACACUCAAGAGGGCGAAACUCACAAAAUAACUCUUUAAUCCCGGACUCGGUACAGAACUCGUGCAGCCUCCAUGAUUAUAUAGCCGUGUACGAUUCUGGGCUGCAAGUUCUUGAUGCUGGAGGAGAUCUAUCUUCUUCUGAAAAAUCUGCAGUUAAAGAACUAAAAGAUAACUUUUGAUCUUUUAGUUUGAAUCUUUAAUCUUUAAUCUUUAAUCCCUGAACGAACUCUUCUACUUUGAAAUUCGAACUUUAAUGAUCUUUUAAUUCGUUCCUAAAGAUAGAUCUUCUAAUCUCUUGCUAACUGCACAAUAAUCUGUUAAAGAUAUAACAGAUUUAUAUGUCCAGUAUUAUCGGGCCAGAUGUCAGGACAUCGUAUCCGACAUCUUGGAUCCUGCAGCUUCAAUGCUUCACUUGACUUUUAUCUUGCAUUGUACAGCACUUCCAGUAUUCUCGAGCAGGAUGUCAGGACAUUGUAUCCGACAUCGUGGAUCCUUCAACUUCAAUUCAUCACUUGACACUUUAUCUUGCCUUGUGCAUUAUGCAGCCCGAUCUUAUUCCUUGACAUAACGUUGGACAUCAUGUGCAGCAACUCCAGCUUUCCUUCAUUGUCUAAGUGCUUAUGUUUUAACAAAAUCUUAGCCAACCUUUUUAAACUCAGUAGUGCUAAGCACUAACAAACCUUAAAGCACUUGUUAUCAGAAACAGUAUUUUAUCCCAAGGUCCCCAUUAUCUACCAGAAAGUUUGACAAUAUUGGAAUGGCACAGACAUCCUUCCCAUUGUUUACCAUCUGAUUUUGAUACAACGAAUCUCGCCAUACGCGAGUUGGAAUAGUUCCAUCCCAUCAUUGGGGUGUAGUGGCAUAUCGAAGGCAAGUUUAAAGAAUACAUUUUCCUUGUAAAUUAAUAAAUUCUCUGCAGUAUUAUUCAUCCAGCUCUGUUUUAAUUUUUCUAUCAUUUUCUUUUUGCAGAAGUUGAUGUAUCUAACUAUCUAAGGGUUUUGGAUACCUGAUGCAUCUGGUCUCUCAAAUUUGAAGGAAUUUUCAUUUGAAUAUUGUGAGAAUUUAAUUAUAGUUCACGAGUCAAUUGGUUUUCUGAAUAAACUUUAAAUAUUGAGUGCUGGUUGUUGCCGCAAACAUAGGAAUUUUCCACCCAUCAAGUGAUGGAUUGAAUGAAUGAAACAACUGUGACUCAACAUCUUUUUAUACAAAUACAAUGCUGCAUGCAAACGAAAUUUUGGGAAGAAUUUGUAAUGGGAUUUCCAUGGUUUAAUAUUUUCCUCUUGGUUUUGAGAAUAAUUCCUUUUUGGUUUGAAUAGGUCUUCUAGGGGGUUGCUUUCUUCAAUUCUGGUGGGUUCCACUUCGAAUGAAGGGAAACGAUGCUUUAAUUUUUCUACAAUAAUCUUGAUUUAGUUUGUGUUUUUAAAUACAAACUAAAUUGAAAUGAACCAAAAUGUUUAAAAUUGUCUAAUUUGUCUUCUUUAUAGUUAUAGUAUCUGACAUUAAGCUUUCCAUAAGGUAAAUCACAUAUUUAGGUUGAACUUCUUCUUAUUUAUGUAGUAAACUCUCUAUGAAGAAAUUAAAAAUAUUUACGAUUAAACACAACAAAAAAGGAAAAUAAUUUAAGAGAAAGAUGAAAUAAUCUUGGAAUAAGUAUUUUUUAUAUCUAUCAAUAGCUUUCUUUAAAGAAACAUGUAUAUAAUUUUAACAAAAGAUAAUAUGCAUAUAUAUAUAUAUAUAUAUAUAUAUAUAUAUAUAUAUAUAUAUAUAUAUAUAUAUAUAUAUAUAUAUAUAUAUAUAUAUAUAUAUUAAGACAUAAUCCAACUUUCUAAUUUGUUUUAGUUAAUUCAUUUUAGGGGUAUAGCCGUAUUUUACUAUUUUUUUGAAAAAAUAAAAAUAAGUGUUUUUCUCUGCUAGUCAUCUCUUCUAUCCCCAUAUUUCCAAAUCCAUUAAUCUUCUUAUUCAGCAACUACCAAUUUUAGUUGCAACAUUUUCACGAACACGUUUUCGUCUUUUCUUUUACACCACCAUGGACAAUGUCACCAACAGCCACUACCAUUGAUACCGCGAGAUUAAAAUGAAUGAUUUGGAGUUUAUAUUGGAAUGGAACAAAUAUUAAUAUACAUGAUUAAACCAAUUUUGUCCACAACAUUUCUUUGUCGUUGAACCAGUUCCAAGAUCGAGAACCAUGCCCUAUAAGAUCAUGGAAAAUGCAUAAUCCUGUGACGGAUUGACCUUCUUUGGACAACUAUUAUAGUUGAUUAAAAAAACUCAUUUUUCUUAUCGAUCAAUUAAUUAUUUGAGAAAGCCAUGUGGUAGAAAAUGCAAAGAUAUCAAAAGUUAAGCCCUUCAAUGUGUCCCAUGUAUGCCCUUCCUUCAUCUUCUCUCUGUCUUCUAUGAAUCUUUCUAAGUAAUUUCACCUAUUCUAGAAGGUCUUGAGCUAUGUACAAAAAAUAGGUAAAUGUUAUUUUGGUCCUUCAAUGUGUAUAUUGGUGAUAGUUUAAUCCUUGAAAACAAAAAUUAUGAUUUAAUCCAUAAAUGUGUAGAAAGUACACCAAUUUAAACUAUGUUUUGUAAAACUAGCAUAUACAAUAGAUGAAAGCUCACAAAGUAACGGGAAGAUUAUAAUUAAGCUACAAGUUUGGAGUUGAAAAACUAGAAGCGAGUUGAAAGAGUUUGGUAAGAUUAACUAAAAAACUAGUUGAUAAAUGUCAAAUUACAUAAAAUAACAUAUUUAAUAUUUUUAUCAUUUGAAUUUAUUUCUAAUAAUUUAUCAUCUAAAAAGUCAGAUAAUAAUUUUUGAAAAUUUUGUAUUAUAAGAAAAUUGUAAAGAUUGAGAAAUUUUACUUAUAUCAUUUAACAUCAAAAUAUUCAUAUUAUUUUUGGAAAAAGUAGAAUUAAAUUAAAUAAAGCUUAUUAGAUUUAUAGCAUUGUUUAAAAUCAUUUUUUAAUAUUUAAAACUUUAUUAAUACUAUUAUUUUGAAACAAAAUAAAAAGUUGUAACCUUGAGUAGUGGUGUAGAGAUGACAAUUAAUGAGUUGACUAUUGAAUAAGUACAAGAGUGGAUGUAGAAAAUUAUCAAAGGUGGUUGAUUUUCUUUUUGUACUUUAAUUAUUUAAAUUUCUAACUUCUGAAAAAUAAAUAUUAACAUUUAAUAAAUAAUAAAUUUUGUAAAAUUAUUUAUUAAUUUACAUGAAAAUUAAAAUUGAUUUUAAUUCAAUUGAUACAAGAAGAAAAUACAUGCUUUUAAAAAAAAUUAUAUUACAAUGAAGAUUAUAUAUGGGGAAGAGUCAACUUACAACAAUAAUUAAUCUAUUACAUCUACUUUUCAUUUUUAUCAUUUUUUUUACAAAAUUUAACCAACAAGAUUAAUGAUCUAUUAUAAUAUUAGAUUUCAAAAAAAUAAAUCAUAAAAAUAGAAAAUAUAACUCUAAAAGAAUUAUUGAAAAUGUAAGUUGAUUAUUAUUAUAUAUUAUUAUUAAGUUUCCCUUCUUCAUAUCUAACAAGAAGCAAUUGCAAUUUUGCAUAAGAGGAUGAUGAGAAUCAUGUUUAUUAGUAUUACUGCUAAGGUGUCAUUAAAUCAAGGACAAGUGUUUCAGGAUAUACAAAGUGUGGGUAGUGACAUUGGUGCUAGGUGAUGAAAUACAUGACCCCAUUUUAUUUUUGCACUUUCAAGUUUCAACACGGAUAAUAAUUAAAUAAAAGCCACUAACUAUGGUUUACGCAUUUUUUCUUGGGAGCUUCUCCGAAUAAGGCUUUUCAUAAUUGCCUCUAACUCUCGAAGAAUCUAAUUCAGUCCUUCUUCGGAUGAAAUUGGGUUCGUGUUGCUUCCAGUAAUGUGAAAUUGGGUUCAGUAUUCCAUCAAUAUCUAUAUACUAAAAUUGAAGUAUGUGGAAAAUACUAAAAUACCCAUGGCUGAGAGGUUGACAGCUGUCCAAAAUUUUGGUUUUUUGGUCAAAAUACCCAUAGCUGAGAGCUUGACACCUGUUCAAGUUUUCUGGUUUUUGGUCAUUUAUUUUUUCUGCCACCUUGCUUCCAUGUGUUAUUUUAUGGUUCUAUGAUUAUGGUUUUAUGGCACGUAGCUUGGUGUGUUGUUGAGUGAUUAGAUUGCCGUUUGUAGUUUUGGUGGUUGGUGGUGUACGUGGCUUCUUUGUAGCGUUUUUUACUUCUUUCACUAGCAAGUUGCAAGCUACUGAUUGCAUUUGUUUCACUUUUUUCAUUUGUUUUUAGUUGGCUUCCGUCUUAAAUAUAGUUGUUCUGUUGUUUAGGAUUUUGGCAUGAGGCUGUGGUUUCUAGUUCGUGAUUUCCGUUCUUCUAUGGUUGAAGGUUCGAGUGCAUGUUUAUGUUCUUUUAGCACGUGUUCUGUUCUAUUCUUUAUUGUUCACAAAUUCUUGUUUUUCUUUUCGUUGUCCUGCAUUUGUCAGUUGUUCUUUGGAUUGCAUUUACAUGGUUUUGGAUUGAUCGUAUUAUUCCUUUAGAGCUAUAAUUGUUUGGUUCUGUUUUUUUGCUUUUUUGCUGAGUUGGCAUUUUUGUUUUUUGUCUCUUAUCACUGGCUUCAAUGGUUGGAUUGUAUUUACAUGGUUCUUGGUUAAUCAUAUUAUUGUUCGUCUGUUGUGCAUGUGUGUUUUUUUAUUAACCAUAUUAUUGUUUGUGUGUUGUGCAUGUGUGAUUUUGUCAGGUUUUUGUUGUUUGGUGAUUUUGGUUUCUGCAUGUUUAUGUUGCUCUGGCACGUGUUCUGUUCUGUUUUUUAUUAUUUACAAAUUCUUAGUUUUCUUUUUGUUGGCUUCCAUUUGUCUGUUAUUGUUCGUUGGAUUGAUUGAUAGUGUAAUACUUUUUGUAGUAUGUUGGCAUUGAUGGAAAUCUUAUUGCAUGUGUGGUUUAAGGAUGGGUUGGUAUUUUGUUUUCCAAAAGCUGAACUUUGUUGUGUUUGUUUUAGGCCUUUCUAUUUGUUUGUUGAUGGUUGCAAUAUUAUUUGUUCAGAGAUAUAAUUUUUGUUUUUGCUUCUCUGCUAUUUGCUGACUUGGCUUUUCUUUUUUGGUUUAGGUUGUUGCAUGUAUUGGCUUAGUAGUUCAACGAAUAGUAUCAUAGUUUUUAUGGUAUUUUGUCAUUCAUUGAAAUGUUAUUGCAUGUGUCAUUUGAGUCUGUGUUGCUAUUCUAUUUUUUGUUAGCAUUAUUUUCUAUUCUAAAUUGACAAUCAUUCUUUACAUAGCAUUUGCAUGGUUUUGGAUUUAUUACAUUUUUCAUUUAGAAUUGGCAGGCCUAUGUAAUUUUAUGGCGAGGAUUCCUGACAAGAUUAGGUCUAUUGAUGGAUCAAAAGAAGCGCUUAAGCUUGCUGUUAGGAUCAUCGAUCUUUGGUUUGUUGGGACUCCUAACAAGUCUGAGCAAUCGGAAAUGGUUUUUGUUGAUUCUGAGGUAUAUUUUGUGCUCUCUAUUUGAUUGUUGGAUUUUUGUUCAUGUCAUUUAUUGAUUAUAUAGUUUGCAUAUUUCAGGGUGAUCAAAUUCAUGCUAUUUGUAAAUCGGACCACCUCAAGUCUUGGAAAGCUGAUUUGAAAGAGAAUUGCACUUAUGUUAUGCAUAAUUUCAAAGUUGUUAAGAAUGAUGGUCAAUUUAGAGUGUGCGAACAUGAGUACAAGUUAUUUUUUAUUGGAGUGACGGUUGUUAGAGAAGCUAAUUUGCAUGAACUGCCUUUUAAGGAAUUUAGAUUUGUUGAAUUUGCAAAUGUUGUUGCUGGCAAUUUUGUGUCUGGCCUGUUGGUUGGUGAGUACAAUCGCAAUUUGUGCUUUCAUUUUGAUCAUAACUUCUUUGGGUUUUUUUCGAUGACCUAUUUUCAUUUCUGGUGGUUUAAGAUAUUAUGGGGUUGUUGAUCAGGUGGUCUUUCGGCAUGUUUCAUCGAAAAAUACCAGGGUUGUUUUUAGAAUGAAGGAUUUGAGGUCACGGUUAAUUACAGUUUUUGCUAUCUCCUGUGUAUAUUUGGUUAUUUAGAGUUUAUAUUGUCGAGAAUUUUAUUUUUCAUUUUGCAUGGUGCUUAUGUCUAUCUUAUCCUUAUGAGGUGAUGGAUGUAAUGUUGUUUCUUUGCUGUAGUGGUGAAAUUUUGUCUUGCACACUUUGGGAGAAUUACUGUACUCAGUUCCUAUCCUAUUUGAAUGAACGUGGGGAUGAUGGGCCGAUGGUUAUUAUAUUGACACAUGCCAGAAUAAAAGAUGCACAGGGUAAGUAUGAUAUUUUAUUUGCUGAUUUGGAUACUCAAUAGCUGAGUUUUGUUGUUGUUGUUGUUGGCAUUUACAGGAAGUUAUCCAGCUUCAGUGAGCAAUUCCUUCAAGGCGUCAAAACUAUUGAUUAAUGAUCCUAUAUUGGAAAUUCAGGAAUUUAAAGAGAGGUAUUUUGCUUAUCAUCUUUGCUCUGUGGUUGUUAAAUUUGUGUGACAAUCGUCUUGAUUGUUUUCUGUUGCUUUAUUCUAUUUAUUCGAUUGGCUUAGGCUUUUAGAUUUAGGUGUUGAGGUGAGUCGAGUUUUGCUACCUGGCGAUCAAGCAACCUCACAAGUUUCAGGGGGAAGUCAGCUAUCAUCAAAGGAUUCGUUUCUUUCAAAGGCUGAAGCCAAAACUAUUUUAGAAAUCGAUGCCAUUUCUGAGGUGGACCUGUUAUCUGUGUUUAUUUUAUAUUCAUUGCAGUUGGAAGUCGAAUUUGGCUAGAUUUGUUCACAUCCAUAUAUUAUAGCUAAUGUGUCUAACAACGGCAUUUUAUUGUUGGCAAUUUGAUUGUUAUGGUUUUUUAAAAGGACGUUGUUUGUGUUACGGUGGGGACUAUUAGCAAAAUAGUCAUGGAUAACCAUUCAUGGUCUUAUCCAGCCUGUGCUCAAUGUCAUAGGAAAACUGACAUCCAAACAGGACCAUUCACAUGUGGAUGUGGCAAGGAUAAUGAUCAGCCUGUUCUGAGGUAAUUUGAGUUUUAGUCCAUUAACAUGUUUUAUUCAGUAUUUUGUUUUUGACUGGCAACUAAAUUGGUAGGUAUAAAGUUGAAGUCAUGGUUACCCAAAACAAUGAGAGCAGCACAUUUUUGCUCUGGGACCAUGAAUGUGCUGAAUUGAUUGGUGAAACAGCUGAUGAUGUGAAUAGGGUCAAGAUUGAAGUAUGUUCAUGCUUUAUCAUAUGCUGCUUCUCAUUUUAUGUAUUAUAUUUUGUUCUUCGAGUUGUAACUGGCAGCUGGUGAAUUUCUGCUGUUUCUGGCAGGAUGGUGAUCUUGAUUUGGAUGCUUCCCCUCAAGCACUUGACAAAUUGUUGGGUCAUAUGCUUGCUUUUAAGGUCAGGAUUCAAUCAAAAUUCAAAAAUGCAGUUGUACUUAGAUACUCAAAAGACCUAGAUUUGAUCAAUGUUGUUCUCGAGAUGCUGCCUGAUAGUGAGGUGUUCUUUUCUGAUAUCUAUUUUAGACAUUGUUGUCAUGAUGAUAUGAUUCAUGAGUUUGACUAUCAUCAACUUAUAUAUGGUGCAGGCAUGUUCCAAAAUAGAUCCUUCCAAUGCUGAUUGCAAUGAUGCUACGCAUGCUGAAUGUGUGAGUUAAUGUUGCUGUCAUGAACAUUGAUAUCUUAUAUUUUUUUAAUUUACCAGUUUAUUCUUUAUGCAGCAAUCUCUGUCUGUCACAGCUGACCAUGAUCUGGUUGCGGGAUUGCCUUUAACACCCAAAAAGCGGAUUCCAUCUAAUGAAGCCGAUGAUGAGUUAGGGAGCUCUCAAAUUUCGCCAGCCCAACUAUCGUCUAACAAAUUAACAAGACAUUCUCAUAAAAGCUAAUUUAGCUGAUUCCAGAUUCUUAUUGUUGUGUUUUCACACUGCUAUUAAAAUAUUGGCAUAUUGAACAAACAAUUAUGUAGUUUUUGUUAUCACUGCAUUUGCACAUUUGAAAAUCGGUUUUUUUGGAUUCAUGCUUUUAGACGUUCUAAAUUGAGAUCUGUCUGUAUUGUGUUCCUGCUGUAGUAUUGCAAGUUUUCUUAUAUUAAAUAUGGCAUUGAAAACAAUUGAUUUUCCCAGUAUUCUUUGUUUAGUUGUCCUCGAUACAAUUGAAUUGUUGUUUAUCAUACCUUUGAUGGUCUAUAUGGUUCUAACAAAUUAAUGGCGGAGUUAGCCUAAAUAAAAAAAAACAGUGAAGGAGAUAAAUUGGUGUUCAAAUAACAUCAAAUAUUAAAAAACAACCAAGGAGGAAAAUUUAUAGCUACGUUGGCGAUCAUGUUGCUACUCGAUAUUCUCACGUUUUUAAUCUGUUUCUUGAUUAACUGCUUAAUGAAUUCCAUUCCCAUCUCAAUUCCGUGAAAAUAACAGGAAAAAAAUCAGAUUAAGAAAAAAAUAACAUGCAGAGGAUUGUGCUAAAUUUUUAGUUUUAGUUUUCCUUCUCAAUCGAGCUGCUCUUUAAAUUAAUCAAAGUUUCUAUCCUGACAUCAUAUUUCCAUAUUUGGAAUGUGUUUGCCAUGAAUGUUAUCAUUCCAUUUUUGUAGUUAUCACUGCUUUGCUAAAAUCAUGUGUUCGAUAUUUUAGUUGCAAUUUUUAACUUCAUUGAUGGCUUACGCAACUUUAAUCUUGAUUUUAACUACAGCAAAGUAGAACUAUAUAAAACAGGUCAAAUCUAUGGGGAAGAGAAAUCAAAGAAAAAUUUGUGAUGCGCUGGACAGUGUUACAUAAUGCCAAAUAAAAGAUGUAAAAUAGAAAUUUCAUAUUUCAAAUUGAACACAUGAGCUAAUAGAUUUGAGCGUACAAAUUAAACAAAUUUGUGUUAGUGAAUGGAAAAUUCAUCAACAUAUAUACAAUGUCUUCCAUUGCAAGCUUAGUAGCAGUUACAGAAGUCAAUGUUUCCGCCAAUAACUAUGAUCAUUUCUACCUUACCUAUUUUCCAUCAUGGCCUUGGUUUGUGUGUUUAGAUUGCCACCAGAGUCCUAAAUAGACAAUAUCUUUCAUUCCAAGCUUAGAAACAGUCCCAAAACCCAAUUUUUGCCGAAACCAAGUGUCAUGAUUUCUAUAUUACCAAUUUUGCUAGCUGUUGAUGUUGCAUCAUAGUUUUGCUAUGUCAUCUACCUUUGGUCUCAUCUCUUUACCUUACAAUUCUGGCAAUUCUAUCAUUACCCUUUUCAAUAUAUAGAAUUGGCAACAUGCAAACAUAUCUAAUCCAGGAAAUUCCACCACUAAUAGUCAGCCUAUAAUCCAUAACGAAUGAAGUCUCCCAUCUCCAAUUUAUUCCAUCUUCUAAUUUUAUCGUAGUUUCUGCAGAUUUGAAAUAAGCGUUUGGUUCUUCGUUUCAACAUAAAUCUAUUGUUUAGUUUAUAAUUCACCCAAUUCUGCCUUUAGUCAUUUUCAACAUGCAGAACUAUCAACAUGCAAAGAGAUCUGAUUCUGCAAAAGCCAGGAUCAACAGAAAACGUAUUAUGCAAUAGAAGCGACAUGGUCAUGCUCAGUCAUCUUCACAACCAACACUUAACUGCACUUCAGAAUAUAAUAGUGAGACAUCUCAUAUAGCAUGUUCUGCAAGAAAUCAAUUUACUUAGCUGCCUUAAUCACAUUUUCUUUUGUUUUUUCUCUAUUUUUUUAGUGAUUGCGUCUGAUUCAUCAAAAAGUGAAGAUUCUGAAUCCACACAAGGUACUGAAAAAAAAUGUUUCAUCCUCUUUUUUGCUAUGGUUUACACAUUGCUAUUAUAUGUAUUUCUAAUUUAUGUCACCACUAAUAGUCAGACUAUAAUCAAGAAACAAUGAAAUGCUUCAUUCUGGAUUUUUUUCAUCUUCUAAUUUUAUUGUAGUUUCUGCACAUUUAAAACAAGUAUUUGGAUCUUCGUUUGCAUGUGAAUCUAUUGUUUAGUUCACAAUUAACUCAAUUCUGCCUUUAGUUAUUUUCAACAUGCAGAACUAUCAACAUGCAAAGAGAUGUGAUUCUGCAAAAGCGAAGACCAACAGAAAACGUGUUAUGCAGCAGAAGUGACAUGGUCAUGCUCAGUCAUCUUCACAACCAACAGUUAAUUGCACUUUAGAAUAUAAUAGUGAGACAUCUGAUAUACCAUGUUCUGGAAGAAAUGAAUUUACUUAGCUGCCUUAAUCACAUUUUCUUUUGUUUCCUCUUUAUUUUGUAGUGAUUGUUUCUGAUUCAUCAGAAAGUGAAAAUUCUGAAUCCACACAAGGUACUGAAAAAAAAUGUUUCCUGCACUUUUUUGCUAUGUUUCAAAUAUUGCUAUUAUAUAUAUAUUUCUAAUUUAUGCAGGUUCAGGCUCUAAUUUUAUGACUCCCUUCGAGGAUUGUCAAUCUCCAACUAAUCAGCCUGUAAUCAACACUGAAGGUAAUGACUAUAAUUCUGAUUUCCAGUUUCAUAUGCUACUGUACAUGUUCUUAAAUUAAUAUUCAAAAUUCUGAUCAUGAUAUUGUAGUAUGAUAUUGAACAAUUUCAGGAUAUUCUGAUCUUGGUGAUCAACUCAUCCAAUGUAGAUAUUGUAAUGCACAAAUGUGGUAUGAUGAAAGAAUAGCAAAAAAUAAGAAUUGUCAGAAUCCAAGGUUCAGUUUAUGUUGGGGAGAUGGCAAAGUUGAAUUGCCAUUAUUACAAAAUCCACCCCAAUAUCUGCAACAACUUCUAUUUCAUGAUGAUACAAUUGAUAGUAAAAAUUAUCAACAUAAUUUGCGAGCAUACAACAUAAUGUUUGCCUUUACUUCUGCUGGAAUUAAGCUAGAUAAAACAAUUAAUAAUUCAAGAGGACCUCCUACGAUCAGAAUACAGGGGCAACCAUGCCAUAGAAUAGGCAGUCUAUUACCAAUGCCUGGGAACAAACCCAAAUUUGCACAGCUAUAUAUCUUUGACACAGAAAAUGAAGUGCAAAAUAGAAUUAAUGUCAUGAGGUAGAAGUUUUUUUAUUUCUGUCAGUGAGAAAAUUAUUCAUUCACUUACAAUAGUUUGUGUAGUUAUGAAUAUUUUUAAAUAUUGUUUUUUCAGUCAAUAUUUCGGAAUUCAGAAUCAUAUUGUUUCGGCUUUAAGUCAAAUGCUCGAUCAACACAAUUCUCAUGCUAAAAGUUUUAGAAUGGCCAGAAAUAGAUUGGCAGCUGAUCAAGCCAAUAAUAUCAAAUUGCAACUCAUAGCUGCUCGGGGAAAAGAUGGUCGUGUAUAUAAUAUGCCUAAUGUUCCGGAAAUUGCUGCACUUAUUGUUGGCGAUUUUCAUCCAGGCUCAAAAAGAGACAUUAUUGUUGAAACUCAAAAUGGAGAAUUACAAAGAAUCCAUGAACUUCAUCCUAGCUAUCUACCGCUACAGUAUCCUCUACUCUUUCCUUAUGGAGAAGACGGAUAUAGAGCUGACAUACUUCAUCGUUCUACUUCAUCCAGCAAAAAAAGAAAGCGAAACCGUCUGACAAUGAGAGAGUGGUUUGCUUAUAGACUUCAGUCUAGGUCAAAUGAAGCACAGACUUUAUUGCAUUCUUGAAAAUUAUUUCAACAAUUCAUUGUUGAAGGUUAUACCAUGGUGGAAUAUGAAAGACUUAGCUAUAUCAUAAACAACCAAAAGAAGCUUAGAGUUGAUAAGUAUUUUAGCUUACAAACUUCAUUGGAUACUGGAACAGCUAAAGGCUUAACCAAGGGAAAAAGAGUCAUCUUACCCUCAACGUUUGUUGGGAGCCCACGUUAUAUGGAUCAACUUUACUUUGAUGGUAUGGCAAUAUGCAGUCAUGUUGGUUUUCCAAAUAUUUUUAUUACUCUAACCUGUAAUCCAAAUGGGCCUGAAAUUCGUAGAUUACUUUCACCUUUGAAUCUCAAACCGACUGACAGGCCAGAUAUUGUAUCACAAAUUUUCAGAUUAAAAUAUGAACACAUGCUGUCAGACUUAACAAAGGGUCAAUUACUGGGAAAAGUGGUUGCAUGUAAGUUGACCAUCAUUUUUAUACUUAAAUACAAAUAUAACUUGGUCGUUUGGCCAUUUUUGUUUGUUGUAUAACGCAGAUAUUAAUGGCUAAAAUAUUACAAUUUAACCAACGCUUUUACAGAUAUGAAAUACAGAAUUAUACUUACCAUCAUAACAUUAUCUUUUGUGAAUCACAGAUAUGCAUUUUAUAGAGUUUAGUUGAUCAUCAGUUUUUAUACUUAAAUUAAAUACAAAUAUUAGUUGGUCAUUUGGAGAUUUUUCUUUGCUCUAUAACGUACAUAUUAAUAGCUAAAAUAUUACAAUUUAACCAACACUUUUACAGAUAUGAAAUACAGAAUUAUACUUACCAUCGUAACUUUAUCUUUUGUGGAUCACAAAUAUGCAUACUAUAGAGUUUCAAAAGCGAGGACUCCCUCACGUGCAUUUAUUACUAUUUCUGCAUCCAGACAAUAAAUAUCCAUCUUCAACUGACAUUGAUUAGAUAAUAUCAGUUGAAAUACCUUCCCAUCAAGAUGACCCAGAACUCUACAGAUUGGUGGAGAACCAUAUGAUACAUGGCCCAUGCGGAAUUUUACAACCCAACUCUCCAUGUAUGAAAGAAGGCAAAUGCAGUCAUUUUUAUCCUAAACAAUUUCAGCCUCAUACUCUUUUGGAUUCAAACGGUUAUCCAGUCUAUCGUUGAAGAAACAAUGGUCAUUCAAUUUCAAAGAAUGGUGUUAUCAUUGAUAACAGAUAUGUAGUACCUUACAAUCCAAAAUUACUGAAAAAAUAUCGGGCUCAUAUAAAUAUUGAAUGGUGUAAUCAAAGUACUUCAAUCAAAUAUUUAUUUAAAUACAUAAACAAAGGCUAUGACAGGGUGACUGCUGUUAUGCUUUCUGAUAGCGAUAACGCAGCUCAAAAUGUAAAUAUUCAAAAUGAUGAACUUAAAGAAUAUCUAGAUUGCAAGUAAUUUCAUCUUAACCUGCAUAAUUUAUUAUCUCACUAUUAUUUUUACUAACUAACCUAUAUCACAGAUACAUUUCUCCCUGUGAAGCUGCUUGGAGAAUAUUUGCUUUUCCAAUCCAUGGUAGAAAGCCUGUUGUUGAGAGAUUGUAUUUUCAUCUUCCAGAUCAACACAACAUUAUUUAUGAAGAUCAUAAUGAUAUAGAUGAUGUACUAUCGAAACCAACUAUUUCAGAUUCAAAAUUCCUAGCUUGGAUGAACACUAAUAAAGAUUUUGAUGAGGCCAGGAAUCUAACUUAUUCGCAAUUUGUGUCAAAGUUUGUAUAUAAUAAAAGAAACAGAUCAUGGCAACCCAGAAAAAAAGGAUAUAUCAUUGGAAAACUCAUAUGGGUACCACCAACCACAGGAGAAUUGUUUUAUUUAAGAAUGAUGCUUGGCAGCUGCAAAGGACCUACUUCAUUUGAGGAUAUCAGGACUGUUGCGAAUAUCCAAUAUCCAACAUAUAGAGAAGCAUGUUUUGCAAUGGGCUUUCUACAAGAUGACAGAGAAUAUGUUGAGGCAAUCAAAGAGGCCAAGGACUGGGGCACAACUAAUUAUCUAAGGAAAUUGUUUUGUAUUAAUUCUGUUAACAGGUGCCAUGAGCAAACCUGAAGAAGUUUGGAAUCAAUGUUGGCAUUGGCUAGCUGAUGACAUUGCAUAUCAAUAUACUAAAUCAACAAUCAACUUAGGUAGGCUGUAAUAGUUUUUAUGUUCCACAACAAUGGUCACAAUCAUUCACUACAGAUCAAUGAUGAUACUCUUAGAAAUUUGACAUUGAUUGAAAUUGAAAAACUAUUGCACAUAAACCAAAGAUCACUAAAAGACUAUCCUACAAUGCCAUAUCCUCAGGAUAUUAACCUCACAUCCUACCUACAAAACAACUUGGUAUUAUCAGAACUCGACUACAACCAUGAUGAAACGAGAUCAGAAUUUGAACAUCUUUUUGCAUCCAUGACAGGCAAUAUACCUAUUCAUAUAUUAUAAAUUCUAUUAAUGACAGUUAACAUCUUAUAAAAAAUGGUCAUUGGGAAUUAUAAAUUAUAUUGAUGCUUUUAAUAUUCUAUUAAUAACAGGCAAUCUACCCUCACUUAAUUGUUUCCAUCAAUGACUAAAUUAAUCUUCAUUUCAAUAUAACAUCAGCUUACCUAUCAAUGCAGAUGAACAAAAAACAAUUUAUCAUAGAAUUAUCCAAGUUGUCAACAACAAUGAAGGUGGAAUGUUUUUUCUAUACGGAUUUGUAGGCACAGGAAAAACAUUCAUAUGGAGAACAUUAGCAAAUUCAUUGAGAGCAGAAAAUCAAAUUGUGAUUAUUGUUGCUUCUAGCGGAAUAGCCUCUCUAUUAUUACCAGGAGGCAGAACUGCACAUUCCAGAUUUAAAAUUCCUAUACCAAUUUUUGAAGACUCAACAUGUAAUAUUCAUCAAGGCACCGAAUUAGCAGAAUUAUUGAACCAGACAAGCCUAAUAAUUUGGGAUGAAGCACCAAUGGCCCAUAAAUUCUGUUUUGAAGCGCUUGAUCAAAGUUUAAGAGAUAUUAUCACAGAUAAAUCAAAGUCAAGUCAAAUAUUUGGAGGCAAAGUUAUAGUAUUUGGUGGAGAUUUUCGCCAAAUACUACCAGUCAUCCCAAGAGGAACGCGCUCAGACAUUGUAAAUGCAGCAAUCAAUUCAUCCUAUCUAUGGGAUUCGUGUGAAAUAUUGACCUUGACCAAAAACAUGCACUUACACAACAAUCUAGAAUCAGUUGAUGAACAAGAAACUGCCACAUUUGCUAAAUGGAUUCUAGACGUUGGAGAUGGAAUUAUAGAUGAUGAAAAUGAUGGUUAUGCUACAAUUCAAAUUCCUGCUCAUCUACUCAUUACUCAAUAUGAUGAUCCAAUUAGUGCUAUAGUCAAAUCAACAUUCCCAGACUUAGAUCAGCACCACAAUAAUCCUGAAUUCUUUAAAUCAAAGGCAAUACUAGCUUCAACAAAUGAAACGGUAGAACAAAUCAAUGAUUAUGUGCUAUCCUUCAUUCCAGGUAAUUAUAUCAUUACUUAUUUAAUUGUCACUUGCUCAGACAAAAAUAUAACCACUGAAAUUGUAAUUUUGCAAAUCAUAGGUGACCACAUGGAAUAUCUAAGCUCUGAUUCCCUUGAUAAAUCAGAAACCAGUGAGAAUUCGUAUUUCCAAUCAAUUACUACUGAAUUCCUUAAUUCAUUGAAAACAUCCGGUUUGCCAACUCAUUCUAUCAAACUUAAAAUUGGAAGUCCUAUAAUGCUGUUAAGAAACCUCGACCAAAAUCAAGGUCUAUGUAACGGUACUAGAUUAGUGGUGACAAAGAUGGCAGAACAUGUAAUUGCAGCUGAAAUUAUCUCAGGUAAAAACAUUGGCCUCGCUAUUUAUAUUCCAAGAAUGUCAAUGUCUCCUUCACAAUCACCCUGGCCGUUUAAACUAUUAAGAAGACAAUUUCCGAUUAUGCUAUCUUAUGCAAUGACAAUAAACAAGUCACAGGGACAAUCAUUAUUCAUGGUUGGACUUUAUUUGCCGAAACCUGUAUUCACUCAUGCCAAUUAUAUGUUGCAUUGUCAAGGGUCAACUCAGCAAAAGGAUUAAAAAUUCUGAUUCAUGAUGAUGAGCAGAAAAGCAUGAAUUCCACCACCAAUGUAGUAUACAAAGAAGUGUUCAGAAACAUUAAAAGUUAAAUUUCAAUUGUUUAAUAUCAGAUUCAAUUCUAUUGUCAUGCUUUCUCAAACAGUUCUAUUCUUUAAUAAUCAAUUGUUCAAUAUUCUAUUAUCACUGCAUUAUAUAAUUUGAGUUAUUACAACCUUCAAUACAAUUCAAUUGAUAUUAAAUAUUGAGAAUUGACAAUCAAUUUCAAUUCUACUCUUUUGUGAUCACUUCUUGCAAACAAUUCUAUUGAUUUUAAAUACUAAGAAUCCACCAAGAAUAACAACAACCAAUCUAUAAUUUUUUAAAUAACAAUGACAAUUCCAUUCAUAUCACCACUUUCACAUAGACACAUACAUAUAUAUAUAUAUAUAUAUAUAUAUAUAUAUAUAUAUACAUACAUAUAUAUAUAUAUAUAUAUAUAUACACAAACACACACGUGGUUUUAUUAAUACCAAAAUAUGCUAGAUCAGUUAAACAUCUUAUCUUUUAAAUCACAUUAUAAAUAAAAAACUAAGGAUAAAUAAGGCUGACUAAGUAGCGGUAGUAGUAGUUAGUGGACUACAAUCCUUUGGAACUUGAUCUGUCUGGCAAAAUUAGAGUCCUCACAGAAAAUCCUUUUCAUUUUGUUUUAAUUUAUUUCAGUUUGAAUUUUAGUUUUUUUACUCUAUCUUGCCUAUUCUUCUCUAUUUUCUAACGUGCCUCCAUUUUACUGAUUUUUUAGAAACUGCACACACAACAGUUUCACAGGGGCAUUAAUUGAGAAGAUAUGGGUGAUGGCAGAGUUGAUACUGCAAUUACUUCAAGCACGAGAACGUGUAAAAUACUUUAAUGAUUAGAUGAACUUUACAUUAUUAAUCUAUUAAUUAAUCUAUUAAGCCGAAAACCUCAUGGAAAAAAUUAACGAAUUUAAGGCCCAACUAUUAUAUGCACACCACAAACAGCACUAAAGUCCAAUCACUUCUAAAACCAUUCAGAAAAAAACCGUUCGGUUACUUCCACAACUAUUCACGUUCAGGCUCUUCAUAUCAUCACUCGCUUUCACAUUCAAGAAGCAACUAUUCACUUACAUCAUUUCCAACAUAAACCUACCACCACUUAUGUCAUCGAAAAGAUAAAUCAAUUAAUCAAGUGCACUCAACUAUUAACCCAUAUUACCCGUUCCUCUGCAAACAUCAUCUUAACAUCACAUCACCAUACUUUAACUUCAGAAAAACCCAAGAUGAGUACCUCAUCCUCCACCGCUUCAACCAGAGUAAGGAUCCGCUCUUACAAAGUUUAUAUCUUCUAAUGCAUUAUUUUUUCGGUUUAAACUUUUGAUAUUAGCAAAUCUUUUGUUCAUGCAGAUCAGAUAUGCAAUUGUGAGACCACCUGCAAUCAAGCAAUUUAGAGUAGCUUUCCACAAUGACCAGGUUAUAGUUUAAAAUACAAAAAGCUUUUUUUCCUUCCCUUGCAUCUGUUGGUUAUUGCUUACAUUCCAUUUGCAUGGUUUUUGAUUGAUCAUGUCAUUUCUCUUCGUUAUAUUUUUUCCCUGUUUCCUGCCUUGCGUGUUCUGUUUUUGCCUAUUUCUGCUGACUUCCAUGCUUCCAUUGCAUUUGCAUGCUUUUCAAUUCACCACAUUUCUACUGUAAAUAUAUAGCAUUUUGCUUUGACUGUGGAUUUCGCAUGGAAGUUUAUAUCAUUUUCAUUUAGUUCCUUUAACUUUUUUCAUUUUCUCUUUUGACAUAUUAUUUCUUUUCAUGCAUUUUCUUGCUUUUUAUAUUCAGACAUUCAUAGAGAUACCCCCAUUUUACCAUGAACAAUGGGCACCCAAUUACCCAGACAAAGUUCGGUUCAAAUACAAUGGAGCAACCUACCCAAUACGGGUCCAACAACACCGAGGCAGAUAUUUUUUUGCAGACGGACUCUCAGACGUCAGGGCAGAUUUAAAAAUCUAUGAGUCUAUUAUCAUCAACUUCUUUGCCUGCAAUGAUAACACCAUCUUUGAUCUACAUUUUACACCUCCCCUGAAUCAACAGACAUGUGGUAGACCAAUACUUCAUUCCCGUGUACAUGCUUAGAGAACUGAAAUUACCUAAUGUAUACUGGGUGCUCCCCAACCACUGGUAAUAUACAAUCACAUUAACUUGCAUUAUUAUGAGAAUUUCAAUAACAUUAUUAAUCUCUAUAAAUGAUCUGCAAGAAAUCCCAUCACAUGCAAGGAAAUAUCUGAAACAAUGUGAGAAUCACUUGACAAUUAUAAGGAAGAAUGCACCUCCUCUGCAAUGGGACGUCGUUACACUUGACCGCGGCAUUAAAGAUAAAAGUAUCGUCCGGCCAUGGUACAAAUUUCUCAGGGAAAAUGAUUUCCAUCACGGAGACGAGGUAUCAUUCUAUUACCGGCCACAUGAAAGAAUUUGGGAAAUAGUCAUCAGAAGAGAAAGGAAGUGGCUAUAAUUUUCGCUUUAUAUGUGAUUAUAUUUUGUUUUAUAUGUAAUUAUGUUUUGUUUAUUUUCUCUGAACAAUAUCCAUUUCAUCAACAUUAUAAUUAUAUAUCUAUUUAAUAUUCAAUUAUACUCCUAUGAUUGCAAUUUUAUUAACCAAGUGACCCGUGCAUACUAGUUUUAUUAUAAAGCUAACACGAACGCAUUUUUGUUUUUGUUUUUGUUUUUGCAUUGCCCUGUUUUUCCACUAAAGAGAAUAAAUUCAUCCUAGUGUGUCUUACGGAUUGGAGUCAGAUGCUGCAAUUAAUAAGAGAAAAUACUUGUACAUACUUGAACAAGAUAUGGUUUAACUUUUUCCAUACAUUUUGUUUACAGCAUUUCACGGUACUUAACAAACAACACCCGAAAAGAGUUUCAAACUCAUGCAUACUAACUUUGUUAAAAACCCACCAUAAUUACUCUUAUAAUAUUUAAAAGUUAUAAAAUGUUCUGAUUUUGUUCCAAUAAAAUUUUCAGUAUGUUUUUUAUUUUAAAAUUAAAAUGUCAUUUUUUUUUGCUUAGAGCAAGAUUUGAACAUCCAAAUCUGCUUGAAUUAUUUGCUUACAUCAAUUAUAUAUACAACUAAUAUAAACAAAACAUCAUAUUUUAUAUUAGUAAUAAGCACAAUUGAUUAUGAUUAUCAAAUUCUCAAUUAACUCGCUAAUCUUUGAGUUUACGAGUUCACUUACACUGUGAGUUGACUCGUGAGUAAUCUCUUUUUUUAAUUGACUCUGGAUAGAUUCUAUAAACUUUAAGUAAAAUCUGUAGACUCUCGAAUUUACCAUUGAGUCAACGAGUCAGCAAGUUAAAAAAAAACUAAAAUAUAGGUCAUAUUGGGUUUUUUUUAUCUGUUUAAUAUUCAACAUAUUUCAUUUAGUGUUAUUCUCAAAUAAAAAAAAACACAUUUAAUAACAUCAAACUCUUAAUGAGAAUGAUCUACCACUACUAUAACAUCUGCAAGUUAUUAUCUAAUAGUGAUGCAUUGACUUGUUUAUUUAAGUAUUGCGAAAUUUAUGAUUUACUAUUUUAUUUUAUUAUAUUGUUAAAAUAUUUAAUUGAUAUGUUAUUUAUAAAUAGUUUGUUAUUUUUUUAUAUUUAAAGUAGACUCUUUUGAGCCUACAAGUCUAGUUCACUAGUCGAGUUUAUGAAUUUCUCACGAGUCCGUAUAAACUCUCGAGUUUGAUAACCUUACAACUGGUAUAAAAAAUGUUAUAUUUACAUCAAUUAAAAAGUCAUUAUCGUAAGUUUAAAUGUCUAAGCCAAAAAACAAUAUAUUACAACUUUGUGAGAAUAAAAACAUACUAUAAAUUUUGUAUAUUUUUAUAUUUAUGAAAGAAAAAAAUAUUUUAGCUUAAAAAUUAUUCAUGCAUUAGGGAAAUAGUGCACACCGCAUCUAAGAGUUUCCAUACCAUACAAUGCAAGAGCUGAGAGAAAGUAACGUUAAACGUGUUUUGGUGAGAUGAAGUGAACGGAUUAUUAUAUAACAUCUUAAUUUCUUGCUUUUGUGAUAUAUAAAUGGAAUUGCUAUAAAGUAGUACUACGAUUAUUUUAGACAUGUCAAAUGAAAUUGUGAAGACUUUGUACCUCGGUGAUACAGUGAAUGACUUUGACCGCUGACUAAAAGAAAGCCAGAUAUUCCCCCUUUUGCAUAAUAAGGCUGAUCAAGUUGGUAUUUUUUUGUAUUUUUUUAUUAUGCAAGUUGGUUUGUUAUGUCCGCGUAAUCACUGUUUGGAUGAUAUGUAUUUAAUAAUUGGAAAAGUUCCAUCCUAACAUGGAGAAAUGGAGGACGGCUCUGCACGAAGUAACAUAUUUGGCUGGGUUUCCUUUCAAAGAUGGGUAUCCCUCCUUACCUAGCUUUUGCUUUAUAAUUUUGUUAAAAUUAAAAGAGAAAAUAAAUGUUUAUUAACCUUGACAAGAUAUGGAUACAAGAGUUUUAGUUUAACUUCACUACAACUAUAAUUUCUUGUUUGAAACAGAGCUGAAUACGAAUACAUGUUUAUUGGGAAGAUUGUUAAUAAAGUCUUCGAUAUGUCGCGGAUCACCCGGUAGGAUUAGACUCACAAGUGCCAACAAUAAGGAUGUUUGUGAAGGCUGAAUCUAGUAAUGCUAUCUCCAUGAUAGGGAUCCACGGAAUGGGCGGGGUAGGAAAAUCAACACUUGCUGGAGCAGUUUAUAAUUUGCAUACGGAUGAUUUUGAUGAUUCGUGUUUCAUACAAAACGUGAGAGAAGAAUCAAACAGACGAGGGUUAAAACACAUACAAAGCAUCCUUCUUUCACAAAUACUUAAAAGGACAUCAACUUAGCAAGUGAGCAACAAGGAACUUUGAUGAUAAAAAAUAAGCUCAGAGGAAAGAAGGUUCUCUUAGUUCUAGAUGAUGUUGAUGAGCACAAGCAAUUACAGGCAAUUGUUGGAAAUUCUGAUUGGGAGUCUAAGUCUGGCACCAGAGUGGUUCUGAUCAUCACCACUCGGGACAAACAACUCCUAACAUCUUAUGGGGUCAAAAUAACACAUGAGGUGAAAGAAUUGGAUACGGAUGAUGCUAUUCAAUUGCUUAAAUGGAAAGCUUUUAAAACAUAUGAUGAAGUUGAUCAAAGUUACAAGCAGGUCUUGAAUGAUGUAGUAACUUGGACUUCUGGCCUUCCAUUGGCUUUGGAAGUGAUAGGUUCGAACCUGUUUGGAAAAAGUAUUAAAGUAUGGGAAUCAGCUAUCAAACAAUAUCAAAGAAUUCCCAAUCAGGAAAUCUUCAAGAUACUUAAGGUAAGCUUUGAUGCUUUGGAGGAAGAAGAAAAAAGUGUUUUUCUUGACAUUACUUGUUGCGUGAAAGGCCAUAAACGCACAGAGAUUGAAGAUAUACUUCACAGUCUCUAUGAUAACUGCAUGAAAUACCAUAUUGAGGUGCUUGUUGACAAGUCUCUCAUGCAGAUUAGUGACAACGAUAGAGUUACAUUCCAUGACCUGAUUGAGAACAUGGGUAAAGAGAUUGACAGGCAGAAAUCACCGAAAGAGAUAGGCAAGCGGAGGAGAUUAUGGUUACUAGAAGAUAUAAUUCAAGUCUUAGAAGACAACCCGGUGAGUGAGACUCAUGAAUGAUUUAGCUUCUUAUCUUGAUUUAUCAUGGAUAUAUCUUACAAACGUUUAACUUGUAUUGUGGUUGAUUUGUGUCUUUUGCAUUAACAGGGAACCAGUGAAGUUAAAAUCAUUCGUCUGGAUUUCCCCAUAUCUGACAAACAAGAAACAUCAAUAGAAUGGAAUGCCUUCAACGAUAUGGAAAACCUUAAAGCACUUAUUAUCAGAAACGAUAUUUAAUUCCAAGGUCCCAAUUAUCCACUAGAAAGUUUGAGAAUAUUUGAAUGGCACAGACAUCCUUCCCAUUGUUUACCAUCUGAUUUUGAUACAACAAAUCUUCCCAAACGCGAGUUGGAAUAGUUCCAUCCCGUCAUUGGGGUGUGGUGGCAUAUCGAAGGCAAGUUUAAAGAAUACAUUUUCCUUGUAAAUUAAUAAAUUCACAGCAGUAUUAUUCAUUCAGUUCUUUAAUUUUUCCAUCUUUUUUUUUUGCAGAAGUUGAUGAAUCUAACUAUCUAAGGGUUUUGGAUACCUGAUGCAUCAGGUUUCUCAAAUUUGAAGGAAUUUUCAUUUGAAUAUUGUGAGAAUUUAACCUUAGUUCACGAUUCAACAUGGUUUUAUGAAUAAACUUUAAAUAUUGAGUGCUGGUUGUUGCCGCUAAUGAACUUUUGGGAAGAAUUUGUGCUGGGAUUUCCAUGGUUUAAUAUUUUCCUCUUGGUUUUGAGAAUAAUUCCUUUUUGGUUUGAAUAGGUCUUCUAGGGGGUUGCUUUCUACAAUUCUGGUGGCUUCAACUUCGAAUAAAGGAAAACAAUGCUUUAAUUUUUCUGUAAUAAUCUUGAUUUAGUUUGUGUUUUUUGUUGGCAGACAAUAUUCCUUUUUCUACAAAUUAGGAAUUUGAUAUUUCCAUUUAGAAAAAUAUUGACACAAGAAGCUGGUGAGUUGCAUGUGAACUUUUAUUUUUCUUAAUUUCUUCUGAGCAUUGUAAAGCAAAAAUGUAAGGUAAGUAACUGGAAUUCUAUGGCAGAAAGAAUUAAAAUCCCUAAUUAUUUUAUCCAUUUUGCAUGAAGUCUUGUAUUUGUAUAAAAAUAAUGAAUGAAUGUUCGUGCAUUUAUUCAAUCCAUUGUCAUAACAUUUGGCAAUACAAAAAUCUCUAGUUAAAGAGAACAGACAAGUUUUGGCUGCAAUGGAAUAAUUAGCAAUAGUUUGUGUGGAUAUUUUGAACCUUACAGUAAAUGGCUUAGGAAGGAGAGACAACAGACACUAGAGGAGUUUGCUGACUUUGCUCAUCAUUUGCUGUCUCACUAUCUAAUUCUUCAAAGUUAUAAUCAUCAUCAGAUAAUCCCUUCUUAACAGAAUAUCUUCUUUGUCAAUGAGGUUGUGUUUAUUGAAUUUUAGCGAGUCAGAUUCUGAUUUUUCAC
rnacentral:lncRNA from 1 species